rnacentral:lncRNA from 1 species
UUCUUCCUUCUUAACAGGAGCAAAUGGAGAGAAAUAAAAAGGGAGAGAAGGCCGGCUAAAAAACGAGAGAAGCAGAGAAAGAAAGGAGGAAGAAAAAAGAGAGAAAGAGUGAGCUGGGAAAGAGGGAUUUGUGCUGCCACUUAGAGGAGUCAAAAGAGGAGAUUUUUGCUACAAAUUUUAAGGGAAAAGAAAGCUAAGUUGCUGCUGGAUUUUGAGGAAAGAAAAAGAGAAAGAGUUGGGUUGUGGUGGUUGACGGAAAAAGAGAGAGAGCUUGGUUUUUGGUGACAAAAUGGCUGAAUAAAAAGAGAGAAAAUUUGAGUUCUUUGGACUGAUCUAGAGCUGACCAACGGUGGAAGUGGAGAGGAGAAUUCAAGCCGCCAGUAGUGAAGGUUGAGAGCUGCCGAUGGUGAGAGAAAAAGGGGAAGAAAGUGCAGCCGAUUGGUGCAUGAAAGGAGGGAGAAGAAAGGAAGAGAAAAACGAGUAAAAGAGAGAGGAAGAAACGGGAGAGAAAGGUAAGAAAAUAAUAAAAAUAUAUAUAAUAAUAAUGUUAGAAUAAAAAAUAGAUAUAUUAAUUAAGUGGGUUUUAAUAUUUAAGAGAAAUAAAUAAAUGGUGCAUUGUGGUGAAAGGCUGAAGGAAAUAACGAACUACUGGUAAGAAAGAGUAGCUCGAUACGUCUUUGAAUUAAUAGCGACGUAACAUCCCGCUAUUUUGAGGUGAGUAAGGGGUGUCUAUUUUAAAAUUUUCGUAAAUAUAUAUUUAUAUGUAUUAUUUAUUUUAAAUGCGAAAAUUGUGGAUAGUAUGUGCUUGUAGCAAUUUUAGAGAAUUGUGAAUGCAAAUUAUGUUUAGAAAUUGUUUUGAAUAUAUAUGUAUAAAUUAUAUGUAAAGUGUUUUCAAAAUGGAAAAACAAGCCUUUCGUACUAUUUUACCUCAAAAUCUGUGCCUUAUAUUUGUGCAAUGUGCAUCCAUGAUUAUAAUGUUUAUUCACCAUGCGAGUUAUUAUUUCGAAAUUCAUGCACAAAUUUAUUUUAUGAAAAUGAUAAUAGAUUUUAUCAUACCUUGUGUUGAAUACUUUGGAAAUAAUUUUGAGACAAACUUUUAAAGAUAUAAUACAAUUUCAAAAUGAUUUUACAAACUGAGAGAUUCGAGAGUAGGCCGGUUGUUACUUCGGUUAAGUGUAACCCUCGUGCACGAUUGAGCUCUAGCUAGAGAACUAUUGGGUCACCGACGGGCGGUUAGGCGUGGUUGGGGUCACGACCUGUGAUAUAUGUAUGCGUGGUUAGGCCACCAGAUGAUUACACAGUUACGACUGUUUGAUUCUCCGAUGUCGGCCAACAUCGUGAGACUGCCAUGGCACAUGAGAAUCCGGUGGAAGCGAUGCUCCCGGAUGUUAUUACGUGGUAGCGGAACCACGGGUUUAUUUUCAUUCCCUUCUCGAGAGUGGCAUCUCUGGUUUUUUAAACUCAUAUUUCUUUGCAUGGUGAAAACAGAAUUUAAUGGUUUUUCUGCAACUCUCCUUAUUUUUACGGUGAAAUGAAUUUUAACUCCUCCGGUGGGAGGUGAUUUUUGAUUUACGUAUGAGUUUGAUUAACAUUCGAUUUCAUGGGAGCUUGCCGAAUAUACUGAUUUGAUUUGAGUAAAAUAUCAAUUGAUUUUGACGGCGAAAUUUUCUUCAUGUAAAAUUAUUUUAAUUCAAUAUUUCAAAUGAUUGACUUGGAUAAGGUUAUUGAUCUGUUUUAUAGUAAAGUUUUUAUCUACCUUGGUUGAUUUACCAAUUGAAGUGUUUACAAUGCGUAAGAAAUCCUCGGUUUUUCAUAUAAGGCACAAACUCCCGUUCGAAAUAAAUUGUUUUUGUAAUCCUGUAUUUUUAUAUUCAACUGAUCUGCUAUUGCUUGUUUCUCAUCUACACCCUACUCACGGAGCCGAUGAUCAUUGAGUCUGUGAGACUCACACCCCUCUUUUCCCUCUUUUGCAGACAAAGAUCGACCUAACGAGUAAUCAUCAGUGCGUUCAGCUCACCGCAAAUAGGUAAAGGCAUCUCAUGGCCUUUUAUUUUGAGUUGCUCCACUGUUAGAGAUUGAGUUGUAGUACUUUGAUUUUAUUAUGUAAACAAAUAUUAGUUUUGAUAAAAACAUAAAUUUUAGAUUCUUGAACUCAAUGUAUUUAAUUGUAAUAUUAUGACUUAAAGUCAAAAUUUAAUGGCUAUGCUUCUUGUGAAAUUUUAAGUUAUAAAAAUAUAUAUAUAUGGUUCAAAUAUUAGUACGGAUUAGUAAAGAUGUACAAUGAGUUAUGGAGAAAUUUUUUUUUUAGGCUUGUUCGAGAUUUGACGGGAUCUCUCGGAGGUCUCGGACGCCGGUAGCGACUGAGGAGGGGUUGUUACACUUGUCAGAUAUGAAACAUGCAAACAUACUGUGUUGAUCCUCCUUUCUUACCAUGGACCUGCAAGGAUCUUGAGAGGCUCCCCAAUUGUAGCUUCUAGUAUACAUAUCUUGAUACUGAUAAUUCAUCUAGAAGACAACCAUCUACCACAGCAGCAUUUUUUUGACCUUGAAUUGUCAACAUGAUGCUAUAUUUUCUGUAUACAAAUAUCCUUUGUAUCGCUGGUUAUGCUCGCCGUUUUUGGAACCAAAGGUUCUUGAUGCAUCUCUGCCAGGUAUGUCCUGUUUAUUCUUACACGACGGCACAUUCUGUUAGUACUACACCAGUAUAUGAUGUGCAAUUAUAAGUUUUAUAAGUCAUAUUUUUCACAGUAAGCUGCAGCCUUAUUUUUUGAGAUAAUUGAGUUUUUAUUUCAGCAUCCAAAGGAAGAAGGAAUUCUGUGAAAAUGUUUACAAGCUGGGGAAACACCCAGAAAACAGCAGCUAACUAACUAAGCUGGAAUUAUGACCCAGCUCUUACAUUGAUCAUUGGAAAGUACAAUACAAGAAGAACUAAUACAGGAAGCUGCAGUCUUAUCACCAAGGCUUGAUUUCAUGCUUCGAUCAGCAUCUUUGCAUUCGUGAAUAUCAUCAUCAUCAUGCACCAGAGAUGCUUGCGCUUUCAAAUCCUCAAUAUCAAAAUUCCAGGCGCUAACUCCUCUUUGAUACUGACUCCGUGAUGUAGCUUCUUGUUCUGCUGAAGGCAUAUUCUUGAGAGCGAGUUGUGCAGCAUCGUUAAGCUGAAGGGGUUUCGCAGGAUUCGACAGCCGUGGCAGAGGAGUAAAUAAUUUCUUCACAGAAAGCUCAGGACGCUUUGCAUGCUUAAAAAACGAGUGCUUCAAUAAUUUCUCUGCAGUGGGUCUCUUUGUUUGAUCUUUCACCAGGCACAUCGCAACCAUAUCUUUGAAAGACUUGGAGAACUUCUUAUCACGAUCUUGAUCAAGUCGUGGAGGAGCAUUUUGUAUGGUCAUCAAGAGAACCUUCAUGGGUGGAUAUUUGGAAAAAGGUGCAUGACCAUGGGCCAACUCCAAUGCUGUUAUGCCGAAUGACCAUAUAUCUGCCUUGGAGUUAUAUCCAGUUCCUGGCUGCAUGACCUCCGGUGCCAUCCAGCAAGGAGUCCCCACAAAGGUAUUUCUCGAACGUUGUCUGUCUCCUGAAUCGAACAUGCAAGCUGAAACACCAAAGUCGGCGAGCUUAACUGUUCCAUUGUUAUCAAGCAGUAUGUUCCCAGCCUUGACAUCCCGAUGAAUAUGUCCUUGUCGGUGAAGAUAAUCCAAAGCCUUAAGAGUUUCCUUAAGAAUGGAAGCGAUAGCAGCCUCUUCGAAUCCAUCGGGAUAGGCCGUUUUCAUGCGAUGCAAGCAGGAACCCUCCGACAUGAACGGCAUGACUACCCAGAGGUUGCGGUCAACUACGAACGAAGAAUAUGCCCGAAGAACAUUAGGGUGAUUAAUCAAUCUCAUUGUUUGAGCUUCCCGACGUACGUCAUCCAGAUUAGUACCGCUGCAGCGAUCAAGAUCCAAACACUUGACAGCCACGACGUCCUUUGAAGGAAGAUAGAUUGCUUUGUAAACAGUAGCAGUGGCUCCAUGGCCGAUUUCUUCAAGAAGCUGGUAAUCUCUAGGGUUAGCUGAGUAACUCCGAGUACCUCCCAUAAUAAGAGUAACAGAGCGCGAGGAGGAAGACUGUGACUUCAAUGGAUGUGGUUUAUACACUGAAGAGGGCAGGGUAGGACUUUGUAUGGAUUCAGUGGUUAAAUGAAUUAGAGUUUGGGGAAGCAAGAAUGUUUAAGCUUAGGGUUUGGGUUAGUGCUUAUAAUUAGGGUGGGUUUUGUUGGGAUUACUAGAAAUUAUAAUUUGCGUAGAGUUUUAUUGCUUUGGUGAUUUCUAACUCAUGGUUUGAAUUUGAAAUUUGAAGUUCCUUUUGUUAAUUUUCAAAAAAAAAAAGAGUAAUAUGAAAGCAAUAACUCUAAAAAAGAAAACCAAAGUUAUAACAGCUUCUGCUUUAUAAUUAAUCUUAAUUACGUUAAAACUAUAGUUAAGAUUUAAAAAAGAGUUCAAGGUCUAGAGCUUCUGCUUCAAAAAUUGAAUCCAAAUUUAAGUUAAAAUGUGGCAGCUAAAAGGGGUACGUAAUUUCUCUCCCACUCCUCCUGUUUUUAUGUUCCAAAGUCUGGCUUUGUUCUCUGGCUGGUGGUGUUGUCCAUUUUGCCUGGUCAUGACACUUUUCCACCACUGCUGUUUCUUAUCUGUUCUGUGUUGUAUUUUCUGCAGUGUUCUCUGAUGGGCUAUUGCUGUGUUCAUUGCUGCUUCUUUGAGUCUUCUGCUCCGCUCCUCUGGUGUUUCUGCUCUCUUCAGCUCUGCGUUCCCUGAUGGGGUUUUCUGCUGGUUUUCUACUGUUUUGGUGUUCUUCUCCUAUGCAGCUUAAGUCUAUAAUCUGGUCUGCGGUUCCUGCGGGGACUUUGUCAUUACGUUGGGUGCUUUUUUGUUGGCUUUGCCUCUGCCAGUCAAGGGCUUUCGUUAUGUUUCUGUUGGUUUUCAUUGGAUGUGUUCUGCAAAUUGUGCUGUUGCUCCCGUGAGCGGACACCAUCUUUUGUACAUCUUUUUUCAUUAAUAUAAUCUUUCCUUUUUUGGCUGAGAAAAAAAAUGUUAAGAGGGGUACAUUGUGUCAGAACUUGAGUAAGUAGGGAUGUAACAAAGAAAGAGAAAACAUAGCAGCGGGCAUUAUGUGCCAAAAUUAAUUGGGAAACAUGCAACAUGAGCAUGUCCUAGAAAGCAUGUAAGAACAAAAACCCUCCCAAAAAAAAUAUUAAAUUUUUAUAUUUUUUUCUGUCAUUGGGAAGUGACAAGAAGAGAACAACAGUACAGCACCAAAGAAAAGGUUGUUAGAUUCAGGAAAAGCUUCCACAAAUCUUUCCUCCGUUUGGUUUCUAACCAUUACCAUUAGAGACAACAGUCUUUUAGAAAAAUAAUGCAGAGAUGAAUCAUGCUGUAACGUAUGCAACCAUCGUUUACCACACAAUAAUACGUUUCUUUUGCAGGAAGGGGCAUUAAACAAAAGAGCAGACGAUAAGAAAUAUUUCCCAUUUUAUCAACAAGGUCACCAUCUGUGCAUGUCUGUUCUAGACAACAAAAUGAUGAUCGCAUGAAAUUCGCCCCCCUUUGAAACCGGCAAACAUACGGGUAAACAGGGAAAAAGCAGCUUCCAAGUUGAAAACCAACCACGAAGCGCAACGGAAAUUCAAGCCCCCCAGACGCUAAUAAUAAUAUAGCGCCGCUGAGAUUAUUAUUUGAGAAAUCUAUGUCAAUGAGAAGUGAGAGAAACUGCAAUGAUCCUGGAAUUGUGCCUUGAAGUUGAUUAUGAGAAAGGUCAAGAAUGCUCAAUGCUUUCAGACUUCGAAAAAUGUCCAAAUUAAGAAUCAUCAAGUAAAACAUUCCCAGCCAGCCUACUUGUUUCUUUCUUGUUAAGAGGCAGGACUGGCCUGCUCAUCCACUUAUAAUUUCUCAUUGAUAAUUAUAAUUACUUCUGGCAGAGAAAAUAAAAAGGACAUUAAGCUCAAGCUAUCUGGAAUUAGUCCUGACAAUAAAUUGGAAGAAAGAUUCAAGUAUAUCAUGCUGCCAUUGCUAGUGAAAAAUUUCAUUGUCAAGCCAUAAUAAAGUCUGACGGUUGUACAGGAAUUGGAAUCCAACAGAAUUAUACAACUUUUCUAGUCCGAUUCCUUCCACAUACUACAAAGAGUUGGCUGGAUUGUAAUCUCUUUCACCUCUAAUUUUCAAAUAUGCUUACUUACAUUUAAGAUUAUUCUCGAAAACUAAGCCUACUUGAUUGGCGAGGUCUGAUGGAAUGUUACCGGUUAAAUGAUUAUUGUUCAAAUCAAGCCAUAAGAGGCUCUGGCAACUGCCAAGCUCUGGUGGGAUCCUUCCAAUAAAUGAAUUAUGAUUUAACUGCAGAAUCGUGAGUUUUGGAAGAGUUCCAAUGUCAGUAUAUAGGAAUCUCUCUUCUUACCUGAUUGAAAGAAAGUGACAACCAAGUGAGAUUUUACAGUUGCUGAGUGAUGCUGGAAUUAUUCCGGUGAGGAGAUUGUUGGUGAGAAGAAGCGUUUCCAAAUUAUUUCCAACUAAGCUGUAACACCCAGACCCAAAUGACAUUUGGGCUAACGCAUCAACAUUGCAUUAAAAUAUGACAAAUAGGCCUUUUAAGUUAAUUAAAUAUAAUUGAGCCCAAAAUCAUAGUCUUAUGCUAGGGUUUAUUAGAAUAUAAACUAGGAUUAAUAUAAAUAGGUUACUUAAGUUUAGUAGCCACGUUUCAUUUGAUUGAGAAAACAAAUGCUUUAAAGUGAAUUUCACAAAAAUUUUUCUUUGUGACAAGAUUUGGGGAUUUUGAAGAGAAGUUUGGAGAAUAAAAAUUAAAGGUCAUUGUUGGAUUCAUCAUUACAAGGAGAGUAAAAUCCUGUUUUAAAUCAAAGAAAAAUAUUUCAUUGAUUUAGAAGAAUUUGGAUUGAAAUUGAAAAGGAAAAUUUACGUGUAAAAUCAUGUAUCAUGUACUGUCCUAUCACUUUAAAUCUGAUUUGAAAUGAUUUAUGGAGUUUCACUAGUUGAUUUAUAUAUGGUUGGAAAUCUACAUGAGUCUAUUUUCUAGCAAACUAAACGGAAGUGGAUUUCGAGUUUCCUAUGUAAAGAUAUGAUUUUUUUUUGUAAAGACAGUACAAACUGCCUAACAGCAAUGUCAGGGGCAAUUUCAAAAAUUUUCUGCACUUUUCCUAUAAUGAAUUAAGUGUUGAAAUUUAUAUGGAUAGAAAGCUUAUUAAUUCUAGUUUCCAACGCAUUAAACAAAUCUCAGUUUCGAGUUUCAUAGCUUAAGACAUGGUCAUUUUAGGGAAUGAUGUGCAAGCUGCCCAUAUUUUUGAUUUAGGAAGGUUUGGGUUAUUUUUUGUAGUUUCAGGUGAUAAAUAGAUUUUAGAAAGUUAGAUUGUUUUUAACAUGUUUAAAUGAUUGCUAUUAGGCUUUUGAUUAUUUUGGGAGGAAGCAAGUUUGUUAGAACGAAGAAAGGUAAGUAUAUCAUCACACACCUUGCUUGUUUUGAAACUAUAGUAUAUAUAUUUCGUUAAAGAAUCAAACGCUUUAUUUCAUUAUUUUCAGUAUAUAAAAAUAGGGUCAAGUAUAUAAUUAUUUUCUAUUUUAGGCUUAAUAAUAUGAUGAAUAAUGAUUGAUGAAUGAUUUGGUUUGCUCAUGUGAUGGAAAAUGGAUUUACAAAUGAUUUGAGUUAUACAUACGAUGAACAUUGUUUUAUAAAUGUUUUGGUUGAUUUAUAUGAUGAAUGUUAAUUUAUGAACAAAAUGAAAUCUUUGAUCAUCUUUAAAGAAUGUUUUAAGGGCUAUGAAGUAAUUCUUGGGGAGUGGGAUAAUGGACACCAGAACUAGUUCUACCUUCCUACUAACUGUAUAUUAUAGUUAACACAUAGCCCUGCUAAUGAGAUAUAAUAGUUAGAAAUGAUCAUGGGAAUAAUUAGCCGAUACGGUCCUUGUCAUGGAAUAUCAUAGUGACCGUAGCUACGAUAAUGAAAUUUUAUGAGUUUCAAAGAUUCAAACUAUGAUUUGCUUGAAUGAUAUUUUAAGAAUGACAUUUGAUGAUCAAUAAUUUGUGAACUUACGAAAUUCCUCAUUUUGGACAUAAUGAUUUGUUUAACUAUUUGAAAGCAUGAUUUAGUGAAAUGCUUUUGAAUGAACUAUAUGAUAUAUUGAAAACGAUACUUGAUCUGGUAGGAUGUGUGUGGUUAUAUUUGUUGAGUUGUGGUUUGCUCAUUUCUUCACUUACAAUUUUGCAGAUGACUAGAGAUUGAGAGCUUUAGAGUUAUGGGAGCUAAGAGAAUAAUUUGGGAAGUCUACCUUAAUAUCAAGAUAUUGUUAGUUUUGUUGAAACUCCUGUUAUGUGUAAUUGAUUUUUAAGUUUUAAUUGUCUAAUUUAUUAUGUUGGAGACUUUAUUGGGAUUGUAUUAGUUACAUAGAAGAGAAUGUAAGUAUAUAAUUAGCAAUAUGACUUCAUUUGAGGACUUCUAGAAUAAUAAAAUAUAGAAAAAUUUCAUAUUACUUUGGUUCUUAAUCUUGAGCUAAUCUGAUCAUGUCAUGUCUCGGUUUCGUGGCAUGACAAAAGCAUAUGUCCUCCAGAAUUAAGGAUGGUAAUGGAUAACUUGUUAUAAAAAACUUGCGAGUACUUGACCCGAUUAUAUAGGGUUAGGGUACUUUAUAAUCGAGUUUAGGUAGGAUUCGGGUUGUGAUUUCACUACCCAUAUGGGGCUCAUGUAGGGUUCAAGUAUCACCUUUUGAGUACCCGAUACUCAAACCCCGAUUAUGUUUUUUUUAAUUUCAUACAAUUAAAGACAAACUUAUAUUUUUAAUUAAUUUAAUUCAUGAAACUAUGAUUAUCAAUUAACUUGUAAUAUCUUUUAAUACAUAUACUCUAUAUAUUGUGUUAAUUUAUAAGGAAUAAAAUUACUAUUAUAUAUAUACUUUUAGUAUAUAUAUUUUAAAUAUAAACAUCUUUACUUUUUAUUUUGUGUUAACGUUACAAAAAUUGUAACUUAUAAAAUUAUUAAUUAUAAUAUAUGCCUUUAUUUAUAUAAACUUAUAAAAUAUAUACCUAAAAAGAAAUUGUGAGAUUAGAAUAGUUUUAGAAUUUAACUAUUUUUUUAAUUGUAUGGACAAACCCAUAUACUUAAUUAAACUUGUAAUGUUUAAGUUGUUUUUUGAAUAUUUGUUUUUAGUUAUUUAAGCUGACAUUUGAGAUAUUUGUUUUUAAUUAUUUAAAUUUAAAUUUUAUUGUUUGUGUGCUUUUCUAUAUUUAAUUAUUAGUGAAUUAUUUGGAAUAUGAGUAGAAAUAUUAUUGUAUAUAGAUAUAAGUACGAAUUCAGGCUUAGGUAAUUGGGUAUCCAUGAAGAGAAUUUUAAUAAAUUUUUUACAUAAUCAGGUUUUUAAACGGAUUUGGGUAAUUAUCAGAUAGUGAAUAUGUAUUAGGGUUGGGGUUAAGAUAGUAAAUUUAAAAAAUAUUUAGGUAAUUAUAGGAUUUGAAUACCUUACCCAUUAACAUCCCUAUCCAGAAUUUCACCUAAGCCAUUUCCCUACAUGAUGAAGUCAGAAAGAUGUGGUAACAUCCCCACAUUUGGUGGAAUGGAUCCACGUAGAUUGUUCAGGCUUAAAUCAAUUGUCCUCAAUUUCUUACAAUGUCCAAUAUUUGAAGGUACUGUUCUCGAUAGAAAAUUUCUUGCAAACAGUGAUUUUUGUAAGGAAGAGAAGGAGGCCGAAAAAGAACAAAGCCCUGAAGGUAUAUUCCAGUUAAGGCAUUAGAACUAAGGUCAAGGACUUAAGUUGGUUACAAUUUUUUAGAGACAGAGGAAUAGAAGCGCCGAUGUUGUUAAAUGGAACUUGAAGGAUUUGUAGUCUGGGAAGAAAAGUAAUAACUGUUGUGAGAAAGUUCUCGGAAAGUUGAUUGUUUCCAAGAUUGAGGCUUUGCAAAGAAUCACAGGACUUAAAUGUCUUAGGAAACGCACCAGAGAGUUUGUUUUUGAAAUGAUCAAGCUCUACUAGAGUGCCACAAGUCCACCCUAAUUCUGGGGGAAUAUUGCCAAAGUAGUCAUUGUCUGCCAAAUUUAGAUGCUUCAAAUUUCCCAAAUUUCCCAAUGCAGCUUGGAUUAUAUCCUGCAGCUGGAUAUGGGAGAGGUCAAGGUUCUUAAGCAGCUGGUAGUUGAUCAAGCGGUGAGGAAUCCAGAGCCAUAAAGAGCAUUAUUCAACAGGUUUGAGUACCUAUACCAAAAAAUUAAACAGCCUCCAAAGUCAAUCAUAAAGAAAUUAACAGAUAAAUUAUUGUGAGAAAUGUUCAAAAAUUUGAGGGACUAAGGUAAAUCGACAAAAAGAAGAGCAAGGAUAUCUCUCGACAACAAGUUAUUAGUAAUGUAACACUUCGUGUCCUCGUUUAAUCGUCAAUAAGACUUAUCAAUAAGACGAAGGGACAAUUGAUGUAAAUUUAAGUAUCGAAAAGUGAUCACGGACGAAAAGAAUAUUUUAAAAUAAAAUAUCAUCAAUUACGGGAAUUAAUCUGAAAGAUGGGCACAUGUCUAAUUUAAGUGGGAGAGAAUUUAUAUGUAAACUUUAUUAUUUUGAGAAAAUAAAAUAAUUAAAUUAUGAGAUAAAAAAAUAUAAUAAUAGUAAGAAUAUAUUUUUAAGUAAUGAAUUGGGUUAGUAGGGGCCGACCCUUUGAGGAACAAAAGGAGUUGAGAGUGAAAUUAGGGUGAUGAUGAAGACAAAUGUUGAAAAGGCCGGUCAACUAAGUAAAAAGGGAAUUCAAGCAAAUUUAUUAGUGUGAAGUGAUUUAACAAGCAAUGGAAGACAUAAAAGAAUGGGGGCUGGCCAUUUCAAAAGAGGAAAGAAAGAAUAGAAUAAUUAAAAAAAAAAACAAAGAUGAAAAGAGAGAAGAUAAGAAUGGAUGUCAUCUGCCAUGUGACUUAUUAAGAGUCAAAGUAAUAGUAAAAUAAUAAAAAAAACUAUCUCUUUUUAUGAUGAAAGAUGGUAGCGGCCGGCAAGGAGUAAAAAGAGAAAGAAAGAUUAAAUGAAAGGAGGGAGAUAAGGACAAAAAGUCGUCAUGUCCGUUCUUUUCUCCCUUCCACGUGAAAGUCAUUUCUUUUUCUUCCUUCCUAACCAGCAGCAUAUGGAGAGAAAUAAAAAGGAAGAGAAGGUCGGCCAAAAACUAGAGAAGCAGAGAAAUAAAGGAGGAAGGAAAAAAAGAGAAAGAGAGAGUUGGGAAAGAGAGAUUUUGUGAUGCCACUUAGAGGAGUCAAAAGAGGAGAGUUUUGCUGCAAAUUUUAAGGGAAAAGAAAGCUGAGUUGUUGUUGGAUUUUGAGGAAAGAAAAGAGAGAAAGCUGAGUAUUGGGGUGCUGCCGACGGUGAGAGAAAGAGAGGAAAAAACGUGCAACCGAUUGGUGCGUGAAAUGAGGGAGAAGAAAGGAAGAGAAAAACGAGUAGAAGAGAGAGGAAGAAACAGGAAAGAAAGGUAAGAAAAUAAUAAAAAUAUGUAUAAUAAUGAUGUUAUAAUAAAAUAAGAUAUAUUAAUUAAGUGGGUUUUAAUAUUUAGGAGAAAUAAAUAAAUGGUGCAUUGUGGUGAAAGACUGAUGGAAAUAAUGAACUAUUGGUAAGAAGGAGUAGCUUGAUACGUCUUUGAAUUAAUAGCGAUGUAAUAUUUCGCUAUUGUGAGGUGAGUAGGGGGUGUCAAUUUUAAAAUUUUCGUAAAUAUAUAUACCUAUACGUAUGACUUAUUUUAAGUGCGAAAAUUGUGGAUAACAUAUGUUAGUAGCAAUCUUAGGAAAUUAUGGUUGCAAAUUACGUUUAGAAAUCGGUUUGAGUAUAUAUAUGUAUAAAUUAUAUGUAAAGUGUUUAGAAAAACGAGACACAAGACCUUUAUACUGUUUUACAUCAAAAUUUGUGCCUUAUAUUUGUGCAGUGUGUAUUCAUGGUUAUAUUGCUUAUUCACCAUGCGAAUUAUUAUUUUGAAAUUCAUACAUAAAUAUAUUUUGAGAAAAUGAUAGAUUUUAUCAUAUCCUAUGUUGAAUACUUUGGAAAUAAUUUUGAGACGAGAUUUCAAGGACAUAAAGCGAUUCUAAAAUGAUUUUUUUUAAACUGAGAGAUUCGAGAGUAGGCCGGAUGUCACAUCAGUUAAGUGUGACCCUCGUGUACGAGUGAGCUCUAGCUAGAGAACCUUUGAGUCACCGACAGGCAGUUAGGCGUGGCGGGGACCAUGACCUUUGAUAUACGUAUGUGUGGCUAUGCCACUAGAUGAUUACGCGGUUGCGACCGCUUGAUUCUCCGAUGUCGGCCAACAUCGUGAGACUGCCAUGGCAUAUGGGAAUCCAGUGGAAGCGAUGCCCUCGGAUGUUAUUACGUGGUAGCGGGACCACGAGUUUAUUUUCAUUCCCUACUCGAGAGUGGUAUCUCUGGGUUUUCAAACUCAUAUUUCUCUGCAUGAUGAAAACGAAAUUUAACGAUUUUUCUGCAGCUCCCCUUAUUUUUUUGGUGAAAUGAAUUUUAACUCCUCGAGUGCGAGGUGAUUUGUGAUUUACGUAUGAGUUUGAUUAACAUUCGAUUUCAUGGGAGCUUGUCGAAUAUACUGAUUUGAUUUGAGUAAAAUGUCAAUUGAUCUUGACAGUGAAAUUUUCUUUAUGUAAAAUUGUUUUAAUUUAAUAUUUCAAAGAUUGACUUGAAUAAGGUUAUUGAUCUGUUUUGUAGCAAAAUUUUUUAUCUACCUUGGUUGAUUUACCAAUUGAAGUGUUUACAAUGCAUAAGAAAUCCUCGAUUUUUCAUAUAAGGCACAAACUCCCAUUUGAAAUAAAUUGUUUUUGUAAUCCUGCAUUUUUAUAUUCAACUGAUCUGCUAUUUGCUUAUUUUCCAUCUACGCCCUACUCACGGAGUCGAUGAUCACUGAGUUUGUGAGACUCACACUCCUCUUUUGCAAACAAUGAUCGACUUAACGAAUAAUCAUCAGCGCGUUUAGCCCACCGCAAAUAGGUAAAGGCAUUCUUAUAGCUUUUUAUCCCGAGUCGCUCCGCGGUUAGAGAUUGAGUUGUAGUACUUUGAUUUUACUAUGUAAACAAAUAUUAGUUUUGAUAAAAACAUAAAGUUUAGAUUCUUGAACUCAAUGUAUUUAAUUGUGAUAUCAUGACUUAAAGUCAAAAAUUUAAUGACUAUGCUUCUUGUGAAAUUUUAAGUCAUAAAAAUAUAUAUAUGGUUCAAACAUUAAUACGGAUUAGUAAAGGUAUACAAUGAGUUAUGGAGAAAUUUCUUUUAGGCUUUUUCGAGACUUGGCGGGAUCUUCCGGAGGUCUCAGACGCCGAUAACGACUGAGGAGGGAUCGUUACAAGUAAGGUUCAAAAUUGAUAGAUUCUUGCAAGAGGAGAGCUUAUCAACUUUUUCAAACAAUUUGUUAAAUGACAGAUUUAGAAGUUUCACAUUCUCACAAUUUGAAAACAAGUAUUUCAAUAUUGAAAAAUCUGAAAUGAGAUUGCUUGAAAGAUCAAGCUCUAAGAGAGAGCUUCCAAUGUAAAAACUACCUUUAUAGAUCGAGUUAGGGAAAAGAUUUAAAGAAGUCAAAUGAUCACAAGAAUCAAAAAACGCUUUAGGCUAGGCUUUGAUAAACUAUUGAAUGACAAAUCAAGCGUUUCAAGCGUGCAUGGAUAAGAAGCAUUAUCAUGCAAGAGAUCCCCAAAGAAAGAGUCUCACUCAAAUGGAGAUGCUUGAGAUUUUUUAAGAUAAAGAGAUUGUUAAUAUUUUUCUUGUUUUAGAUUGUGUGGAUCUUUAAUUAAGGGGUUUUCAAGGAUUAAGGUUUUGUUUUGUUUUUUUUUUUUUUAAGAUUAAUCAUCAAGAUAUUUCAUUCAAAAAGGAAAAACCCAACAAAUUUUACAAAACAAGUAAAGAGCGAAAGAGAAGUCAGCUCUGACCUCCCAAUCGGCAUCUUGGAUAUAAAAAUCAACCAGUAUCCACAGUAUUUCAACACUAGACAGACAACAAAUAAUAUUUCCAUUUACAUUUGCAACCUGUACCCAAACAACAUUAACCAUACCCAAAAUUCAAGUGUAAGGCAUCAGUAGGUAUUGUUUUUUGGGUGAAAACAACUAUUGGGUUAAGGUUUUUAGGUGGUUAAGAGGCCGAUCUUUGAGUGCUUGGGGCUAGAUCUGAGGCAUGAUGAUUAAUAUUGUUAUUAUUAAAACGGUUAAUAAUUUGAAAAGCUUGUCUUCUAAUCAUAUUGUGAAAAUUAGAUGUUUUAAUGAUUCUAAACUUCAUAACUAUUAGAAUUUAAUUGUUAUGAAAUGACAAUUUAUAUAUAAUUUUAAAAAAUCACCAAUAUACAAUUAAAUAGUACAUAAAGAAACAAUUUUUAUUCAAUUUGAGUUUUUAUAAGAAUGUUAUCUGAGAAUAGUUGUUUGAUAAAUUUUGUAAAUAAAAUUUGAGAUAGUGUUUGAUAAAUUUAAGUAAAUUUUUUAUAGCAUUUAAAAACUUAUUUUGUAAUCAUGAUAUGACAAAUUAUAAUUUUAUUAACAUUAUUUAGAUAUAAUUACAAUUACAUUUAAAUAAACUUAUAAGAAAAUAUGAAUCUAACUAAAAUUUAUGAAUUUACAUCAUUAUCAUCAAAUAAUGCUUUAUCAUUUAGUCUUAUAUGUAUAUAAAUGCAGGUGCAGUGCACAUGUUUUAAUAUUAGUGUAUUUGAAAUAAAAAAAAUUAUUUUUGCUGUGAAGAAUAUAUAUAGGUUAAAAUACAUUGACACCUAAAACUUUGACCAUAAUUACAUAUAAUCCAUUAGUUUUCAAAAUGAACACUCUACUCUAAACGUGUAAAUGACGUUGAUGCUUAAAUGUGAAAUAUCUAAAACACUUUAUUAUUAUUUUUUUUUCACUCUUUUCCUUUCUCUUAGGCCGAUUGACCGCGCUCCCUUACACUGAUUUCCUCCCAUUCUUCCCAAUUGGUAAAGCAACCAAUCGCCCGUAAAGAGAAAUAUUGGAUUAAAUGCGUUAGUUAAAGCGGUUAAUGUUGAGAUGCUGAGCUAUUCGAUUUGAGAUUUGAUGUGUUUUUUGUAAAAGAACUAGCUUCCUUGUGUAGUUGCGUGGUGAUACUCUGCUUUUUGCCAUCAGAGUACAUCUUUCUUUGUUUUUUUUUUUUUCCUUUUGAGAACAAAGGUAACCUGCGUUUUGGUCUGUUACGCUGGUAUGACUUAAAAGCAGAACAAAAGGUAGAAACAAUCGCAGAAUGCCGAAGCAAGAAAACAGAAUUACAAUGCCAAACUGUAACAGGAAAAACAAAUAAAAAGUUUCAGGGGAAUCCAAAAAGAAGGAGCAGUAAAGAAACGGAAUCUCUCAAGAAUCAAUGCAAUGUAAUUGUAACGCCUUAUGUAUGCAUGAUAUUAAUUAAUAAAAUUUUUAUAUCUAUGUAAUUAGUUUUUUAUUCUUCACUUAUGUAUUACGAACUUAAGAUGUAUAUUACUUUCAUGUAUUGUUUAUGCAUUUUUUAUUAAAUUUAUUUAAUAUAUUUUCAUAACUAUGACUGAGCGUUAUGGAUGAUUAAAAAAAUAUAUAAAGAUUAUAAUUUUUAUAAAACAAAACAAACAUAAAAUUUUGCAAAAGAUAAUUAAUAAGUUAAAUGCAGUAUUUUUUUAUUUUUGUAUAUUAAUAGAUUAAUGUAUUUAUAAUUGAUUUACUAAAUAUAACUUUCAAAUAUUAAAUCUUGACUCCCAAGUUUCUAGUGGGAUCUGUGACUCAGUCUUCUUCUCCAAAAUUUUUCAGACUUCACUUCUUUUUCAGUCAAAUGGCAACUGCUAGUUUCUCUGCUUCAAUACCACCUAUUUUUACUAGCUCAAACUAUCAGAUUUAGGCAGUGAAAAUGAGGUCUUAUUUUAACGCGUUCGAUUUAUGGGAGGUCGUUGAAUUUGGAGAAAUCCUUAUACAAAAGCACUCUAAUCUUACUUUGGCUUAGAUUAAGUAGCAUAGAGAGGAGGUAACUCAGAGAUAUAAAGCCUUAUCUUGCCUUCAAUCUGCAGUUUCUUAUACUAUCUUUGUUAGGAUUGUUAAUUUUGAUGAUCUAAAAACUGUAUGAGUUACUUUGAAAGAAGAAUUUUAGGGAAAUGAUAGGACUAAGAUGAUUCAGGUUUUGAGUUUGUCUAGAGAAUUUGAGUUGCUAAAAAUGAAGGAGAGUGAAAGUAUUUUUGAAUAUUUUGAUAGAGUUUUAAGGGUAGUUAAUCAACUUAGAUUGCUGAGGGAAAACGUGACUGAAAGAAGCAUAGUAAAUAAGUUCUUAAUUAGUCUACCAGAGAGGUUUGAGGCUAAGAUAUCUUAUCUGGAAGAUUCAAAAGAUCUUACAAAGAUAUCUGUUAAUGAGUUGAUAAAUGCAGUAUCAGCUUAAGAGUAAAGGAGAACUUUGAGAAAUCAAAAUGUUGUUGAGAAUGCACUGGUAGACAAGACUAAGAAUUUGAAGGUCAAAGCUAGUUGUUCAAAGAAAAAUGAACGUAAAGGGAGUAAAGUUAGAGAUGAAAAACAAAAGAAGUAGAGAGACAGGUUUAAUCCUUGUUUUUACUACAAGAAAAGAAAUCAGACCAGCAAGUACUGUUGGUACUGCCUUAAUGUAAAGUGCAGGGCAUGUCAUCAGCUACGACAUGUAGAAAAAGUUUGUAAAGACUAAGAAGCUAGAUACUAAAGAUCAAGCUGCUGUAGCAAAAAAGACUGAUGAAGGUGAAAAGCUAUUGUUUGUUGCCAAAUCUGCUGAUGGUUCAAGUAAUAAAGAUGUUUGGUUGUUAGAUAGUGCCUGUUCUCAUCAUAUCACUAGAAACAAGAACUUAUUUACUGAUCUUGAUAUUAGCUUUAAAGCUAGAGUUAAAAUUGGUAGUGAUGAUUUUUUUAUGAUUAAUGGAAUUGGUAGAGUAGUUGUAGUGACUUUCUCAAGAACAAAGUAUGUAUCUAAUGAGAGGUAUGUACCAGAUGCAGAUCAAAAUCUACGAAGUGUUGGGCAGUUAGUAGAUUGUCAUUACGCUUUAUUGUUCAAGGACAAGUAUUACAUAGUGUUUGAUCUUGCAGAUUGUGAGAUGAUGAAAGUUGAAAUGAAAAAUAAUUGCUAUCCUUUGAACUUAAAAGAUCCUGAACAUUUUGCUAUGUAUACUGAGCAUGAUAUGUCUGAUGUGUGGCAUACAAGAAUGGGACAUGUAAAUUAUGGUUCACUGAUAAAAAUGUCAUCUAAGGUGAUGGUUGAAGGUUUGCCUAUCAUAACUAAACCAAAUAUGCUAUAUAAGGUUUGCCAAUAUGAAAAGUACAGUAGAAAGCCUUUUCCAAAAGAAAGAAGUUGGAAAACUAAAAAGAAGCUUGAAUUGGUUUAUACUGAUAUUUGUGGCCAAAUGAAGACUUUGUCACUGAAUAAUAAGAUGUACUGUAUUCUAUUUAUUGAUGAUCUGACAAGAUAUUGUUGGACUUUCUUUAUGAAGCAAAAGUCUGAAGGUUUAAAGCACUUUGCUAAGUUUAAAGCUUUAGCUGAAAAUUAGUCCAAGAUGAAGAUUAAGAUCUUAGGAAGUGAUAAUGGGUCUGCUUUCACUAUUGCUAAGUUUGAAGCUUUUUUGUCUUAGUUAAGAGUUAAACAUCAGCUUACUAUGGCUUAUUAUCUUCAGCAGAAUGAAGUGUCAGAAAGAAAAAAUAGAACAGUAGUUGGAAUGGCAGGCUGUUUACUGUUCUAGAAAAGCAUACCGAGGGUAUUUUGGGUAGAAGCAGUUAACACUACAAAUUAUCUGCUUAAUAGGACCUAUACCAGGGCAUUGAACCUUAAGACUCCUUAUGAAAUGUGGUUUGAUUGUAAACCAUCAAUUGCUCAUUUGAAAACCUUUGGUUUUGUCUGUUAUGCCAAGGUACCAGAUGAAAAGAUGCCAAAGUUGGAUGCAAAGUUAGUCUUAUCUGUUUUUCUUAGAUAUAGUGAUUGUUCCAAAGGCUACAGAUUAUAUGAUGAUGAUGUUAAAAAGGUUUUAAUUGUAGAGAUGUUGUGUUUGAUGAAGGACAAAGUUGGAAAUGGAAAUCUAUAGUUGAAUGUUAUGAGAAGGUAAUCACUGAUAAAGAGGAUCAGUUGCAUUCUGAAUCUAAUGGUUCUUAUGAUAUUAAAGAUGAAAGAAAUGUUGUUUAAGGUACCAAGACACUAUAGGACAUAUAUAGCAGACGUAAUAUAGCUAUAUGUGAACCUUCAAGCUUCAUUAAGGCCAAUUUUGAUAAGAAUUGGAGGGCUACUAUGAAUGCAGAAAUGCAAAUGAUUGAAAAGAACACCUAGAUUCUUGUUGACAGACUAGUUGAUCAGCAUGUUAUUGGUGUAAAGUGGAUUUUCAGGAUAAAACUGAAUCCAGAUGGGCCAAUGAACAAGUAUAAAGCCAGGUAAGUUGUAAAAGGUUAUGCUCAAGUGUAUGGCAUUAUUGUUUUGAGACUUUUACUCUAGUUGCUAGGCAUGACAGUAUCAGGUUACUUGUUACUCUGUCUACUAAAAAUACUAGAAAAUUUUUCACGUAGAUGUGAAAUCUGCUAUCUUAAAUAGCGGUGCUAUAUGAAGAUAUCUAUAUAGAACAGCCUAAAAGCUAUGUGAAGAAGGGUACAGAAAGUAAGGUUUGUAAGCUUGUCAAGGCUCUCUAUGGUCUGAAACAGGCUCUUAAAGCGUUGCAUGAGAGAAUAGAUGAGUAUUUUAAAGAUCAAGGUUUUGUCAAGAGUUUGAAUGAACAUACACUCUACAUUAAGAAAUCAAAAGACUUAAUAAUUCUUAUUGUGGCUUUGUAUGUUGAUGAUAUGUUAAUUACUAGACCUGAUACUAUUUACCUUAAAGAUUUCAAAACACAGAUGAUGAGUGUGUUUGAAAUGACAAAUUUGGGGCUUAUGUUUUACUUUCUAGGAAUGAAGAUAUUACAGCUACUUGAAGAGAUUGUCCUGCAUCAGACAAAGUAUGCAAGAGAUAGACUAAAGAAAUUCAAUCUGGAUUCUUGCAAGUCUGUGGACAUACCUUUAACAAUUGGAUGUAAGCUGAGCAAAGAAGAUGAAUCAGAAAAGGCUGAUGGAAAACUUUACAGAAGUAUGGUAGGAUCUUUGCUAUAUUUGUUAGCCACUAGGCCUGAUAUCAUGUUUGCUACAAGUCUUCUUUCAAGGUUCAUGCAAUCUUCAUCAAAUUUACAUUUUACUACCAUUAAAAGAAUACUUAGAUAUGUGAGAGGUGCUGUGGAUUUUAGUUUGAAAUAUACAAGAGCUGAAAGCAGUAAAUUGGUGGGAUAUAGUGACAGUGACUGAGCAAGGUCCUUUGAAGAUUCAAAAAGCACUAGAGGAUAUUGUUUUUCUUUUGUUAGUGGUGUUUUAUGUAGAACUUUAAGAAGUAGGAUAUAGUAGCUCAGUUUUCAACUGAAGCUGAGUAUAUAGCUAUAAUUGCUGCAACUAAUCAAGCUGUGUGGUUGUGGAAAUUUCUAUCUGAUCUUAGUUUUAAAUAGCAAAAAGGAACAGUAAUCUAUGUGGACAACCAGUCAUUGAUUGCUAUUGCUAAAAAUCCUAUGCAGCAUGGGAAGACCAAGCAUAUUAGAGUGAAGUGUCAUGCUCUUAGAGAAGCUGUUAAGGUAGAAGCAGUUCAACUCAUUUAUUGUCCAAUAGAUGUCUAGUUUGCUGAUAUCUUUACUAAGGGACUCAAUUGAGAAAAGUUUGAGUUUUUGAGGUCAAGCUUGGGAGUUUUCCAAGUAUUCAAUCAUGGGGAUAUGUUGGAAGAGUGAUUGAAAUCCGAAUGAAACGGUGCUACAGAAGAAAGGUUGUUUGGUGGGAGUUUAACCAUCAUUUGAAGAUAGAAGACUCGGAGGUGGAAGCAAUAUGUGUCAUUUCAUCAUUGUCAGUUUGGAGAGUCUUAAACGCAGGACAAUGAGUCGUUUAAAUAAAUGCACAAAACCUAUGCUUGGUAUCUGUGCUAUUUGUUGGAUCUUAUUUCCAGUGUACUCAUACCAAGGCUAGAUCUAAGCUCAUUUUGUUUUUAGUUUUUUUUCAAAAUUCCUGUAUAAAAACUGAAAUGGAAAUUGAAUUGGUGUUGAGAGGGAAACCUAUAUCCUGAAAAUUUCUUGAGGCCAAAUUCUUUCAUCAAAGAUUUUUCUCUCUAUUCUUCUUUGAGUUUCUCUACAGCUUUAUAUAACAGAGCAUGGUAUCAAAGCAAGUGUCUUGAGGGAUCUAUGACUCAAUCUUCUUCUCCAAAAUUUUUUCAAACUUCAUUUUUUUUGCAGUCAAAUGGCAACUGUUGGUUUCUUUACUUCGACACCACCUAUUUUUACUAGCUCAAACUAUUAGAUUUGGGUAGUGAAGAUGAGGUCUUAUCUUAAGGCAUUUGAUAUGUAGGAGGUCGUUGAAUCUAGAGAAGUUCCUGUACAGAGGCACGCUAAUCCUACUUUAGCUCAAAUUAAGAGCAGGGAGAUAGGUUUAAUCCUUGUCCUUAUUGCAAGAAAAGAAAUCAUACCAGCAAGUAUUAUUGGUACUGCCUUAAUGUGAAGUGCAGGGCUUGUCAUUAGCUAGCACAUGUAGAAAAAGCGUAUAAGGCUAAGAAAACAAAUGUUGAAUGUCAAGUUGCUGUAGGAGAAAAGAUUAAGGUGUUAAAAGAGUGAUUGAAAUCUGGAUGAAAGGCUAUUAUGGAAGAAAGGUUGUUUGGCAGGAGUUACCCAUCAUUGGAAGAUAAAAGACUCAGAGGUGGAAGCAAUACUGUGUCAUUUCAUCAUUGUCAGUUUAGAGAGUCUUAAAUGUAAGACAAUGAAUCUUUUAAAUAAAGUCUUGUUAUACGGCAUAUGGUUGUGUCGUUUUAUUUUUAGUUUUCAGUACGUUUUAGCCCAAUGUUGUUUUGAGCUUCAUUUUCUUCUAGCUUAACAGCUACUUCAAUUUUUUGUUAUUGUUACCCUUGCAAAUGCACAAGAAACUAUGUUUGGUAUCUUUGCUAUUCAUUAGAUCCUAUUUUUCAAUGUACUUAUACUGAGGUUAGAUCUAAGCUCAGUUGUUUUUAGUUUUUUCAAAUUCUUGUAUAAAAAUUGAAAUGGAAAUUGAAUUGGUGUUGAGAGGGAAACCCAUAUAUUGAAAAUUUCUUGAGUCCCUAUUCUUUCAUCAAAGAUUUUUCUCUCUAUUCUUCUGUGAGUUUCUCUGCAACUUCAUGUAACUCAACAUGGCACUUCAUGUGUCCCUCAAUUGGGGUUUCCAUCAGAAGUAUUGUGCUUGUAUACUUAUUCAUAAAAAUAAGUCAAAUUAGUAUUUGACAAACUUAAUGUAGAAAUACAUUUUAAAAAAACUAUUUGAUAAUAUUUUAAUUUAUUUUUAACGGAUAAAAACUAAACAGCUCAACUUUAUUAAUCCAAAUCAUAAGUUAUAAAAUGAAUAUAAUAAACAAAAAAAAUAACUUUUAUUGAGUGAGGGUAAAUAACUGAAAAGAAAAUAAUAUUCUAUGUGAUGUGAGCAAAAUGAUUGCAAAGAAAUGGCUCUUAGGAAUACGUAGGAAUGUGGUUUUGUAAUUAUAAUAGUGUGAUCAGGUUAACAUGGGUAUUAUUCUAAAUUGAUCAAUGCUCGAGUUUUUGUUUUAGGGGCAGCAAGCUGCAAAUUAUUUUUUGAGACAGCUAGAUAGGAUUUUGAGCAAAACUGCCAACAGCUUUUUGAGCGAUAAUUGUCUUUUGUAAUUGUAUAGGUUUUCUUUGUCCAUACUUUGUCCUUAUGCCAUGGAAAGUCUCUUGCCGAUUAAGCAAUAAACUUAGAAUGACAUACUGAUUUUCGAGGCUAAUAAAUAGGGUAAAAUAUUAAGAACUUCUUAAGUCUUAAUCAUAAUUUCACGCGGUUCUAUUAGUUUUUGAAAUAAACAGUUAGUCCAAAAAAAAUCUUUUGCUGGACACGUAGGUCUAGUCAUUAAUCAAUCGUUAAUAUUUUUGUUAAUUUGAUGAUGUGAUAAUAUCGAAAAGAUAAUUUUACUAUAUAUUAAUUUUAAAAAUUACUAUUAUAUAAAUUAUAUUUUUUAAAUUUUAAUUCUUUUUGCAAAAAAAAAAGAUCGGUGCUCCCCAAGGGAAGGAUCAUCAUAUUGGUGCUCCCAAGGGUGCUCCCCUCCCAUGGAGAGCACCAGAUUGAUGAUCCCUUCCCUUGGGGAGCACCUACCGUAAGGUGGUUGGCUGGCGAAUGGGAGCGCACUGACUGACCACAUUGUUUGAGAGAAAAAAUAGAGAUAGAAAAAAAGGGUAUUUUAAUUGUUUUAUAUUUUCUGUUAAUGGUAUUUGCACUUUUUGGAUUUUAUUAUCUUUUUCGAAAACUAAUGGACCUGCGUGAAAUUUUUGUUAAAACUUAAUGGGAUGUAGGUAUUUUACCCUAAUAAUAUGCUAAAUAUUUGACACACUAAAUCAAGCCUUUCUCCUAGUCUAAGAUUAAGAAAGGAUGAAGGUAAAGAUCUUCCCCCAAGCUGAUACUUGAAUUAAUUUGAAUUGGAAACUAGUUAAGCUAGUAAUUGCUGUCAACUACAUGAUUUGGAAAGAAUGCUAUCUGAUUUGGGAUGCCUAAUUAAGCCCACAUACUUGAUUUCAGCAGGCCAUUGGCAAAGCUUACUAGAAACAUGCAAUCAAAGAGUCCCUAGAAAAGAAGAAGAAACAAAUGGUAUUGUUACAUUCAAGGAUAAGUUCUUUCCUUACAACUUACAAGCUCAAAUGCUCAAUAAACUCAUACAUAAAACGAUAUCCCUCCGAUACUGUCUUAUUUCUGGCUAAUUCUUUCUUACACCACUUUUUCUAAGCAGUCCUUUUUGCCUUUCUAAAAUAUUCACCUUCAACUCGAAAUUGAUCAUGACGGCACAAUCAAUUGUGGUUUACGGAAAACAAUGUAUCCCACAGGCACUCCAAAUAGAAAUCCACAUGCAUAACCAACGAAGACAGCUUUGUCCAACCAGCCAAAUCCAAUUUUGUAACCAUUGAUUUUGUUGGAGUUCAUCAGUGUCGGUGAUGGUGGUGGAGGUGAUGGUGGUGAUCGUGGCUCAGGAUUCAUGCAAGGUCUAGAGAGUGGAGAACCACAUAGUCCUUCAUUUCCUUCAUAGGAACUACUGUCAAAAGUGGCGAAUUGCUUUUCUAAUGGGACAGGUCCAACAAGUUGAUUAUUGGAAACGUUUAAAACUUCAAGAAAUGACAAACCUACCAAUUCCUCUGGAAUCAUCCCAGUUAACUUGUUUGAGGAAAGAUCUAACCAUUCAAGACUGAUCAAAUUUCCCAAUGAUAACGGGAUAUGACCACUCAGUCUGUUAUGAGAAAGGUUAAGCCCUCUGAGCGAACUAAGCUCUCCAAAAAUUUUUGGAAUCUCUCCUUCAAACUUGUUACUUGAUAGAUCAAUGCCUGUGUACAUGGUCAAAAAUUUGGCAGAUCCAAUCAUAUCAAACCCUUUAACCCUUAUAGGACCAGUAGAAUAAUUAUAAAUGACGCUGUAGUUAUUAAUUUGUUCCUCCAUAUACGGCACAAAGUUUUCAUCUAGAUGCAUCAUUUGCUUCAAACUAUUGAUAUAACUAGCCGGUAAAGGGCCACAAAAAUUAUUGUUGGAAAGAUCAAGAAUCUGCAAGUUUUGAAAAGAAUGAUUGGUCCUUGAACCAUAAAUGGAACCAUGGAAGCUAUUUGAAUGUAAUAUAAGAACUCGUAAUCCCGGUAGUGCUCCCAGCCAAUGGGGAAAUGUAUCAUUUAUGUUGUUGUUGCCAAGAUCAAACAGUUCCAGGCUUCUACAAUCUUUGAUAGACUCCGUCAAUGGCCCUUCCAAUAGAUUUCCAUUCAAAUUGAGAUACCUUAGUGCACAAUCUUUGGCAAAUGUUGAAGGAAUGGUUCCAUUAAGCUUAUUCAUCCCCAGGUUCAACACUAAAAGAUUGCUCAACUUCACAAGGCAUUUUGGAAUGGUUCCAACCAAAGAGUUGUGAGACAAAUCGAGAACUGAUAGAAAUUUUACAUUGCAUAUGAAAGAAUUGAUCUCUCCGGUCAAUUUAUUAUUUGAGAUUGAAAAGUAUCUUGUGUCAAGAGGAAGAAUUGGAAGUGAUCCUUGGAUCAAGUUGGAAUGAAGGUCAAGAAUUUUCAUAUUCUUCCAUGGAAGUUGCUCUAAAUAUGUAAGGGAGUUAAGAGAAAGGUUUAACAAGGCCAAAGAGUCUUUCCCUACAUCCCACAUCCAUUUGGGAAUCUGACCAGAAAUUCUAUUGUUGGAAAGAUCUAAAUGCUGCAAACCUUCAGAUCUACUUAAAAAGUGGGGAAAUUCACUAAUGUUGCAAGAAGACAAACGCAAAUAUUGAAGAUUAGGUAAGGCAUAAUCAAGAUCAAUAUCAGAGUUCAGUGAUAGCUUGUUAUAUGAAAGAUCUAAAUGCUGCAAAACUUCAAAUCUACUUAAGAAGUGGGGAAAUUCACUAAUGUUGCAAGAAGCCAGCUGCAAAUACUGAAGAUUAGGCAAGGUAUAAUCAACAUCAAUAUCAGAGUUCAGUGAUAGAGUGUUGUAUGAAAGAUCAAGACCUUCAAGACUGUGAAGUUUCGAUAACAUAUUCAACUCCAGAGAACCACUUAGGUUAUUGGAUGAUAAAUCAAGAUAAGUAAGGUUCACAAGAUAGAAUAUUGAAUUCGGAAUCAGACCUGAAAAGCUUGAGCUAGAGAGGUUGAGAUGCAGUAGAUUCUCCAAUUGACCAAACUGGUCAGGUGAGAUCAUGGAAUUGUAGAAGUAAUUAUAGGCAAGGUUGAGCUUCUGCAGGUGUCGAAGGAGAAAUAGGCUACUAUUGGAAGGAAUGGUACCAUAGAGCCAACUGCAACUGAGGUCAAGGCCGAUCACUUGACCUGUUGCAUUGUCACAACUGAUACCAUCCCAUGAGCAGCAGUCUGUACCUUCCUUCCAUGAAUCCGUUUUAGGAUAAGAUAGGAUGCCAUUAUGGCCACAUUCCUUAGAAGCAUCUUUGUCCAAGGAAAAUGACUUCUUGAAUUGAAUCAAGGCAGCACUCUCUUCGUGAGAACACACUUGUGUUGCUAAAGAAGAAGAUAUGGAGGAUGAAAGAGUAGCUUGAAAAUUCAAGUAAAGCAAAAGAAGGCAGAGAAAUUGAUUGAAACUACGUAAACACUCCAUUUUUCUGAUUCAGAGAAGAUCAAUAAUGGUAUAAUAUAUAUGGAGGAAUAAAGCAGACAUGAAUAUUUAUAAGCUGCCAAGUCAACUAAAGUCUUGCAAGGAAAUUGUCGCGCAAAUUGCUGGAACACAACAUUCAAUCAACAAUAUUGUACUUAAUAUUUUCUACAUCACAUAACUUUCAAUUAAUAUUAAUCCAACGGUCCCUAGCGAAAGAUGAUAAGGAUCAUUGAUUAAUAAGAAGGCAACUAUAAUCAUUCACAUUGAUGUUAAGAGUGUAACCUUUAAUUGCACUGGUCAAGUCUAGCCGUGAAGAACAAAAGAUAAAGGGACGAGUAUUGAAUGAGGUGAUGCCCCGCUGAAUGUAGCACGCCAGCGUAGGCUAAGGAUUAGGGAGACUUCUUUGUCAUGCAGAAAAUUUUGUCAUGCAGGUCCCAUAUCCCAUUGUUGACUAGUUGACUCGGUUAAAGCUAGGCCUAGACAAGUCGUACAUCAGCUCCCAGCCACAAAAGCAGGAGUAAAUUACAAGGAAAAAAUGCACAUGGGAAUGGAUUAGGUCUAGUCGAGAGUAUUAAACACGGGUGAAGAGCACAAGAACACCUUUUUCCAAGGAGGUUGGGGUCACCUUCAAAUGAUAUCAUCUCCGUGCAGAAAAGAAGUUUUAAUUUUUCAAUUCGAUAUCUAGCCAGUGAGUUCGCGAACGAGUUGCCUUCUUUGAAAAUAUGAUGAAAAGAUACCGUAAGGGAUAAUCGCAGUCGAAUGAGGAUUUCUUAUUUUAGUUAGAAUAAUUACUGAUUGAAUUUUAAUUUUUAAUUUGUAAAUAAAUUCUUAACUUUAACAGAAAAUUAAUUAUUAAUUGUUUUAAAAUUUAAUAACAUCUUGUAUUUUUUAUCCACCUAAUGUAUGAUGUGUUUUGACGAUGUAAUCACAUGAUAACAGAGUGACUAAAACCCAAAAUUUGACAAACCUCAACCCUUGGCUUCCUUGCCAGUCGUUGGCAACGCCAUCUAUCGACACCAAAAUUACCUAAAGAAAAUUUUGGAUUCCUUUCCUCCUCUUUUCUUCAACAGGAAUAGAUUUUUUCUUGAAGUCCUUUCUUCUUUUUUUUUUUUCCAAAUCUCAAAAGGAUCGAAAAUCUAAAAAUUCUAAAUCUAGGUUUGGUUUUGUUUUUUAAGAAUUGAUGAAAAUCAAUAUGUUGGAUAGAUUUUUAUUAUUUUAGAACUUUAAUUAGAAACGUAAAUUUAUUAUUUUUGUGGGAAAAGUCACAAAUCGAAAGUACUGUUGUUGGAUAAUUUUUUGAUGAAAUUACAUGAAUAAAUAUAAUUUACAAUCAUAAUCGAACAAUCUUGAAUAUAUGUAUAACAAUCUAUUACAUCCAAUAUAAAAAAUGAAUGAACAGGUGUAAUGGAAUUUCCAUUCAUUGUACACAAAGGCCAUAGACAAUCAACCAACCAACCCUUCUCUAUAUUCUAGUCAAUCCACUACAUAACAAGACUAACAAUGUAAUUCUAUUAUUUGGGAAGACUAAAGUACAGAGGAUUAACAAUGUUACAACAAAGAAAAACAACAUGCUUUAUGUAACCUUAUCAUCAAGCAAAUCAUUUCCCCAAACAUGGAAGUUAUCAUAAACAUGGAACUUGUUUGAACCGUCUAAAAUCUUCUUGCAUUUCUUGUACGAGCUCUUUUCUUUGACCGUGUUGCCUUUUGGUGUAGUCUACCCUCGACCAACAUCACAAACCAUUUAGGUUUUCCGGUUUUGAAGACAACAUGUCCCAUGGCCAAACCAAAUGUCAUUCCACAUCCAUAUCCUAUUAACACAACUUUCCAGCUGAAGGCAUUUGUGAGCUUUGAAUCACCGUGAAAGGUCAUUGACGAAGGAGGUUGUGUCCCUUCAUUGCUGCAAGAUUUUGACAUCGGGAACCCACAUAACCCCAAGUUUCCUUCAUAUGACUCGUUUUCAAAUGUGUUGAACUGUUUGCCUAAGGGAAUUGGUCCUUCAAGUUGGUUGUGAGAAAGGUUGAGGAUGGAUAGGAAAGUCAAGUUUUCUAGUUCUUGGGGAAUCUGUCCGGUUAACUUGUUUGAAGAGAGGUCUAACCACUCAAGAUUUAUCAAACAUCCCAUUGAUGGCGGAAUGUGACCACCAAGAUUAUUAUGGGAAAGAUUGAGUCCUCUAAGUGAGAUUAGCUCUCCAAUAACUUCCGGAAUCUCUCCAUCGAACUUGUUGAGAGAGAGAUCAAUGCUUGUGAAUAUCGUUGAUAUCUUGAUCUCAAUUUCCUCUGCUUUCAUUGUCAAGCUAACAAAACAUUCAUAACGUUUUGCUUCCUGCAUAUAUUGUACAGAACCAGGACUUCCAUUGAGAUAUUUCAAAGCCUCAAAAUUUUUUAUAAACUUGGCUGGCAAGGUACUCCCGAACUCAUUGUUGGAGAGGUCUAAUAUUCGCAACUUGGGGAAAGAGUGACUUGUAUUGGGAUUGCUUAUGAAGCCAUGUAAGUUAUUUGAUCGUAAAAUGAGAACUUGUAACACUGGCAAUGUUUCCAACCAAUUGGGGAAUGUACCAUCUAUUUUAUUGUCACCAAAAUCUAGAACUUCUAUAUCCCUACAGUUUGUCAAAGAUUGUGGUAAAGGCCCAUCAAAUUGAUUGCCAUUCAAGUUGAUGUUCUUCAAUCCACAGCUCUUUGCAAACGUUGUAGGAAUUUUUCCAUGGAAAUUAUUCCUCUCUAGAUUCAACACCAAUAGCGAUUUGCUGAAGUUUCCAAUACAUUGUGGAAUUUUCCCACUCAAUUCAUUAUGAGACAAGUCAAGAACCAUGAGGGAACUCAAAUUGCAAAUAUGAGAAGAGACCUCUCCCGUUAAGGAAUUAUUUGAGAUUGACAAGAAAAGCAAGUUGAUAGGCAAAGUUGGGAUAUUACCAUGAAUCAAGUUGAAGUUGAGGUCAAGAGUCUGAAUGUUCUUCCAUGGAAUUUGUUCUAAAUCUGUCAGAAAGUUGUAGGAAAGAUUCAAGUAGAGCAAAGAGUCCCUUCCUAUAUCCCACAUCCAUUUGGGAAUUUGACCAUAAAUUCUAUUGUUGGAAAGGUCUAAAGCUUCUAAGUUUGUCGAGCCACUUAAAAUUGGGAAUUCACCGAUAUUGAAAGAAGGCAGAUACAAAAUCCGGAGAUUGGGCAAGGUAUACGUGGCACUGAUAUUAGAAUUUAUGGACGACAGGCUGUUGUAUGAAAGAUCAAGCCAUUCAAGAUUCUGGAGUUUCAGAAAAGCGUCCAACUCCACAAUGCCACUCAAGUUAUUUGAUGACAAAUCAAGAUCAGUCAGGUUCACAAGUUCGAAUAUCGACUUUGGAAUUUGACCUUGAAGUUUAUUAUUCCCCAAAGAUAUCCAUGUGAGUGAUUUGUAUUGGAACUCAUUGAUAUGACCAGUCAAUUGGUCAUUGUGGAUAGUUAUGAAUUUUAAUGAUGGAAUGGUAUAUAACCAAGCUGGUAGUGGUCCGUUAAGUAAGUUGUUAGACAGGUCUAGGUCAAUUAGAUUAGGGAAAGCACUUGCUUGAACUGGAAUGGAACCAUCUAGUUGAUUAUCAAAAAUGUACAAGAAUUGGAGUUGUUUUAGGUUUGUGAGUGAAGGAGGUAUCUGACCACUAAAAUGAUUUCUAGAAAGUUCCAAAUAAGUAAGUUGCGACAGAUUUCCCAAUGAUCUUGGAAUUGGACCGGAGAAGUUACAUAGACCAAGCUGCAAAUGCUUCAAGGACCCCAAAUUACCGAUUGAAUUAGGUAAUUUUCCAGCGGAAGAUGUUCCUAAAAGAUUCAAAUACUGGAGGGGACUACUCCAAUUGGACUCUGGGAGAUGGACAAUGAGGUUUUUGUUUUCCUUCAGAUCAAGCAACUUAAGGUUUGGUAGACGGAAAAUGGUUAUUGGGAAGUUUCCUCGCAAAUCAGAACCUCUAAGACUGAGGGAUGUUAACGAAGAAGACAUAUUCAUUAGGGAAACGGGACGGAUGGAAGACAUAUCUACACUAGCAAGAAAAAGUUCCCUUACCUCUGUUAGGUUUUGUAGAAGUCCACUGAAAGUAUUUUCAGUGAGUGCUGGACUGUCAUUCAAGGAGAGAUCAAGUGAAACCAAUUUUGACAAUCUGGAGAUUUCAGGCGGGACUUGCCCCGAGAAAUUUGACAUAGAAAGGUUGAGAUAUGACAAGCUUGUAAACAAACCAAAUUUAGAUGAAAUAAUGGAUUUCUUAAAAUGAUUAUGGGCUAGGUUGAGCUUCUGCAAGUGUGGAAGAAAGAACAGACUACUAUUGCAAUCAAGGGUACCAUACAGCCAGCUGCAACUUAGAUCAAGACCAAUCACUUGGCCUGUUAAAUGGUCACAAGUGACUCCAUCCCACAAGCAGCAGUCUGUUCCCUCCUUCCAUAAAUUUGUUUUAGGGUAAGAUUUGGUGCCAAGUGAUUUGCAUUUUUCAGAAACAGUUUUGUUGAUGGAAAAGGUGUUCUUGAAGUGGAUCAAGGCAACACCAUCUUGGUGAGAGCACAUUGGUGUUGUUGUUGAGGAAGAGGAUAAAGAAGAGAAAAGAGUAGCUUGAAAAUUUAGAAAAGAUAAAACAAGGCAAAGAAACUGACAGACUCUUGGUAAAUACCCCAUGUUUUUGGUUCAAAGAGAAUUUUAGAAUGGUAAUGCAAUGUCGGCAAAGAUUAUUAUUUAUAAGCUAUUAAGUCAAACCAUAGUCUUUUGCAUGCACUAGCCUUUUUUUUUCUAAUUAAAAAUAAUUAAAAAAAUUAAACUUGAAAAUCAACAAAAUAAAUAGAUUGAUAAUACUCUAUUGAUGAGCAUAUUACUAAAAGUUAUUUGUCAAUAUUUUUAUUUUAUUUUGUUAUUUUUUUAAAAAAAAUAAUUUUAUUAAACCUCUCAACGGAAAUUCUAUUGUAAGUUUCAAGUUGGUCUGUCAAAGACUCCCUAUGACAUAAAAAUUCUGAUCAUGACAUAGAUAAUCUUUACACUUAAAAGGUGAUCAUUGCACAAAAAGCUAUUGGGUACUGGUCACACCAAUUUACACAAAAAAGCAAAAGAAAGCUACCUAAGACAAUUUACACAAAAGAGCAAAAGAAAUCUGUCUAACCCCCUCAACAAAAAUUUGGGCAUUCCUUCAAUGAAAUUGCAAUAAAACUAACAGAUCCAACUAAUUGUUACUCAUCAAAAGGAGAGCCAUAAAUUUCAGCUCAAACCUAUACAAAGAAACGUCUCUUGUCCUAAUUCCAAGGCCAAGCUGCACACCUAAUUCCAUUGCAACUCUUCAAAAAUUCACGUCCAAACCAUUCUUGCAUCCAGACACGAAAUGAGACAGAACCACACAUGUCAUUGACAUGACAUCAUUCUUCCUUAAGUGACGCCAUUGGAAAAAAUCAAGGAUAAAGAUUACAUCCUUUGGAACGAAAGCAAUCAUCACCUUUCCAAGGCCUAACGCUCCUUCCUGAUAAUAAAAGUAACAACCACAAAGAAAUCUGAAUGCACAAACAAAAAGAAAACAAUCUGAGGCAGGUCAAGUCUACAAAUCUACAAUUUCCUGAUAAAGGAAAACGAAUCACAACCUUGUCUUUUCAGGUUUAAAAAAUACAUUUAUAAAUGGGACCUGUCAUUCCGUAUUGAUUAGUUAACAUGUGAGUGUCACAUGUCUUUAGCAAAUAAUACUUAAAGACUUUAGAUGAUAUCAUGACUUAGUGCUAAUAAAAUUAUUUUAAAGAAAAUAUAUAUGUCAGUGUGGCAUGCCGGUCAAAAGCUAUACAAAUGUGUUUAUUAAUUAAUGUAUAGCUAUUUCUGAUUGAUUGCUGAGAAGAUGGUGAUGAAGGUAUAGUGCUUUCUUUUUGUAAAGAAAAAGAGAACUUGAAUCCUUAUCUUGGAGGAUCAGACACCUCCUUAGUAGGUGAAACCAAAUCUUCUUCCCCAUUGUCUGUCCUAAUUUCCACAACUUAUGAUACGAUUCAUUUUUUUAUUAUUGUGUCAAUACUUAUUUGGCUUUAGCUUUUAACUUUUGACUGAUAUUUUGUAAAGAGUUCUUAUAGUGCUUGCGAAGGUAAUUUGUUCUCAUUGCCUUUGGAUUAAUUUUGAAGGGUUUUGUCCCCAACAUCACAUCCAUCCCAAAGUGCGAGUCCUUUUAGGUGACAAACAUGAAAACAAAGAAAGAGAACAUCUGGAAGAAUGGAAACAAUCACUACCUUUCUUAUGAUCACUAAGGGUCUGCCUUGGUUACAAAAUAAUAUAUUAAAGGAAAUUAUUAAUUCUGUUUGGUUUAAUCUAUCAUUUUUUAUUUUUGUUUCAAUAAAUAAAAACACAAAAAGACGUUUAGAUUUGAAAAAAUAAAUAAUAAUUUUGAAUAGUUAAAAAUUAAUUAUAAUCUUUCAGAAAAUAAAAUGGAUGAUUCUUUUAUACGAAGCUGAAUUUCAUUAGAAAGGAAAACGAGUUACUCUAAAGUUAAUAAUUAGAUGUUGCGAAGUAGUUUUGCAAUGAAAUUUAGAGAUGUUUAUGUGCUGGUUGUGCCCGCUUGACAUAUUGAAAAAAAUUAAAAUUUCAGCCCAAUUUGACUAUUUAUGUUUAAAAUAUUAAAAAAAUUAUAUUAAUAUUUUAUAUUUUUAAAUACACUUUAAAAUUAAAAAUAAAAAUUUUAUAUUAAUUAUUAAUUUAAUAACAGUCUAGGGUCGAGUCGAGUUUAAAAUUAAAAAAUCAUGUCCACACUUAAGUUAGUCAGACUCAAAUCUAAAAAAUCAUGUCCACAACUAAUCUAAGUUAAAUUUUGUUUUUUUAUCCAUCAGAUUAUGAGUUUAUUAAUGAAAGAGUCUUCGACAGACUCGUAUCCAUGGCCUUAGUGUGAUAAUCACACCCAGCCAAGACAUUUCAUUACAAGCACCCCACAAGGGCUAUAAACGUCUUCAUCACCUUAACCAGAUCUAUGAGUACCUCUAUCAUGGAUGUUGCAUUUUAAUUUCUUAUUUAUUUUUAAUCAAUUACGAUUUUUUUUUUACCAUUUGUUGUUUUGCCUUUUUAACAAAUAAUUAUGAAACAAAUUAAAAUAGCUCAUACGGAACUAAAUGGAUAACCAUUUUUCAUAAUAUAUUUUGCUUUCUUUUAUUUUUGGGCAAUAUUUUGCUUUCUUUUUGACCUGUUUUAUUGUAGCCCUAGAAUUCAAGCCAUCAAAGAAUCAGCAAAGAGCGCAAUAAACUUUUUGUCAGAUAUGGAGUUUUUUAAAAACUUUUAUUGCGAUUAAUCAGAUAGUAAUUUAAGAAUAAAAUGAUGCUGAUAAGCUCAACUAGAAAGUCCAUAGUGCUUUCCAAAUCAGAAGCCAUCAUCUACCUCCCCAAGCAUACUCACGCAAGCCAACCCCACAAGUCGUGAAGCAUGCUCUCCUUCGGACAUAUUUUAAGGUUUAAAAUAGAUUCAAAUUUUGGGACCCUCAUUGCACUUUGAUUCAAACUGGUAGGUUUGUUUAGUAUGUCAGUUACAAACUUAUAUGUAUAUUUUCAAAGCUCCAUGAAUUUGAUUACUAAAGAAACAAAGAUGAUCAUGAUCCAAUAUCUCAAUUGUAUGAAAUAUAAUUUUGAAGAAAGAAAAAUUCAAACCCAGUUCUUAAUUUAUUUGUUAUCUUGGUCGAAUACCUGCUCAAGUGCAAAGGCUUAUGGUAAGUAUAUACAUCUUCCUAGUCAAAUACUUCAAAUCAAGUCCUCCUCUCUUUUCUCACGUCAAAAAGAAAAUCAAAGAAAAUUUCCGUGAUUUUAACGGAAAUGAAAAGAACAGGAAAGAACAAAGUCAAGUCUUCUCCGGUGCAUUCCUUCCAUGUUAAAUUAUAGUUUAAUUUACAAUUGAGACCUCCAUUGCCACAAAAUUUAUAGUAUAAUUUAACAUGUAAGUGUUCAACUAGUCAAAAAGCAAAUGAAUAAUAUAUCCAUAAAAGUCAUGCUUUUAUCGGGAAAAAUUAUAGUCAUGAUUCUUGNNNNNNNNNNNNNNNNNNNNNNNNNNNNNNNNNNNNNNNNNNNNNNNNNNNNNNNNNNNNNNNNNNNNNNNNNNNNNNNNNNNNNNNNNNNNNNNNNNNNUGAAGGCACCGUGUUGACUUGGAAAGAAGUUGGAAUUUGUAGCAUUCUGGACAAUACACAGCAAGAAUUCCAUUUCUCUCAUUUCGGUUGCUUCAGAUUUCACUUCUCUAAAAAAUCUCAUCAUUUUUUUAUAAUUCCCAAUGUCACAUGCAAGUCAAUCUAAAUUAGCAGAGGUUGAAAAUAUUGUUGCAUUAUAUAUGGCUGGAAUUCAAUACAAAAUGUGUUAAAAAUUGAAAAAUAAAGUUGAGUAUAGCUUAUUGAAACAAAACAAGAUGGUGAACUUUAUUACAAGGUACAAAUAUAUAUUAUUACUACAACGUAGGGUAGCAUGGAAUGGAACACCAUUUAGCCAAGACUUUCAUUCCAAAAAGCACUGGCAAAAUAUGGAAGGCCGCCCCUAUUGUAACUAGUUACUUCUUUCGAAACGACUACAAGCAUUUUUUCUUCCUUGAUCUUUUCCCCUUUUGAAGCUGUUUUCCCUCGACCAAAUUUAUAAUCCAUUUUGGUUUUCCUGUUUGGAAGACAAGAUAUCCACCAGUCAGUCCAAAUAUCAAACCACAUCCAUACCCCAUCAACACAACUUUCCACCCAAAUCCAAUUCCUGAUUCUUUCAUCGCUUUGGUGGGCUUUUGCAUCCCGAUUUCAUUGCAAGCUUUCGACAGUGGAAAGCCACAUAACCCAACGUUUCCUUCAUAUGAACUGUUUUCAAAAGUGUUGAAUUGUUUGCCUUGAGGUAUAGAUCCAACAAGUUGAUUCUUGGAAAGAUUUAAAAUGACAAGAAAUGUCAAAUUUACCAAUUCCCAAGGUAUCUUGCCAAUAAGCUUGUUCGAUGAGAGAUCUAACCAUUCAAGAUUGGUCAAGUUUCCAAUGGAUGGUGGAAUAUGACCAAAGAAGUUGUUAUGAGAAAGAUUCAGCCCUAUGAGUGAAUUAAGCUUUCCUAUAACUUCUGGAAUCACGCCCUGGAAGUAGUUAUUGGAGAGAUCAAUGCUUGUGAAUAUGGUUAAAACUUUCACCAAUUCAACCUCUUGUCCUUUUAUUGUCAGAACUACUGAAUAGUCAUAUGAGCGGCUUCCUUCCACGUAUUUUGAAGAACUUCUGCUGUCAGUGUGAUUCGCCAUAGCUUUUAGAUUUUCAAUGUAACAAGCAGGAAAAGGACCAACAAAAUCAUUGUUAGCGAGGUCUAAGACUCGUAGCUUGGGGAAAAGUAGUCUUGCUCUGGAAUUAUUUACAACACCAUGGAAUUUAUUUGAACUCAAAACAAGCACUUGCAGCAUUGGAAGAGUUUCCAACCAAUUGGGAAAUGUACCCGUGAACUUGUUCUUGCCAAGGUCUAGAACCUUCAGGUUCCUACAAUUGGCCAAAGAUCUUGGUAACAACCCUUCCAUUUGGUUUCCAUGGAAGUUGAGAUUCUCUAAGCUACAGGGUUCCACAAUUGAUUUGGGGAUGGUUCCAUGAAAAUUAUUUGCCCUCAGAUCCAACACUAAAAGAUUUUUACUAAAGUUAAGAAGACAACUAGGAAUCUUGCCACUCAAGUUGUUAUGUGAUACAUCAAUAAUUUUCAGGGAACUGACCGUGCAAAUCAAAGAAGGAAUCUCCCCCGUCAUGUCAUUGUUUGCAAUGGAAAAGAAAGAAGUCCGAACGGGUGGAAUUGGAAGCACUCCUUGAAACAGGUUAGAUUGGAGGUAGAGAAUUACAACAUUCCUCCAUGGGAAUUGCAAAUGACCUGUUAGAAAAUUAUGAUCAAGGUAUAAAUGUAACAAAGAUUCCUUCCCCACAUUCCACAUCCAUUUGGGAAUCUGGCCUUGAAUUCUAUUUUUGGAAAGGUCUAAAAACUUCAACCCUUUUGAACCUCUCAAGAAAUUGGGGAAUUCACUCAAGUUACAAGACGACAAUGACAAGGACUGGAGAUUGGUUAAUGUGUAGUUGACAUGAUUCUCUGAGCUCAAUGACAGACUAUUAAGAGAAAGAUCGAGUGAUUCAAGAUUUUGGAGCUGCGAAAACAUGUCUAACUCAACAAUGCCACUAAAGUUAUUUAAAGAUAGAUCAAGCACGGUGAGGUUUACAAGUUGAAAGAUUGAGCUUGGAAUAUGACCCUGCAACAUGUUUUUUUUUAAAUAGAUUAUGGACAAAGAUUUUGACUGGAAUUCGCUAAUAUGACCGUUGAGUCUAUUAUUUGCAAGAGACAAUGACUGUAAUGAAGGUAACUUAAACACCCAAGGUGGUAUAGUUCCAUUAAGUAAGUUAGAAGGCAAGAAUAAAGUUACUAAUUUUGAAAGCCCAUUUGCAUAAUGAGGAAUAGUGCCCUCUAGUUCAUUAUAUGACAAGUCUAAAUGUUGAAGCUGUGUGAGGUUUGCAAGAGAUGCUGGGAUCCAUCCACUAAACUUAUUAUCCGAGAGCUCUAGGACAACAAUUUGUGAAAGGUUUACAAGUGAUGCCGGGAUUGACCCAUUCAAGUCACAACUAGCAACAUUUAAAGAUUUCAAUGACUUCAAACUCCUGAUUGAAUCAGACAAUUCUCCAACAAGAAUAGUCUGUUUAAGAUCUAAGACUUCAAGGGUACUAGUCCCAUUGGACUUUGGAAGAUAAACCAGAAGAUCAGGGUUGUUACCUAAUUUGAGCAACUUCAGAUUUGGAAAUUGAAAAAUUAUGUCCGAAAUUGUCCCAUUUAAUCCACAAUCAUCCAGACUAAGAGAUGUCAAAGAGGAAGAAAGGUUCACUAAGUGAACAGGGUCAACUGAACACAUGUCUAUUCCAGCAAGGAAAAGUUCUUCUACCUCGCUAAAGUUCUGAGCUAACCUUUUCAGAGUUGUUGUUUCAAGCUUCAGUGCAUGAAACGGUUCUUGUUCACCGACACCAGGCAGACUGAACCUAGACAGAUCAAGUGAAACUAGCUUGGAAAGAUGUGAGAUUUCGGAUGGAACUUGGCCUGAAAAAAAUGAACUAGAGAGGUUAAGAUGUGUUAAAUUUGGGAACUGACCAAACCUAGCUGAAAUCUUGGAUUGCCCGAAAUUGUUAAAUGCGAGAUUGAGCCUCUUCAAGUGUUGAAGGAGAAAAAGAGUGCUGUUGGAAGGAAUGGUACCAUAAAGCCAACUGCAACUAAGAUCAAGGCCAAUCACAUGACCUGUAACGCCAUCGCAAGUGACUCCAUCCCAUAAACAGAAAUCUGAAUCUUCCUUCCAUGAGUCUGUCUUAGGAAAAGAAUACGUAGGACUGCCAUAAUUUGAAUUGCAAAGUAACGAAGCAGUAUGAUCAAUAAAGAGGGUCUGCUUGAAGAGAAGCAAAGCCUGACCCUCGUUGUGAGACCAUGUUGGCCUUUGUAUUGAAGAAGUAGUAAAACAGGACGAAAUGUAAGCUUGAGAAUACAAGUAAAAAAAGAGGAAUGAGACGAAUUGAUAACUCCCAAGAAAAGACCUCAUUUUUCCCUAUGUCAAAGUGCAUAUAAACUCUUGAUUUGGUUGAUGAGGAGACGCAUAGAAGUAUUUAUAAACUAAGUAGCAAGGGCAAUUCUUAAUUUUUCUGUUUUCUCAAUCAUAUUUUUAUACUGAAGAGUGACGGAUGAACUAACGCACGCAGAAGACUAACAACAGAUUCUACAUUAUUACAAUAGGGAAGACUCAAAUGAGAAAUGAUGUCAGGUUAUGAAAUCCUGAAAUAUUGGGGGAGGUAGCAACACAGAUUUUCUUGGAAGAUUCAAAUUACAAUUCCCUUUCAGGGUGGAUUUGUUUUUGGCCACCUCUAAGAAAGCUUGAAUUGCUGCAUAUCGAAAGCAAGCAUGAAAGGGUUUUCCUCGUCAAGAAAUCUAGAAAAAACCAGAGUAGUGCAUUCAGUGUUUCAGCGUUGUGUUAAAAUUGAAAUAUGCAGAAGCCACAGUUAAUUACUUAAUGCAUUAAUGAAAGAAGUUAGUGAAUAACUAAUACACAAAAAAGGUUUCAAAAUAGUUUGGAUUAAGUCAUCUUAUAGGCUAACUUCCAUUUUUAAAUCUUAUAGGCUUGUUUAAAUUUGAGUAUAAAGCUUAUUUUUUUCUAUGAGUAUAAAAUCCAAUUUAUUAAUUUGGCUCAAGGUCAAUCUGUUAAUUGGGUUUAAAGCCUCCAAUGCUAAUUGGGUUAAAUGGGUCAGUUGCAUCUCGAGUUGACAAGUCCACAUUAAAAAACGAAAAUAAAUACAUAAAAAAGUAAAACAUAAUAAUAAAAUACAAAAAAUAAAAAUGCUAAUAAAAACAUAAUAAAAAAACAAAAAAGAGAGAAAUAUGGCUGUUGUCAUACCUAAUAAGAAAUGAAAAUGAAUGAAAGGUUUAAAAUUGCAUCCCUUCUUAUAAGAUAUCAAUUCAUAAAAUUUUUCAAGAAAAUGGGAAUUAAUGCUAAAUCAAAAAAAAAAGUUCUCAAUAUUUAAACAAUAAUUAUAAAAGAAAGUUAAAAUAAUUAAAUAUGAAACUAAGAAUGAUUUGUCAAAAGUUAAAAUAGAGUAAUACAUGAUUUACCAGUACUGUUCUUUAAACAAGUGUUAUAGCAGUGCUCAUACUUUCAUUAUACAUAAUUGUACUAACGAAUUUUUAAAAUUAUUUCAUAAAUCGGAUAUUAUUUUUUAAAUAAACUUAAAUCAAGUUUAAAAUAUCAUUAGAAAAAAUAAAUUCAAAUAAGUGAUUAAUUACACUUAAAUAAAAAUAAUUAAUAGUGACUCCUCACCUAAAACAAUCGGUCCCUAGACUCAUACAAUACAAUUUCUAUCUAUCACAAUAAAAUCAACACAAAGUAAAAAUUGGUCAGCCACUAUUCAAUUAAAUAAUUCUGAAAUUGCCUAAUUGAGUUGCGCUUAAACCCACUUGAAAGUGGGAAGCCCAAUCUCAAGUCUUGCAACAAUUUCAUCUUCAAACACAAAUGAUGGAAUUCUGGCAUAACUCAUACAAAUAAAAGAAAAAAUCAAUUAACGUGGGGGGAAUCUUCUAGAUGGUCAAAAAUGGGUCAUUUAUUUCUUCCCAUUGCAGGUUCAGUACAUUCUUCAAAUUAAGAGUCUCCAUUUGUCAUGCAUCCCAAUGUUAAUGGUAUUCUUUAUUUUUCAUAAAAUUUAAACUUAUCACUCUAUUUAAAGUAAUAGAUUAAAUUAACCACUCAUCGUUCAAUAAGUGUAAUUUUAUCAUAUGCUACUACAUAAUACUUUUUAAUGUGAUUCAAAUAUGAUAAAAAAUUAAAAUAUUUUUUAGAGUAUUCUUUUAUUUCCUCUCGAAAUAUUUUUUUAAAUGGUUAACCUUUGAUUUUUUUAACUAAAUUAAAAUGUAAAAAAGAUACAAUUAUACUCUUUUAAAAACAAAUGAAAAUUUUGAUUUUUCUCUCCUGGUUUGCAUUUUUUCUAUUUGCUUUCCUUCUACUUAACACAAGCAUGGAAUUGCCUGUUUGUGGAAAUUCGGCUCUAUGUUUAAAGAAAUUCUAUUUUUACAUUCAUCAUCAAAGCAUAUGAACAUGCUACAAGUACAACAUAGCUGUUCAGAAAGGACAGUACCUUUAGGAAACAGGAAAGUAAAAACAAACAGGGAGAAAACUGCUAAAACAACCCAAGUCAUGAGAACAAAAGACACUUAUUAUACAAAAAUGGAUUCAACAAAUCUCCAGAGAGCAUCAGCUGUCUUCACAGAGUUCUUCAAUCAUAUCUCUUCAAUCUCCUCAGAAUUUUGUAGCCUAGUCUUUGAACCAUCCUAACAAGCCAUUCUGGUUUUCCAAUUGUCAAUAUGAUAUAUCCUGUAGAUAAGCCAAGCACCAAUCCACAUCCAUAACCCAUCAUUACAAAUUUCCAAUCCAAUGGACAAGAAUAAAUUCCUUAUGAAAAGCAGAUUCCGGUGGUUCUUGUUCCUCACCCUUGCCACAACUCUUUGACACUGGAAAUCCGAACAAUCCCAAGUUGCCAUCAUAGGAAUCAUUCAGAAAGGUAUUUAAUUGAUUUCCCUGAGGUAUGAGUCCAACAAGCUGGUUCUGUGACAGGUUUAAUACUUCAAGAAAUUUCAAACCAAUCAACUGCAUAGGAAUCUCCCCAACAAGCUUGUUGGUAGAGAGAUCCAGUGACUCAAGUGCUGUUAGAUUUCCCAGUGAGGAAGGAAUAUGACCUGUUAGGCUGUUAUGGGAAAAAUUGAGCAAUUGCAAAGAAAUGAGGUUUCCAACUAUUUCUGGAAUUCCUCCAUGGAAUUUGUUGCUUGACAUAUCAAUGGUUGCAAAAAGAGUUAGAACUCUCUCAGGUUCAAUGUCCAAACCUUUCAUUGUGACAAGCACAGAAAAAUGAUAAUAACGAUUCAAAUCUUGUAAAAACUUUGAUUAAGCUCAAUUAAUUAGGAAAAGAAUGAAGGACAGAGGAGCUGGCAGAAGAAAUUUGGGAUAGAGAAAAUUGGAGAUCAAAACUCUAUAGUCAUCUUUUUUCUCAGGUGUGUACAUAUGAGUAAUAACAAACCAAGCCGAAAAACUCAGACAUUGAGGAAAUGAAACUUAAAAGAGAAAAGAGCUAAGCACAGGAAUCCAGACAUGGAUUUCUGUGCACUACAACGGCCUUCAACAGCUAAGAGAAAAGUAAAGCAAAGAAAUAAAACGUGGCUUUUCAGCCCUACUUUCAGUCAAAUAAAACGGCACUAACAAGGGGCAUGUCUAACUGUUAAUUAAUUUCGUUGAAAAUUCGUUAAAAAUUUCAUCUUCAGAACAUAUGACUAACUGUUAAUUAUUUUCAAUAGAUUUUCAACGAAAUUUUUCGUUGAAAAUUUUUGUUGAAACCUUAAAAAUUUCUAUGUUAUCUUUAUCUUUUCCAACGAAAAAUUUCAUUGAAAAUUUCCAAUGAAAUUUUUCGUUGGAACCCUAUACUUUUCCUAUGUAAUCUUUAACUUUUGUAACAAAAUUUUCAAAGGAAUUUUUCGUUGGAAAGUAACUUUUGAAAGCAUCAAAACUUUUAUGACUUUUUAAACUUUUUAACGGAAUUUUCCGUUGAAAAAUUUCGUUAGAAAUAAUCAUAAUUUUUCCAGUUAUAAAAAUUUAAAAAUUUUUAUAAUAAUUUUUUUAAUUAUUUUUUAAAAAUUAGAUAUUACUAAAACCAAAUACAUAGUUAUUGAAGUUAAAUUUUUUUAAAGUUUAAAUAUGUUUUCCUUUGAGUAAUUUGUAUAAUUUUUUUAACUUUAAUGAAUCAUACAAUAUUGAUUAAUAAUACCAAAUUAGGGUAAUGUUAUAUUAUUCCAAAAUUUAAAAAAAUAACUAUGUAAAAUUUUAAAUUUUAUAAAAAACCAUGAUAAGUUAUAAANGUUGAAAAAGUUAAAGAGUAAAUGAUGCAUUGAAAAAAGUAACUUUUUAACGAAAUUUUUCGUUGGAAAGUAACUUUUGAAAGCAUCAAAACUUUUAUGACUUUUUAAACUUUCUAACGGAAUUUUCCGUUGAAAAAUUUCGUUAGAAAUAAUCAUAAUUUUUCCAGUUAUAAAAUUUAAAAUUUUUAUAAAUUUUUUUAAUUAUUUAAAAAUUAGAUAUUACUAAAAGCAAAUACAUAAUUAUUGAAGUAAAAUUUUUUAAAAGUUUAAAUAUGUUUUCCUUUGAGUAAUUUGUAUAAUUUUUUUAACUUUAAUGAAUCAUACAAUAUUGAAAUAUAAUACCAAAUUAGGGUAAUGUUAUAUUAUUCCAAAAUUUAAAAAAAUAACUAUGUAAAAUUUUAUAUUUUAUAAAAAAACCAUGAUAAGAUAUAAAAAUCAUAUAAAAAAUUAUAUAUUACAUUAUUUACGUUUUAAUUGUAAUUAGCUAAUAUAUGUAAAUUAAGAUUGAAGUUUUAUAAUAAAAUUAUUAAUAUUUGUGCUUAAAAAAUAUCAUUUUAUUAUAUGAGAUAUAUUAAAUAAAGGUCUACAUAUAUAUAUAUAUAAUUUAUGUAAGAUUAUAGUAAAUUUCAUUUAGAUGAUUAUAAUUAUUAAUGUAAUAGGAUAAAAAUCAUACAUUUUAUAAAAAUCAUAUUGAUAAUUAAUUAUACAAAUUUGGUUAAUACAUAUCAAUGUAUAACCUAUAAGUUGUGAUCAUUAUAUAUGUAUAUAAAAAAUUUAGUCAUAUCUGACUAUUACUUAUAUUGAGUAAUAUUAAAAAAAAAACUUUUUGAACGAAAAUAAAAUAAAUCUAAAAGUACUAUUAUUGUCAAGACUUGAACCUUUACCCACAUGUUAAAAGAGUUAAAAGAUAACCAUUUCUUCCACUAGCCCAUACUUAAAACUUAUCUCCCAAAUUUAAUUGGGUAUUAAACCAAAAUGAAUAUUAGUUGCCUUUGGCCCAAUACGUCGCCUUUCUGCCAAAAUUAGGUCCCCUUAACCCUACGUCAAAACCAUGUAGUUUUAAUCCAUAAAACCCUAGCUAUAAAGUUGCAAAUUUCUCCCCAAACCUGACUUUUGAAUUGCCAUUUUCUCUCUUUACCCGCGGCGCUCUCCCCUCUCUCUAAAACCUUUGCUCAACUUCCACGGCGUUCCCGGUGCUGUCCCGUUGCCGAUGGCCUGACUCCGGUUCCGACGUUGUCCUAUUUUAACAGCAAUCGGUCUCUCUCCGUCACCUUUGGCCCCGUCGUCCUGUUGCCAUAUUCUCUAGUUUGAACCUUUGCCGUCAUGACUUAAACACUCUUUGAAUGAAUCUGUCCCCGUCGCCUUAGUCCCCCUGGUGCUGCCUUACUCAUCGUCCGAUCCCUUCCACAAAUCGAGCCCUAGGGGUUAAUUUUGUAUACCUUGUUUAUUUGAUUUUUAUCAAUAUUUGUUUAUCAAUUGUUGCACCCUAGGUAUUUUUAAUGAUGUUAUUGUGUUUUAAUUAUUUGAUUUAGGGUUACAAGCCUAAACGUUUCAUUGCUUUAAUUUCAGUCAAAGGCUAAGGUCGACUCUGGAAGCAUAAAAACAGUGUUCAGUCUGCUUCAAAACAAGAUUGGGUUUUGGUAUAAUUUUGCAGGUGACUAAGAUGUAUAGAUAAGCAAUUAAAUGUUGGUAUUUGAGAACUGACCACCCCUGUUUUAAUUAUUUGAUUUGCUAUUACAAGCCUAAACGUUUGACAUAUUUAAAUGUUGGUAUUUGACAUAUUAUUUGAUUUGCAUUAAAUUUAGUUAAAAUUUUUAUCAAUAGUUUAUAAACAUAAAUAAAUAUGAUGUUUAUUAUAUUUUAAUGCAAUUUGGAUCAUCUAGCCGACUAGCCUAAUAUCUUAUUAGCCGAUUGGGAUCAAAAGCAAUUAACAUAUUUUACCUCAAGCCCAAAUAAAAUUAAGGCCCUAAUUAUAAUUUCCACUUUAAGUCUUAUAAUAUAACGCUUGAAUUUAUAGCCCAAUUUUAAAUUUCAAAAUAAAAUUGUCAUAACCAUAUGAAAUAAUUUAAAAUUUUGAUAUUUUAAAAAAUUGUAAUAAAUUGGAAAUUGCAUGGGUUAAUGAUAUUUAAAAGAAAGGGUAAACAUCAUGUAUAUAUAAUUUCAAUUCAAACUUAAUGUACAGUCACCAAUUUUAAGAUGCAGGUGUGAAUCUCUAAUUAAAGCAAUUUAAUGUGCAAAUAAAUAUAAACCAUCUACCUAGGUUUUUUGAUAAUUCAUGUAUGCAAUAAUUUAUACUAUAAGGGCUACUUUGCAUCUUACAAUGUAAUUUUGAAUAUAUUUAUAUAAAAUACAUAUUGAAAUGUAGGGUUUAACAAAUUGUUUUGUUACCAUCAAUACAAAUUAGUCUUGAUAAUGAUAUUCUAUGACACUUAGGAUUACAGAAUGUUGAGAAAUCGCUCUUGGAUGUACCGUCGAUUACAGAAUGCAUUCAUUACAGCUGAAUUUGUAAAUGGAGUUACUGAAUUUAUUAAUUUUGCAUGUUUGAAGACUACAUUUAUGUGGAAUAAUAAAAUUAGAUGUCCUUGCACACGAUGUAGUAACAACAAGUUCUUAGAUAAAGAUAAAGUCAUAGAACAAAUACUAAAUCGGGGUUUUACUAGGGCUUACACAAUUUGGAGUUUACAUGGGGAAGAUGAUGUUGGACAAUCAUCGAGAAGUAGAUCUAGAGUUGAACCAUCCCUUAGAUUUGAGGAAGAUGCUGCUUUUCGAGAACCUACAUAUGAAGAUGAAAUAGAAAAUCCAUAUACUAGAAUGGUUAGGGAUGCUAUGCAUACCGAAGUUGCUUUCAACCAUGGUUCUGAAAAUGAGUCGAGCUUUGUGGAAGAAGAUCCCAAUCCAAAUGCAUCUACCUUUUACUCUUUGUUAAGCAAUGUAGAGGAACCUUUGUGGGUAGGUUGCACAAACCACACAACGCUUUCAACUGUGUCGCAACUUUUAAAUGUUAAGGUGGAGUACAAUUUGAGUGAAUCGUGUUUUGAUCGACUAUUGGAGAUAAUAAAGAAUAUGUUGCCAUCUGAUGAGAAGUUACCUAUCGACUUUUAUAGGAUGAAGAAGAAGGUAGCAAAGCUUGGUUUGGGAUAUGUAAAAAUUGAUGCUUGCAAGAAUAAUUGUAUGUUAUUUUAUGAGCGAUUUGCUACGUUUGAGCAUUGUCAAGUAUGUGGACAUCCUCGGUAUAAACAGAGGAAUUCAAGUGUGAGAAGGCAGAAGAAAAUUCCUUACAAGAUUUUGCGUUACUUGCCACUUAUACCGAGGCUUCAAAGGCUUUAUAUGUCAUGUAAAACUGCUGAACAUAUGACAUGGCAUGCGCAACACCAAAGUGAUGAUGGACUGCUUAGACACCCUAUUGAUGGUGAGGCUUGGCAACACUUCAACCGAACACAUGAAUUCUUUGCAAUGGAACCUCGAAAUGUAAGACUCGGGUUAUGUGCUGACGGUUUCAACCCUUUUGGAUCGAUUGCCAACCCUUAUUUUCUUUGGCCAGUAAUGCUUUGUGUGUAUAAUUUACCCCCAUAGAUGUGUAUGAAACAACAAUAUAUAUUUCUUAACAUGGUUAUUCCGGGUAAGAAAAGUCCAAGUCAAAAUAUAGAUGUGUUCUUGAGGCCUUUGAUAGAUGAGUUGACUUUAUUGUGGAGAGAAGGUGUUAUGACCUAUGAUGCAUAUAGGAAACAAAAUUUUCAGUUGAGGGCAGCAUUAUUGUAGACAAUUAAUGAUUUUUCUGCUUAUGGUAUGUUGUCAGGGUGGAGUACACAUGGACGAUUAUCAUGUCCAUAUUGCAUGGGACAUUCUAAAUCUUUCAUAUUGGAACAUGGUAGGAAACCUUGUUUCUUUGAUUGUCGUCGGUAAUUUUUGCCAGCCAAUCAUCCUUUUAGGAGCCAGAGAGACAAAUUUAUUAAAAAAAGAGUUGAACAUGACUUACCAUUUCCUCGAUUAUCAGGCGAAGAAAUAUUGACACGUUUGAAUUCGCUUCCUCAUCUCCCAUUCGAAACAAAAUGUGAUGAGCGAAAGAGUUCAGGUUAUGGUGUUUUUCAUAAUUGGGUGAAGAAGAGUAUAUUUUGGGCUCUACCUUAUUGGCAUACGCUUCUUAUUCAUCACAAUUUAGAUGUUAUGCAUAUUGAACGUAAUUUUUUUUAGAAUAUACUCAACACAGUGAUGGAUGUUAAAGGAAGGACAAAGGACAACAUAAAGGCACGACAAGAUUUGAAGGUGUAUUGCAAGCGGCCAGAAUUGAAAUUGGUGGAAAAUCAUGAAAAACUGUACAAGCCUAAGGCUGCGUACACAUUAAAUAAGGAGGAAAUAAGAAAUGUCUGUUCUUGGGUUAAACAAUUGAGAUUACCAGAUGGUUUUGCGUCGAACAUUUCUCGGUGUGUUAAUGAGAUUGAUGGCAAAUUUUAUAGGAUGAAAAGUCAUGAUUGUCAUGUUUUUAUGCAACUAUUGCUCCCAAUUGUAUUCCGUGAUAUGCUGCCUCAAACAAUUUGGGAUGCAAUUACUGAGAUAUCUCAAUUUUUUAGGGAUUUGUGCGCAACUGAAAUACCUAUGAUCAUAUGGAAACAUUACAAGGAAAAAUAUGUGAAACUUUAUGCAAACUAGAGAAGAUAUUUCCUUUGGGUUUCUUUGACUCUAUGGAACAUUUGCCGAUUCAUUUACCUUACGGGGCCAAGGUUGGUGGACCCGUCCAGUAUCGAUGGAUGUAUCCAUUUGAGAGGUAAAAUAAUUGCUAUUUGUUUUCAUAUAUUUCUUUUGAAGAGUUUAAAGUACAUCAUAAGAUUGAUGAAUAUUGUGUUUAUUAGGUUUUUGCAACAGUUGAAGAAGAAAGUAAAAAAUCGUGCCUCUAUUGAAAGAUCUAUAUGUGAGGCUUAUGUUAUCGAGGAAGUUUCCUCGUUCUGCUCAUGGUAUUUUGAACCUGCUAUGCGAACAAGAGUAAAUAGAGUGCCACGUAAUGAUGAUGGGGGAGAGGUGGACUCUAUGGAUCGUCUUUCAAUUUUCACUCACCCGAGGUGAGCUUUUGGCCCAUCAGAUAAAUCUCGAUUUUUAGAUGAGGAUGAGUUUUAUGCUGCUGAGUUAUAUGUUUUAAUGAAUUGUGAAGAGAUGCUCUCAUAUAUAAAGUAAGUACCAUUACAUUUUUAACUUGAUAAUACCCUAUAAUAAGAUUGAAGUUAAUCACGUAGUCAUGGAUAUUAUGAUAGGAUAUUUGAUGAAAUUGUGAAGGGAGAUGUUGUGGGAAUUUCGAAAGACGAAUUGGAGAAAGUACGUGAUGCGAGAUUCGUUAAAUGGUUUAAAAAUUAUGUAAGUUUCCUUAACAUACAAGUGAACUUUUAAUUAAUCAUUGACGAAUAAAUUAUGUAAUUUAUUAUUUUAUUCUCUUGUAUCUCAUGUUCGUAGGUUGCAAAGCAUAAUGAGGAAAUAGACCAACGUAUAAUUGAAAUCUCUUAUGGUCUCGGACGUAUGAUAAGGUGUUAUAGUGGAUAUUUUGUAAAUGGUUUCAAGUUUCACACCUUAGAUUACAGCCAAAAUCGUAAGACAAUGAAUUGUGGGGUUUGCAUAAAAAGGAGUUUUUACAAUGAUCAUGAGCGUGACUUUUAUGGCAUCUUAGUAGAUAUAAUCGAGUUGGAGUAUUUUGGUAUAGGAAACAGAGUUGUUCUUUUCAAGUGUCAUUGGUUUGAUACUGAAAAAGGAAUAACGGUAGAUCGAUUGCAUGGUCUUGUUGAUGUGAAUUACAACUCAAUACUGGCUAGUAAUGAACCAUUUGUUUUAGCUGCCCAAACUCACCAAAUUUAUUAUAGUAGUUAUCCAUCAAGAAGAAGAGAUCAACGUGAUUGGUGGGCAGUAUUUAAGACAAAAGCUAGGAGUAUAUUUCAAAUUCCUAUUAGUGGUGAUAGAGAAAAUGAAAGUGAUUUGAAUGAAGGAGUAUACCAAGAAGAUGUGUCCAAUUCAAUUACUAGUACUCAAUCAGAAGAAGUUGAUUUAACAGAGUUAGCGAGUGGUGAUUAUGAAGAGGUUAAUCUAUCGAUUGAGGAUGAAGAAGAUCAUAUCGAUAAAGAUGAAGAUGAAGAAGAUGACAUGGAAGGAGAAGAUAAUGAAGAUGAUGAUAAAGAUGAAGAUGAAGAUGAAGAUCAUGUGGAGCACAAUGAUGGUGAAACUUAUAAUGAUGAUAGUGAUAAUAAUGUAGAAAAUGAGUUUGAUUAUUCAGGAAGUGAAUGAUGACGGUAGGCACGUAAGAUAUUGGUUUCAUAUUUUCUUUUGACGGUAGUGUUUGACUUUAAUUUUAUAAUAUUACAGUAUUUUGACAUGAUGUAAAAUUAUAACGUUUGCGUUAAAAUCAAUAUAUAAAUGUUGAAAUUAGUUAAUAUAUAAUUGCUGCUUUGCUUCUAAUAAUUAAGAAUUAACGGGUGUCAUUGUUGUGAAUUGAUGUUUUUUAUUCUGUUAUAAUAAUAAUCAUAUUAAUAAUAAUUGCUAAUGGGAUUUUAACAAUACAAUAUUGUAGGAACGAUGGUUAAAGGGAAGCAAUCAAAACUGAGACCUAAGUCUUCAUAUGCAUCGGCAACUAUGGUUGUGCCUACAAGUUCCCAAGCAUCUGAUGAUAUAUCCAUUCCACAACAGGUGCAGCAAGAGAAUAAUGAUGCGCCAUUUGAGACACAGUCUUUAUACGAUGCAUUUGCAGAGCAAGUAGAAAAUGAGACAUCUACACAUGAUAUUACAAGAUCCCCAUCUAUUGAUUUAGGUGGAAAUGCAAAUGAGACAUCGUCAAGAUCAAGAAGUAGGGGACCCAGUGUAGGAUUACAGACUCUUGUAGAUCCAUCGGACAGAUUGCGUAUAACUCCUAUUGGGGAUAGGUAUGUUAUCUUGUUAAACUUGUUAUAUUUUUUAAAGAAAUUUUUAAUUUUUUUAAUUUUAAUAUAUACAAUUAUUUGAAAUAUUUUAUAAGCACUUUUUUCGAGAGAGGGGUCACAUCUACAAUAACAAGGAUCAUCAAAAAUCACUUUAAUGGUCUAUGGUCGACAUGGAGGAAAGUCCCUAAUGAUAUAAAAGACUUAAUGUUUCGAAAAUUUCAGGUACUAUGUUUGUUAUUUAUUUAUUAUGCGUUUUUUUUCCAUUAAUUUGUAUAACUUUGUUAAAUUAUUGUAUUACAUUAUGUUGUAGGAAAAAUGUGUUUGGUCUGCACAUCAAGAUGUUUUAGUUCAACGCAUAUGGGAAAAAAUUUGUUUCGAUCGAUUAAGAGACAUGCUUUCAGAAGAAAGGCAUAAAGCAAUGAUUGAAGCCAAAACUAACAACAUUAUAGAAUGCAAAGGCAUGUCGAGGGAAUGGAUCACAAAUGAAAUAUGGGAUACCCUGAUCGAUACAGUAUGGGGUACAGAAGAGUGGCAAAAUAAAUUACGAAAAGUAAGGCAAAAUCGUUUAACGCCAAAAGAAGGAAUCAUUCCAAAGCACACUGGCGGUUCAGUUCCAUUUGUGGUUCAUGCAAAAAGGAUGGUAUGAAUUAAUGUUACUCAUAAUUAAUAUGUAUGUUUUCCCAUCAAUUUCAUUUAAAUUGUAAGUUUAGUAGUUGGAUUUCGGUUUUGCUUUACAUGUUAUAUAUAUCAGGAUAUAUAUAUAUCGAUUAUGAAUGACUAAAUAUAAUUGUUAAUAAAUUCAGGCAAUUGAACUGAAACGAGAUGUUACCUUCUUGGAAGUGUUCAACCAUACUCAUAAGCGCUCAAGGGGUCAUGGUGAUUUUAUUGAUAACAAGUCCAAGUCUACGAGUGUAAGUAAAAAUUCAUUAAUUUUUACUGUUUCUUCUAAGUUGAUGUUCUACUUCAAUAUUAAUCAUUAAUUAUGGUUUUUAUGUAGGAAAUGUAUAAUUCUGUAUUAUCGCAAAAGUAUGGUGAUGAUUCAUCUUCUCAGCCAAAAUUCGAUCCGCAUGCUUAGACUGAAGCAAUUGGAGGGAAGGAGACUACAGCACUCAAGUGUAUGGGUUUGGCACUCGUGUCCCUGCUACAGCUUUACUUACUGGAACACAAUCUAAUGCAGCAACAUCUGAGUCUGCGUGUGGCCCUAUCAACUCAAACUUUAACAGUCCUACAAAUGCAUUAGAAGAAAAAGUGAAAAAUCUUGCACAAAACUUGAAUAAGAUACGUGAGGAAAAACGUGAAGAAAUGAGAAAUGUGAUGGCGGAAGGCAUGAGUGAAUUUAUGGCACAUAUGGAAACCAUGUUCAUGAGUAGUGCGCGUUUAACCCUUGGCGAUGCAGGACCUUCGAGACUUGACAAGUAAGAGAAAAAAAAUUCCUUCACAUGAUGUAUAAUUUUCAGUGUAAACACUUGGAUACUUUUUAAUUUAGUUAUGUUUAAUAUUCAUAUGUAUCAAACUAUUUUAUAUAUUGUAUGUUAAGGAUAAUUUCUAAUUAGAUGUUAGGACUUGAAUCUCAAUUUUGUAAUGUGUAUUUCUUUUAUAUAUUUUACAGUUCGAAUGCGGAAUUAAAUUUAGUAUCGUAAUGAAAAUUGAUAAUUUUUUUUGAAAAUUUAUUAUAAAAAUAAUAGGUCAAAAUAUUUCCAAUAGAAAAUUUCGUUGGAAAUGCUAAAUGUUUUUCUGUUGGAAAUAAGAUUUCCAAUUGAAUUUCCUUUGGAAAUAAUUUUUCCAACGGAAAAAAUUUCGACUGAUUUUUCCGUUGGAAAUGGGAUUUCCAACAGGAAUUAUUCCUACUGUUUUUUCCGUUGGAAAUAGGCUUUCCAACAGAAAUUUCAUUAGAAAUUUUCAACGGAAUUAUUUUCCAACGGAUUUAUAAAAAAAAAGGUAAAAUUUUAAAUUUUCAACAGAUUUCCAACGGAAAGUAUUACCCACAAGGCUUGUACCGACAGAAUUUUUAACGAAAUUUUUCGUUGGAAAUCCAUUGGAAAUAAACAUUUCCAACAAAAAAAAGCCUAUUUCCAAUGGAAAAUUCCGUUGGAAAUAGCCAAAUUUUUUGUAGUGUAUAGUUAAGAAGGUUGAUAUUAAAAAGAGGAAAGACACUUGGUUAUUGGAUAGUGGCUAUUCAAACCAUAUAACCGGUUGCAAAGAAAACUCCAUCAGUCUAAAUGAGAGUUUUAGAAAUCAAAUGGAGAUUGGAAAUGGUGACAUGUUGCUAAUUUUUGGAACUAGUAUAGUGGGGGUACAACACCAAAUGGGACUAAAUCAAUGGCAAAUGUGUAUUUGGCUCCUGAUGUAAGCCGAAACUUACUCAAUGUAGGUCAACUGGUGGAUGAGGGCUUUGAGUUAACCUUUAAAGACAAAGUUUGCAUAGUCAAGGCCUCAGCUGGUGUAGAACUUUUCAUAGUGGGAAUGAAAAACAAAUGCUUUCCAUUAAAUUAGAUGGAUAUCAAACAUACUGCUUACAGCUGUAUUUUAGCUGAUACUGAGAUGUGGCAUAAAAGGUUUGGCCAUGUGAACUAUGGUUCACUCAAGUUGAUGGCUUUUUACAACUUAGUAGAAGGCUCCAGUGGUAUUUUUGUGGAUAACUUUAAGGCAAAGAUGCAAACAAAUUUUGAAAUGAGUGAUUUGAGGAAAAUGCCAUAUUUUCUUGGUAUGGAAAUAAAUCAAGGUUCUGAGUUAUACUCCUGCAUCAGAAAAAUUAUGCCUCUAAUUUGUUAAAAAGCUUUAAGAUGGAGAGUUGCAAGGCAGUAGCAACUCUUUUGGUUUUUGGUACUAAACUGAGCAAAGAUGAUGGUGGAGCUAAAGUUGAUGAAACUCGCAACAGAAGAUUGAUAGGAAGCUUAUUAUACUUAUCCUCCACAAGGCCAGAUAUCAUGUAUGCUACUAGCUUACUUUCAAGGUUCAUGCACAAGCCAUCUGAGAGCCAUUUGUGUGUUGCUAAAAGAGUUCUCAGGUAUGUCAAAGGAACUCUAAGUUUUGGCUUGAAAUUCUGUAAGAAUGAAAAUCAGAAGCUUCAAGGCUUUAGUGACAGUGAUUGGGGUGGAAGCUUGGAGGAAUCAAAAAGCACUUCUAGGUACUGUUUCUCAUUUGGCAUUGCAGUGUUUGCUUGGAAUUCUAAGAAACAAAGUAUAGUGGCAUAGUCCUUUGCAAAAGCAAAGUACACUACAAAAAAUUUGGCUAUUUCCAACGAAAUUCUCCAUUGAAAAUAGGCCUUUUUCCGUUGAAAAUGUUUAUUUCCAACGGAAAAUUCUGUUGGAAAUUCUGUCGGUACAAGGCCUGUGGGUAAUACUUUUCGUUGGAAAUCCAUGAGAAAUCCGUUGAAAAUUUGAAAAUUUACCUUUUUUUUUUAAAAUCCGUUGGACAUUUCCAAUGGAAAAAACAGUAGGAACAAUUCCUGUUGGAAAUAGAAUUUCCAACGAAAUUUUAGUUGGAAAUCCCAUUUCCAACGGAAAAAUCAAUAGGAAUUUUUUUCGUUGGAAAAAUUAUUUCCAACAGAAAAACAUUUAGCAUUUCCAACGGAAUUUUUUGUUGGAAAUAUUUUGACCUAUUAUUUUUAUAAUAAAUUUUCAGAAAAAAUUACCAGUUUUCAUUCCGAUACUAAAUUUAAUUUCGCAAUCGAACUGUAAAAUAUAUAAAAGAAAUACACAUUACAAAAUUGAGAUUCAAGUCCUAACAUCUAAUUAGAAAUUAUCCUUAACACACAAUAUAUAAAAUAGUUUGAUACAUAUGAAUAUUAAAUAUAACUAAAUUAAAAAGUAUCCAAGUGUUUGCACUGAAAAUUAUACAUCAUGUAAGGGAAUUUUUUUUUCUUACUUGUCAAGUCGUGAAGGUCCCGCAUCACCAAGGGUUGAAUGCUCAUUACUCAUGAACAUGGUUUCCAUACGUGCCAUAAAUUCACUCAUGCCUUCCGCCAUCACAUUUCUCAUUUCUUCACGUAUUUCCCCACGCAUUUCCUCAUGUAUCUUAUUCAAGUUUCGUGCAAGAUUUUCCACUUUUUCUUGCAAUGCAUUUGCGAGACUGUUAAAGUUUGAGUUGAUAGGGUCACACACAGACUCAUAUGUUGUUAAAGUUUGAGUUGAUAGGGCCACAAUCAAAGAAACAAGGUUUCCUACCAUGUUCCAAUAUGAAAGAUUUAGAAUGUUCCAUGAAAUAUGGACAUGAUAAUCGUCCAUGUGUACUCCAUCCUGACAACAUACCAUAAGCAGGAAAAUCAUUAAUUGUCCACAAUAAUGCUGCCCUCAACUGAAAAUUUUGUUUCCUAUAUGCAUCAUAGGUCAUAACACCUUCUCUCCACAAUAAAGUCAACUCAUCUAUCAAAGGCCUCAAGAACACAUCUAUAUUUUGACUUAGACUUUUCUUACCUAGAAUAACCAUGUUAAGAAAUAUAUAUUGUUGUUUCAUACACACCUAUGGGGGUAAAUUAUACACACAAAGCAUUACUGGCCAAACAGAAUAAGAAAUGGCAGUCGAUCCAAAAGGGUUGAAAUUGUCAGCACAUAACUCGAAUCUUACAUUUCGAGGUUCCAUUGCAAAGAAUUCAUGUGUGCGGUUGAAGUGUUGCCAAGCCUCACCAUCAACAGGGUGUCUAAGGAGUCCAUCAUCACUUGGGUGUUACGCAUGCCACGUCAUAUGUUUAUCAGUUUUACAUGACAUAUAAAACCUUUGAAGCCUCGGUAUAAGUGGCAAGUAACGCAAAAUCUUGUAAGGAAUUUUCUUCUGCCUUCUCACACUUGAAUUCCUCUGUUUAUACUGAGGAUGUCCACAUACCUGACAAUGCUCAAACGUAGCAAAUCGCUCAUAAAAUAACCUGUAAUUUUUCUUGCAAGCAUCAAUUUUUAUAUAUCCCAAACCAAGCUUUGCUACCUUCUUCUUCAUGCUAUAAAGUCAUAGGUAACUUCUCAUCAGAUGGCAACAUAUUCUUUAUUAUCUCCAAUAGUCAAUCAAAACAUGAUUCACUCAAAUUAUACUCCGCCUUAACAUUUAAAAGUUACGACACAACUGAAAGUGUUGUGUGCUUUGUGCAACCUACCCACAAAGGUUACUUUGCAUUGCUUAACAAAGAGUAAAAGGUAGAUGCAUUUGGAUUGGGAUAUUCUUCCACAAAGCUCGACUCAUUUUCAGAACCAUGGUUGAAAGCAACUUUGGUACGCAUAGCAUCCCUAACCAUUCUAGUAUAUGGAUUUUAUAUUUCAUCUUCAUAUGUAGGUUCUCGAAAAGCAGCAUCUUCCUCAAAUCUAAGGGAUGGUUCAACUCUAGAUCUACUUCUCGAUGAUUGUCCAACAUCAUCUUCCCCAUGUAAACUUCAAAUUGUGUAAGCCCUAGUAAAACCCCGAUUUAGUAUGUGUUCUGUGACUUUAUCUUUAUCUAAGAACUUGUUGUUACUACAUCGUGUGCAAGGACAUCAAAUUUUACUCUUCCACAUAAAUGUAGUCUUCAAAUAUGCAAAAUUAAUAAAUUCAGUAACUCCAUUUAUAAAUUCAGCUGUAAUGAAUCCAUUCUAUAAUCGACGGUACAUCCAAGAGCGAUCUCUCGACAUUUUGUAAUCUUAAGUGUCAUAGAAUAUCAUUAUCAAGACUAAUUUGUAUUGAUGGUAACAAAACAAUUUGUUAAACCCUACAUUUCAAUAUGUAUUUUAUAUAAAUAUAUUCAAAAUUAUAUUGUAAGAUGCAAAGUAGCCCUUAUAGUAUAAAUUAUUGCAUACAUGAAUUAUCAAAAAACCUAGGCAGAUGGUUUAUAUUUAUUUGCACAUUAAAUUGCUUUAAUUAGAGAUUCACACCUGUAUCCUAAAAUUGGUGACUGUACAUUAAGUUGAAUUGAAAUUAUAUAUACAUGAUGUCUACCCUUUCUUUUAAAUAUCAUUAACAGAUGUAGUUUCCAAUUUAUUACAAUUUUUAAAAAAUGUCAAAUUUUUCUAUUAUUUGAUACGGUUAUGACAAUUUUAUUUUGAAAUUUAAAUUUGGGCUAUAAAUUCAAGCGUUAUAUUAUAAGACUUAAAGUAAAAAUUGUAAUUAAGGCCUUAAUUUUAUUUGGGCUUAACAUAAAAUAUGUUAAUUGCUUUUUAUCCCAAUCGGCUAAUAAGAUAUUAGGCUAAUUGGCUAGAUGAUUCAAAUUGCAUUAAAAUAUAAUAAACAUCAUAUUUAUUUAUGUUUAUAAAUUAUUGAUAAAAAUUUUAACUAAAUUUAAUGCAAAUCAAAUAAUAUGUCAAAUACCAACAUUUAAAUAUGUCAAACGUUUAGGCUUGUAAUAGCAAAUCAAAUAAUUAAAACAGGGAUGGUUAGUUCUCAAAUACCAACAUUUAAUUGCUUAUCUAUGCAUCUUAGUCACCUGCAAAAUUAGACCAAAACCCAAUCUCGUUUUGAAGUAGACCGAACACUGCUUUUAUGCUUCCAGAGCCGACCUUAACCUUUGACUAAAAUUAAGGCAAUGAAAUGUUUAGGCUUCUAACCCUAAAUCAAAUAAUUAAAACACAAUAACAUCAUUAAAAAUACCUAGGUCGCAUCAAUUGAUAAACAAAUAUUGAUGAAAAUCAAUUAAACAAGGUAUACAAAAUUAACCCCUAGGGCUAGACUUGUGGAAGGGAUGGGACGGCGAGUAAGGCAGCACUAGGGGGACUAAAGCGACAAGGACAGAUUCAUUCAAAGAGUGUUUGGGUCAUGACGGCAAAGGUUCAAACCGAAGAAUAUGGCAGCAAGACGAUGGGGCCAAAGGUGACUGAGAGAGACCGAUUGCUGUUAAAAUAGGACAACGCCGUAACUGGAGUCAGGCCAUCGGCAAAGGGACAGCAUCGGGAACACCGUGGAAGUCGGGCAAAGGUUUUAGAGAAAGGGGAGAACGCCACAGGUAGAGAGAGAAAAUGGCAAUUCAAAAGUCGAGUUUGGGGAGAAAUUUGUGACUUUAUAGCUAGGGUUUUAUGGAUCAAAACUACGUCGUUUUGACGUAGGGUUAAAGGGAUCGAAUUUUGGCAGAACGGCGACGUAUUGGGCCAAAGGCAACUAAUAUUCAUUUUGGUUUAAUACCCAAUUAAGUUUGGGAGAUAAGUUUUAAGUAUGGGCUGGUGGAAGAAAUGGUUAUUUUUUAACUCUUUUAACAUGUGGGCAAAGGUUCAAGUCUUGACAAUAAUAGUACUUUUAGAUUUAUUUUAUUUUCGUUCAAAAAGUUUUUUUUUUAAUAUUACUCAAUAUAUGUAAUAGUCAUAUAUGACUAAAUUUUUUAUAUACAUAUAUAAUGAUCACAACUUAUAGGUUAUACAUUGAUAUGUAUUAACCAAAUUUGUAUAAUUAAUUAUCAAUAUGAUUUUUAUAAAAUGUAUGAUUUUAAUCCCAUUACGUUAAUAAUUAUAAUCAUCUAAAUGAAAUUUACUAUAAUCUUACAUAAAUUAUAUAGUAAUAAAUAUAUAUAUAUAUAUGUAGACCCUCAUUUAAUAUAUCUCAUAUAAUAAAAUGAAAUUUUUUAAGCACAAAUAUUAAUAAGUUUAUUAUAAAACUUCAAUCUUAAUUUCCAUAUAUUAGCUAAUUACAAUUAAAACGUAAAUAAUGUAAUAUAUAUUUUUUUAUAUGAUUUUUUUAUCUUAUCAUGGUUUUUAAUAAAAUAUAAAAUUUUACAUAGUUAUUUUUUAAAAUUUUGGAAUAAUAUAACAUUACCCUAAUUUGGUAUUAUAUUUCAAUAUUGUAUGAUUCAUUAAAGUUAAAAAAAAUUAUACAAAAUUACUCAACGGAAAACAUAUUUAAACUUUAAAAAAAUUAAAAUUUUACUUCAAUAACUAUGUAUUUGGUUUUAGUAAUAUCUAAUUUUCUAAAAAUAAUUAAAAAAAUUUAUAAAAAUUUUAAAUUUUAUAAUUGGAAAAAUUAUGAUUAUUUCCAAUGAAAUUUUCUAACGGAAAAUUCCGUUGGAAAGUUUAAAAAGUCAUAAAAGUUUUGAUGCAUUCAAAAGUUACUUUCCAACAGAAAAUUCCGUUGGAAAAGUUAAAGAUUACAUAGGAAAUGUUUAGGGUUCCAACGGAAAUUUCCAACGAAAAAUUUCAUUGGAAAUCCAUUAGAAAUAAUUAACAGUUAGACAUGUGUUCUAAAGAUGAAAUUUUCAACGGAAAAUUUCGUUGGAAACUAUCAAGAUUACACCCAUUUUUUUAAAAAAGUUUAAGGUUCCAACGGAAUUUUUCGUUGAAAAUUUCCAAUGAAAAUUUCUAUUGGAAAUCCAUUGGAAAUAUUAAACAUACCAUGUGUGUGUUGUACAAGCCAAAAUUCCAACAGAAUGUCCAACGGAAUUUUCGUUGAAAAUUUUUCAACGGAAAUUUCCAUUAGAAAUUCCGUUGGGAAUUUAAUUUUCCAACGGAUUUCCAACAAAAAUCCUGUUGGAAAAUUUCUAACAGAAAUCCGUUGGAAAUCUGUUGGAACUAGUAGAUAAAAAUUUUAAUUAAAUUCCAUUGAAAAUCCGUUAGAAAUACAAUGAUUUUUUGUAGUGAUAAAUAGGACUUCAUCCACUUCUGGCUCUUCAACAACAACAGCUUUCUCAUCAAUAUUUUUACCUUACUUUUGCACACUUUCUCCACAUGACCUUGCUGGUGACACCUCUUGCACUUAACAUUUGGUUGAAACCAGUAAAACUUCUCUGUAUGAUUCAUUUUUUUUUUUUUCAGUAUGUUUGAUAUCCAUCCAAUUUAAUGGAAAGCAUUUGUUCUUCAUUCCCACUGUGAAAAGUCUUGACUAUUCAAAGUUUGUCUUUGAAGGUUAACUCAAAGCCCUCAUCUGCUAGUUGACCUACAUUGAGUAAGUUUUGGCUUACAUCAGGAGCAAAAUACACAUUUGCCACUGAUUUAGUCCCAUUUGGUGUUUGUACCCCCACUAUACUAGUUCCAAAAAUUAGCAACAUGUCACCAUUUCCAAUCUCCAUUUGAGUUCUAACACUCUCAUUUAGACUGAUGAAGUUUUCUUUGCAACCGGUUAUAUGGUUUGAACAGCCACUAUCCAAUAACCAGGUGUCUUUCCUCUUUUUAAUAUCAACCUUCUUGACCAUAAAUAGGACUUCUUCAUCCACUUGAGGCUCUUCAACAACAGCAGCUUUCUCAUCAAUAUUGUUACCUUACUUUUGCACACUUUCUCCACAUGCCUUGCUAGUGACACCUCUUGCACUUAACAUUUGGUUGAAACUAGUAAAACUUCUCUGCAUGAUUCUUUUUUUUUUUUUUGCAAUGAAAGCAAGGUGGAAAUGACUUCUUACUUUUCCCAUGUCUCUUCUCAUCUAACUUUUUUUCCUUUAUCCUUUCUGUCAAUUUCAUUCUUCUAAGAAUUACUACUACCAAGUUUUACACUUUUUGAUUACACUACCAAGGCAUUCUCAAUAAGACCUUUUUGCCUAAAGGCUCUCCUCUGCUCUAAGCCUUUUAGUGCAUUUACCAAUUCCUUAAAGGUCAUCUGACUAAUGUCCCUACAGUCAUAUAAUGAUGAGAUUUUAGACUCAUACUUCUUUGGUAAUCCUAUCAGCAUCUUACACUCUAAUCUUUCCUCAUCCAUCUCUUUCCCAAGCAACCUACACAGGUUUACAAUCCCUAUCAUCUUCCUAGAAAAUUCCCUAAUAGUUUCAUUAUCAUCCAUUGACAGCAUCUCAAAUUGCCAAGACAAAUUUAAGGCCUGGAUUUUUCUAGUUUUAUCGCUACUACGAAAUUUCUCUUUUAAAUGAUCCCAAACAUCUUUUGGGUUAUCUCAAUUCAUUAUCCUAGAAAAUAUUUCAUCAGAAACUGUCGAUUGUAAAUAAGAAAGUGCCUUAUAUCUUUUUUCCUUGUCUUCUUCAAAUUGCCUUAUCUGAGCUAGAGUUGGGUUGGCAUGCCUUUAAAUAGCUUCUGCUCCGGUCUCCACCACUUUUCAGAGAGAAAAAGCUUUGAGAUAAGACUACAUUUUCACUGACCAAAAAACAUAAUUUUCUUCAAUAAAGACUAGAGGAGUAGUAGUGCUAAACCUUGAGGUAACCAUGAAUCAAAACCUUAAAAUAAAGCUGGAAACUAAACAUGAGUGGAAAAAACAAAAGGAAAACCGGCCCCUUAAGACACUUUUUGCUAUGACAUCAUGUAAAAACUUUGAUUAAGCUCAAUUAAUAAGCAUAAGAAUGAAGAAUAGAGGAGCUGAAAGAAGAAAAUUGGGAUAAAGAAAAUUGGAGAUCAAAACUCUAUAAACAAACCAAGCCGAAAAACUCGACAUUGGGGAAAUGAAACUUAAAAGAGAAAAUAGCUAAGCACAGGAAUCCAGACAAGGAUUCCUGUGCACUACAAUGGCCUUCAACGACUAAGAGAAAAGUAAAGCAAAGAAAUAAAAUGUGGCUUUUCAGCCUUACUUUCAGUCAAAUAAAACGACACUAACAAGAGGCGUUUAAGCCAUCAAAUCUAAAGUCCAAAACGACAGCUUACUAAGUGUUUCAUUAAACUAUGAAUCAUAACGACACCGUUUAGAACUUUCUUCUUCCCUUCAACGGUCAGUUGACCUUGGUGCCCUGAUACUUCUUUAAAUUCACCAUUUAAAAUCAUUGGAUUCUCAACAAAUCUUCCAUUGAAGUCCUUUGAACAUUGUACAAAGUCAUCAAACCCUUGAAACUUUUAAGAUAUGUUGUUGGCAGAAGCCCAAAGAACUCAUUGUUGGAGAGGUCUAAGAUUCGCAGAGCUGAGAAGUGCGAUUCAUUUUCUGAAGGGUUUAUUUGACCAUGGAAAUAGUUGGAGCGCAAGACAAGAACUUGUAGCUGAGGAAGAGUUCCCAACCAGUAGGGAAAGGUAUCAUUCAUCUUGUUGUUUCCAAGAUUUAACACUUCCAAAUCAUGACAGUUCACCAAGGAUUUAGGAAAUGGCCCGCCAAAAUCAUUGUUGUUGAGGUUAAGCAUCGGUAAUUUGUUGUUGGCAACAAACGAAUUAGGGAUAUUUCCAUGAAAUUUAUUCGUGUGCAAAUCCAGGACAUUAAGAUUAGACCUGAUAUCUCCCAAGACCAGACAUUCUAGAAUAGCUCGACUCAAGUUGUUAUUAAACAAGUCAAGAACUGAAAUUGACAUCAAAUUGCAUAUUGCAGAUGGAAUUUCUCCAAUCAAUUUCUUUUUGAGAUUAAGAAAAUUACCAGCCUUAAAUGUUGCUGUUUGAAAGGUCUAAUUAUUCCAAACUCUCUUGAAUUAUCAAAAAAUUUGAAAAUUCAGUUACAUUGCAAGAAGACAACGAUAAAAACUAAGAUUAGGCAAGACAAAUCUAGCGUUGCUAUUAUUGCUCAGGGAUAGUGGAAUGUUAUGUGAAAGAACAAGUGAAUCAAGGCUUUGAAGCUUUAAAAACAUAGUUGCCUCGAUGACACGGAUUUUAUUGUAAGAAAGGUUUAGAUAGAUCAAACCUUCGAGAUUUCUUACAAAAUUCGGAAAUUCACUUAUGUUGCAAGAAGAUAAUUCUAAUUUGGGCAAGGAGUUAUACGCAUUGCUUCCACUGGUCAAUGACAGUAAAGCAUUAUUUGAGACAGAUAGAGCCCAAAGAUACUUAAGCUUUGAUAGUUUAUCGAAUUUAAAAAUGCCAUCCAACUUAUUUGAGGAAAGAUCAAGAUGGGUAAUGUUCACAAGUUUGAAAAUAGAGCUUGGAAUUGGACCAUUCAUCUCAUUAUUCUGCAGGGAAACAAUCUCCAAGGAAGCAACCUUCUCAAAUGGGUCAAUAGGACCAAUUAGGUUGUUAUAACUGAGAUCCAAAUCAACCAAAGUUGGAAGAGUAAACAACCAAUUUGGUACUCUACCAUAGAGAAAGUUAUGGUCCAAGUGUAGUCUCAAUAGUAUUAUUAGUUUUUGUUUAAUAUAUUAUUAGAUUUUAUAAUCUAUUUUUAAAAAAUUAAAAAAAAAAUUAUUAUGCUAUUUUUAUAAACUUUUUAAUUUUAUAACAUUAAUGAAUUUUGAACAAUUAAUUUAUAAUUUAUGAUUCAAUAAAGUUUUUAAAAUAUAUAAAAAAUAAUAAGCAAAGAAAAACAUAUUUAAAUUUUUAAUAUUAUAAAUCUCAGUAUGUACAUAUUUAAUAUUAUUAAUAUAUUUCCUAUAAAGGAUUAAUAAAAUUUUAAAUAAAAAAAGUUAAAAAAAAAUCAGCCNAAUGAAUUUUGAACAAUUAAUUUAUAAUUUAUGAUUCAAUAAAGUUUUUAAAAUAUAUAAAAAAUAAUAAGCAAAGAAAAACAUAUUUAAAUUUUUAAUAUUAUAAAUCUCAGUAUGUACAUAUUUAAUAUUAUUAAUAUAUUUCCUAUAAAGGAUUAAUAAAAUUUUAAAUAAAAAAUUAAAAAAAAUAGUAAUACCGAUAGAAUUCUCCAACAGAAUAUUCUGUUGGAAAAUUUUCGUUGGUAAUGGCUUAUUCCAAUGAAAAAUUUCAUUGGAAAAUUUAGCAAGCUUUAAAUUUUUCUUGGCCCCUUAAACUUUUUGACGGAUUUCCAAUGGAAAGUUUGACAGAAGUAAAUUUUUUUGGCACCCAACAAAUUAUUUUUUAUUGAAAAAUUUCAACAAAAAUCCAUUGGAAAGUUUGGCAGGAGUUUUUUUUUUUUUUGCUCCAAAAAAAAUUUCGUCGGAUUUCCAACAGAAUAUUUCUAUUGAAAAUCCAUUGAAAAUAUGUUAGAAAAAAUGCAAAUAAAUUUCUAUUAGAAAUAUAUUGGAAAUUUUCAACGGAAAUUUUUCGUCGGAAAAAAUCAGUUUUCUUGUAGUUUAGCAAUGAAUUUCUCCAUUGAGAAAAAGAAACAUAAUAUUUUGAAUUUCCUCGGUGAUUAAAGGUCAUUUUGAAGGCUUUUCACUAUUAUGGUCACAUGUUUCAGCAGUUCUUGUGUCAUUUGCUUGGUUGUUAAAUUCAGAACAAAAUGAUCCACAAUGCUUUUACUCAAUUUUAAAAAUACAAAUUGAUUGAUUGAUGGUAUUAAUGCAUUUUAUAAUUUAUUUUUUACAUUAAUUUUAAAUUGAAAAUAUUUUAUCAAUAAUAAAUAUAAAAAAUAAUUUAUAUUUGAUGCACCAACAGUAUAUUAGUUAACCACAAAAUGACACAUCAUCACUAAGUUAAAAUUCAUUAAGCCCUUAAAAAUAAAUGUAAAUAAUUUAUAACAUUUAAUUGUAUAAAAACUGAAAUAAGUUUUCUUGCUCUUGGAACUCUAUCUUGACAUUAAAAAAAAAAAAAACUCUCUCUCACUGAUUCUUUCAUUUUGAAUUUAGAUUCAAGAAAUAGUAAUACAUGAACAACAGAGUUGUUAGAGCUCUGAACAAAUGCCCAUGGACUACAAGUACAAGACCGUAACUGCUCAUUCCAUCAUCAAGAGAGUUCUUGAGAUUGUGUUGUAUCCUGCAAAGCAAAUAUUGCAGGCGGUUUCCAAGUUUCAAACCUUAGCUUUCUCCUUCUCUUUAUCCCUCCACGUUCUGUUGUGCUUCCAUUGUCACUGAUUUCUUUCAAGUGAUGAUAUGCUUUUAACUAAACCAAGAUACUUGGUAAUUCUGAUAUGUCGCAUCCCCUUGAUAACUGAAUCCACUUCAUGUGGUAAGUGCAUCAUGACUCAGGUUAGAAGGAUGCAUUGACUAGCAAAUUGGUUUAUGGUCAUGUGUUCGGAAUUCCAAUCACUGUUGUUUUGUAUUGUUAUUUGUCAAAUCUGGAUUGUUUUUGAGAGAAUCAUUAAGAAAGUUAGAGAAAAACUUAUUAAACUUUUAAUAUAAUUAAAUGCUAUAAAUUAUUGAUAUUUAUUCUUAAGGACCUAAUAAGUUUUAAUUUUAUUUAUUAAUGAUGUAUCAUUUUGUGGUUUACUAAUAGUGUAUAGCUUGCAUAAUGUGCAUCAAAUAAAAACCCCAGAAAAAAAUACAAAAAUAAAAAAUUGGAUAAAAAGGGAGAAAAUCAUGUUUGGUGUAUUACAAUUUGAAGUGAAUUAAAUUUACCCUCUGAAAUUUUAAAUGUAACACUUACCUAUCUUAUGAUUUUUCACAUCACUUAGUUUUUCUACCUUCAUUGCCAUUCAUCAUAGCUAUCAUAUUUUCGAUCACCCUGAUUGGUAAUGUACCACUAAAGUCAUUGGUGGAGAUGUCACAAAUUCUCAAGCUGGAGAAGGAGUGCUCAAUCCUGAAAUUGCUUGUGAAGCAAUGGAGGGAAUUAGACCUUAAAACAACAACUUGUAAUUCUUUUAGCAUUUCUUGCCAAGCAGGGUAUGUAUCAUUUAGCUUGUUGUUGCCAAGAUCCAAAAGCUUCCAAGUUCCUACAUUUCGUGGAAGACUCUGGCAGUGGCCCUUCCAAUUAAUUACCAUUCAAGUUGGGAUCCCCUAAUUCACAGCCUUCGGGAAAUGUUGGGAGGAAUGCUGCAAUAAAGCCUAUUCAUUCGUAAAUUCAACACUCUGAGGCUUUUGCUUAAAUUUCUAAAACAUUGUGGAAUGGUUCCAUUGAAAUGGUUAUGAGAAAAAUCGAGAACCUGUAGAUUACUUAUACUGCAUGGCAAAGAAGAUAUUUUUGCACUAAAACUAUCGUUUGAGACUGCCAAAAAAUUAAUCGAGCGUGGAAUUGAAAGGGCUCCCUGAAUUUUUAUUAUUUUCUCAUAUUUAAUUACUCUUAGAUUGUGAAGUUCUUUCUGAUUAAACUAAUUUUUUCAGAAUCUCUUAAAUCAUAAAGAAGAAGGCCUUGAAUAAUUUUGUCCAGUCUCUAGAUCACUCCUGACCUUAGUACCAAUGGUUCUAAAGUCAAAGUAUAUACACAGAAAAUUUUGAUUUUUCUCUCCUGGUUUGCAUUGUUCUAUUUGCUUUGCCUUUACCUAACACAUGCAUGGAAUUGCCUGUGUUAGAACAAGCAAAAUUCUCAAGCAUGACCUAUUUUGUGGAAAUUCGGCUUUAUGUUUAAAGAAAUUCUAUUUUUACAUUCAUCUUCUAUGAUUUACUUGCUUACAAGUUCUUUCUUUGGAUAACUUGCUGAAAGAAUUCAACUUUAAAUUGGAAUCUUAUAACUUCAGUAACACGCUUACAGGUUCUUUCUUUGGAUAAGCGAGUAAUUUCAUUCAUCAAAGUACAUAAACAUGUUACAAGUUCACAGGUGACAGUACCCUCAGGAAUCAAGACAGUCAAAACAAACAAGGAGAAAACUGCUAAAGAAUCCAAGCCCUGAGAAAAAAAAAAAAAAAAAUAGUUAUUCCUCAAAAAUUUCUUCAACAAACCUCCAAAGAGCAGCAUCUGUCUUCAUAGAUUCUUCUUCUUCAAUGAUAUCUCUUCAAUCUCCUCAGAAUUUUGUAGCCUAGUUUUUGAACCAUCCUAACAAGCCAUUCUGGUUUUCUAAUCGUCAACAUGAUAUAUCCUGCAGAUAAUCCAAGCACCAACCCGCAUCCAUAGCCCAUCAUUACAAAUUUCCAAUUCAAUGGACAAGGAAAAAUUCCUUCCUCAUGAAAAACAGAUUCCGGUGGUUCUUGUUCCUCAUCCUUGCCACACCUCUUUGACACUGGAAAUCCGCACAAUCCCAAGUUGCCACCAUAGUAAUCAUUCAGAAAGGUAUUGAAUUGAUUUCCCUGAGGUAUAUGUCCAACAAGCUGGUUCUGUGACAGGUUUAACACUUCAAGAAAUAUCAAACCAAUCAACUGCAUAGGAAUCUCCCCGACAAGCUUGUUGGAAGAGAGAUCCAGUGACUCAAGCGCUGCUAGAUUCCCCAAUGAGGAAGGAAUAUGACCUGUUAGGCUGUUAUGGGAAAAAUUGAGCACUUGGAGAGAAAUGAGGUCUCCAACUAUUUCUGGAAUUUUUCCUAGGAAUUUGUUGCUUGACAUAUCAAUGGUUGUAAAAAGAGUUAGAAUUCUCUUGAGUUCCACGUCCAAAUUUUUCACUCUGACACGCACUGAAAAAUUGUAAUAAAGAUUAAAAUCUUCCAUGGAUUUCGUUUGAACAUUGGACAAAUUCAUCAUACCCUCGAAACUUUUAAAAUAUGUUGUUGGUAGAAAACCAGAGAACUCGUUGUUGGAGAGGUCUAAGAUUCGCAGAGCUGAGAAGUGCGAUUCAUUCUCUGAAGGCCUGAUUUGACCAUGGAAAUAGUUGGAGCGCAAGACAAGAACUUGUAGCUGAGGAAGAGUUCCCAACCAGUGGGGAAAGGUAUCAUUUAUCUUGUUGUUUCCAAGAUUUAACACUUGCAAAUCACGACAGUUCUCCAAGGAUUUAGGAAAUGGCCCAUCAAAAUCAUUGUUGUUGAGGUUAAGUAUCUGUAAGUUGUUUCCUACAACAAACGAAUCAGGGAGUUUCCAUCAAUGGUUGUAAAAAGAGUUAGAAUUCUCUCAAGUUCAAUGUCAAAACCUUUCACUGUGACACGCACGGAAAAAAUGGUAAUAAAGAUUAAAAUCUUCCAUAGAUUUCCUUAGAACAUUGGACAAAUUCAUCAUACCCCUAAAAUUUUUAAAAUAUGUUGUUGGUAAAAAACCAGAGAACUCAUUGUGGGAGAGGUCUAAGAUUCCCAGAGCUGGGAAGUGCGAUUCAUUCUCUGAAGGCCUGAUUUGACCAUGGAAAUAGUUGGAGCGCAAGACAAGAACUUCUAGCCGAGGAAGAGUUCCCAACCAGUGGGGAAAGGUAUCAUUUAUCUUGUUGUUUCCAAGAUUUAACACUUGCAAAUCAUGACAGUUCUCCAGUGAUUUAGGAAGUGGCCAGUCAAAAUCAUUGUUGUUGAGGUUAAGUAUCUGUAAUUUGUUUCCUACAACAAACGAAUCAGGGAUGUUUCCAUGAAAUUUAUUCGUGUGCAAAUCUAGGACUGUAAGAUUAGGGAUCUUACCUCUCGAGAUCAGACAAUCUGGAAUAGCUCCACUCAACUUGUUAUUGGACAAGUCAAGAAUUGAAAUUGACAUCAAAUUACAUAUGGAAGAAGGAAUUUCUCCAAUCAAGUUAUUUUUUGAGGUUAAGAAAACUUCCAGGGAAGAAUUGGAAGAGAAACUAGAUAAUGAGCAAUCAACUUUAAAGUUCAAGGACAAGAGGAGGAAAGAAAGGACCAAAUACCAUUGUAUGAACCCUUUCAUUUUUCUUUUCUCAGAAAUGAUGAAAGAAGCAAAAUGGAAAGCUGAAUGUGAAGGCUGAGAGAGAUAAGAGUGGAGCCAUAUUUAUACACAUGAUUUCAAGCAAACAACCACCAGUCAUGUUCAGACAUUCAAACAACCAAUUUUUUUUUGGGAAGUCAAACAACCAUUUUUAUUAUUGAUAUUUUUUAAAAGAAAAUUAUUUCAUACAUUGUUAAUUUGUAAAUUUCAUCAACUAAAUUAAUUAGAUUGUCACAUACUUCAAUAUUAAAAUAUAUUUAAAAAAUUAAUAAUUUAAUACAAUACAUAAAAAAUAUGUAACAAUAUUUUAACUUUAAGUUAGAAACAUGGGGACUAUUGUUUUUUUGGUAACCCCCACUGGUUCAAUUCAAGUAACCAAAAAACUUAUCUCUCGUAAUUAUUAAUAUCAUAAAUAUUGUUUACGAUAUUUUAUUGUAGCCUUAGAAUUCAAGCCAUCAAAGAAUCAGCGAAGAGUGCAAUAAACUUUUUGUCAGAUAUGAAGUUUUUUAAAAACUUCUUAUGCCAUUAAUCAGAUAUUAAUUUAAAAACAAAAUGAUCUUGAUAAGCUCAACUAGAAAGUCCAUAGUGCUUUCCAAAUUAGAAGCCAUCGUCUACCUCCUCAAGCAUACUCAACAUGCCAACCCCACAUAUCGUGAAACAUGCUGUCCUUCGGACAUAUUUUAAGCUUUAAAAUAGAUACAAAUUUGGCACCUUCAUUGCACUUUGAUUCAAACUGAUAGGUUUGUUUACGAUGUCAGUGACAAACUUAUAUGUAUAUUCUCAAAGCUUCAUGAAUUUGAUUAUUAAAGAAAAAAAAGAUGAUCAUGAUCCAAUAUCUCAAUUUUAUGAAAUCUAAUUUUGAAGAAAGAAAUUUCAAACCCAGUUCUUUAUUUGUUAUCUUCGUCGAAUACUUACCCAAGUGCAAAGGCUUAUCGUUAGUAUUCACAUCUUCCUAGUCAAAUAGUUCAAUUCAAGUCCUCUCUUUUCUCACAUCCAAGGGAAAAUCAAAGAGAAUUUCCGUAGUUUUAACGGAAAAGAAAAGAACAGGAAAGAACAAAGUCAAGUCUUUUUGCAGUGCCUUCCUUCCGUGUUAAAUUAUAGUGUAAUUUACAAUUGAGACCUCCAUUGCUACAAAAUUUAUAGUAUAAUUUAACAUGUAAGUGUUCAACUAGUCAAAAAGCAAAUGAAUAAUAUAUCCAUGAACAUCAUGCUUUCAUAGGAAAACAUUAUAGUCAUGAUUCUUGUGAAGGCACCGUGUUGACUUGGGAAGAAGUUAGAAUUUGUAGCAUUCUGUCCGCAUCAUGGAAUUAAAUCUGGGGUCAUUGCAUGGAUAAUACACAGCAAGAAUUCCAUUUCUCUCAUUUCGGUUGCUUCAGAUUUCACUUCUCUAAAAAAAUCUCAUCAUUUUUUUAUAAUUCCCAAUGUCACAUGCAAGUCAAUCUAAAUUAGCAGAGGUUGAAAAUAUUGUUGCAUUAUAUAUGGCUGGAAUCUAAAUUAGAAAUGUCAAAUCUACCAAUUCCCGAGGUAUCUUGCCAAUAAGCUUGUUCAAUGAGAAAUCUAACCAUUCAAGAUUGGUCAAGUUUCCAAUGGAUGGUGGAAUAUGACCAAAGAAGUUGUUAUGAGAAAGAUUAAACACUAUGAGUGAAUUAAGCUUUCCUAUAACUUCUGGAAUCACGCCCUGGAAGUAGUUAUUGGAGAGAUCAAUGCUUGUGAAUAUGGUUAAAACUUUCACCAAUUCAACCUCUUGUCCUUUUAUUGUCAGAACUACCGAAUAAUCAUAUGACGACUUCCUUCCACAUAUUUUGAAGAACUUCUGCUGUCAGUGAGAUUCGUCAUAGCUUUUAGAUUUUCAAUGUAACAAGUGGGAAAAGGACCAACAAAAUCAUUGUUAGAGAGGUCUAAGACUCGUAGCUUGGGGAAAAGUAGUCUUGCUCUGGAAUUAUUUGCAACACCAUGGAAUUUAUUUGAACUCGAACCAAGCACUUGCAGCAUUGGAAGAGUUUCCAACCAAUUGGGAAAUGUACCCGUGAACUUGUUCUUGCCAAGGUCUAGAACCUAAAGGUUCCUACAAUUGGCCAAAGAUCUUGGUAACAACCCUUCCAUUUGGUUCCCAUGGAAGUUUAGAUUCUCUAAGCUACAGGGUUCCACAAUUGAUUUGGGGAUGGUUCCAUGAAAAUUAUUUGCCCUCAGAUCCUACGCUAAACGAUUUUUACUAAAGUUAAGAAGACAACUAGAAAUCUUGCCACUCAAGUUGUUAUGUGAUACAUCAAUAAUUUUCAGGGAACUGACCAUGCAAAUGAAAGAAGGAAUCUCCCCCGUCAUGUAAUUGUUCGCGAUGGAAAAGAAAGAUAUCUGAACGGGUGGAAUUGGAAGCACUCCUUGAAACAGGUUAGAUUGGAGGUAGAGAAUUACAGCAUUCCUCCAUGUUAAUUGCAAAUGACCUGUUAGAAAAUUAUGAUCAAGGUAUAAAUGUAACAAAGAUUCCUUCCCCACAUUCCACAUCCAUUUGGGAAUCUUGCCUUGAAUUCUAUUUUUGGAAAGGUCUAAAAACUUCAACGCUUUUGAACCUCUCAAGAAAUUGGGGAAUUCACUCAAGUUACAAGACGACAAUGACAAGGACUGGAGUUUGGUCCAUGUGUAGUCGACAUGAUUCUCUGAGCUCAAUGACAGACUAUUAAGAGAAAGAUCGAGUGAUUCAAGAUUUUGGAGCUGGGAAAACAUGUCUAACUCAACAAUGCCACUAAAGUUAUUUAAUGAUAGAUCAAGCACGGUGAGGUUUACAAGUUGAAAGAUUGAGCUUGGAAUAUGACCCUGCAACGUGUUAUUUUUUAAAUAGAUUAUGGACAAAGAUUUUGACCGGAAUUCGCUAAUAUGACCGGUGAGUCUAUUAUUGGCAAGAGACAAUAACUGUAAUGAAGGUAACUUAAACACCCAAGGUGGUAUAGUUGCAUUAAGUAAGUUAGAAGGCAAGAAUAAAGUUACUAAUUUUGAAAACCCAUUUGCAUAAUGAGGAAUAGUGCCCUCUAGUUCAUUGUAUGACAAUUCUAAAUGUUGAAGCUAUGUGAGGUUUGCAAGUGAUGCUGGGAUCCAUCCACUAAACUUAUUAUCCGAGAGCUCUAAGGAAACAAUUUGUGAAAAGUUUACAAGUGAUACCGGGAUUGACCCAUUCAAGUCACAAUUAGCAACAUUUAAAGAUUUCAAUGACUUCAAACCCCUGAUUGAAUCAGACAAUUCUCCAACAAGAAUAGUCUGUUUAAGCCUAAGACUUCAAGGGUAUUAGUCCCAUUGGACUUUGGAAGAUAAACCAGAAGAUCAGGGUUGUUACCUAAUUUGAGCAACUUCAGAUUUGGAAAUUGAAAAAUUAUGUCCGAAAUUGUCCCAUUUAAUCCACAAUCAUCCAGACUAAGAGAUGUCAAAGAGGAAGAAAGGUUCACUAAGUGAACAGGGUCAACUGAACACAUGUCUAUUCCAGGAAGGAAAAGUUCUUUUACCUCGCUAAAGUUCUUAGCUAACCUUUUCAGAGUUGUUGUUUCAAGCUUCAGUGCAUGAAACGGCUCUUGUUCACCGACACCAGGCAGACUGAACCUAGACAGAUCAAGUGAAACUAGCUUGGAAAGAUGUGAGAUUUCGGAUGGAACUUGGCCUGAAAAAAAUGAAGUAGAGAGGUUAAGAUGUGUUAAAUUUGGGAACUGACCAAACCUAGCUGAAAUCUUGGAUUGCCCGAAAUUGUUAAAUGCGAGAUUGAGCCUCUUCAAGUGUUGAAGGAGGAAAAGAGUGCUGUUGGAAGGAAUGGUACCAUAAAGCCAACUGCAACUAAGAUCAAGGCCAAUCACAUGACCUGUAACGCCAUCGCAAGUGACUUCAUCCCAUAAACAGAAAUCUGAAUCUUCCUUCCAUGAGUCUGUCUUAGGAAAAGAAUACGUAGGACUGCCAUAAUUUGAAUUGCAAAGUAACGAAGCAGUAUGAUCAAUAAAGAGGGUCUGCUUGAAGAGAAGCAAAGCCUGACCCUCAUUGUGAGACCAUGAUGGCCUUUGCUUUGAAGAAGUAAAACAAGACGAAAUGUAAGCUUGAGAAUACAAGUAAAAAAAGAGGAAUGAGAUGAAUUGAUAACUCCCAAGAAAACACCUCAUUUUUCCCUACGUCAAAGUUCCUAUAAACUCUUGAUUUGGUUGAUGAGGAGACGCACAGAAGUAUUUAUAAACUCAGUAGCAAGAGCAAUUCUUAAUUUUCUGUUUUCUCAAUCAUAUUUUCCGCUGAAGAGUGACGGAUGAGCUAACACACGCAGAAGACUAACAACAGAUUCUACAUUAUUACAAUAGGGAAGACUCAAAUGAGAAAUGAUGUCAAGUUAUGAAAUCCUGAAAUAAUGGGGGAGGUAGCAACACAGAUUUUCUCGGAAGAUUCAAAUUUCAAUUCCCUCUUUUCACAUUACAAUUCCCUUUCAGGUUGGAUUUGGUUUGGUCACCUCUAAGAAAGCUUGAAUUGCUGCAUAUGGAAAGCAAGCAUGAAAGGGUUUUUCUCGUCAAGUAAUCUACAAUUAUUCCAACUUCCAUGUUUAAAUCUUAUAGGCUUGUUCAAAUUUAAGUACAAAGCUUAUUUUUCUUUCGAUGAGUAUAAAAUCCAAUUUAUUAAUUUGGCUCAAGGUCAAUCAGUUAAUUGGGUUUAAAGCCUCCAAUGCUAAUUGGGUUAAAUGGGUCAGUUGCAUCUCGACUUGACAAGUCCACAUUAAAAAACGAAAAUAAAUACAUAAAAAAUUAAAACAUAAUAAAAUGCAAAAAAUAAAAAACGCUAAUAAAAACAUAAUGAAAAAAACAAAAAAGAGAGAAAAAUGGCAGUUGUUAUACCAAAUAAGAAAUGAAAAUGAAUGAAAGGUUUAAAAUUGCACCCCUUCUUAUAAGAUAUCAAUUCAUAAAAAUUUUCAAGAAAAUGAGAAUUAAUGUUAAAUCUAAAAAAAAGUUCUCAAUAUUUAAGCAAUAAUAGUAAAAGAAAGUUAAAAUAAUUAAAUAUGAAAUUAAAAAUAAUUUGUCAAAGGUUAAAAUAGAAUAACACAUGAUUUACCAAUAUUGUUCUUUAAACAAGUGUCGGUAAUACUUUCAUUAUACGUAAUUGUAUUGUCCAAUUCUAAAACUAUUUCGUAAAUCGGAUUUUAUUUUUUAAAUAAACUUAAAUCAAGUUUAAAAUCUCAUUAGAAAAAAUAAAUUCAAAUAAGUGGUCAAUUACACUUAAAUAAAAAUAAUUAAUAGUGAAUCUUUUUUACCUAAAGCGAUCGGUGCCUAGACUCAUACAAUGCAAUUUAUAUCUAUCACAGUAAAAUCAACACAAAGGACAAAUUGGUCAGCCACUAUUCAAUUAAAUAAUUCUGAAAUUUCCAGGAGACAAUGACUAAUCUAACAAGUGGUAAAUUGAGUUGCCCUUAAACCCACUUGAAAGUGGGAAGCCCAAUCCCAAGUCUUGCAACAAUUUCAUCUUCAAACACAAAUGAUGGAAUUCUGGCAUAACUCAUACAAAUAAAAGAAAAAAUCAAUUAACCUGGGGAAAUCUUCUCGAUGGUAAAAAAUGGGUCAUUUAUUUGUUCUAAUUGCAGGUUCAGUACAUUCUUCAAAUUAAAAAUCUCCAUUUGUCAUGCAACCCAAUGUUAAUGGUAUUCUUUAUUUUCCAUAAAAUUUAAACUUAUCACUCUAUUUAAAUUAAUCACUCAUUGUUCAAUAAGUGUAAUUUUAUCGUAUACUACCAUAUAAUACUUUUUAAUUUGAUUUAUAUAUGAUAAAAAAUUAAAAUAUUUUUCAGAUUAUUCUUUUUUUUCCUCUCGAAAUAUUUUUUUAAUGGUUAACUUUUGAUCUUUUUUUUUUAACUAAAUUAAAAUGUAAAACUGAUAAAAUUAUACUCUUUUAAAAACAAAUGAAAAUUUUGAUUUUUCUCUCCUGGUUUGCAUUUUUUCUAUCUGCUUUCCUUCUACUUAACACAAGCAUGGAAUUGCCUGUGUUGUAACAAGCAGAAUUCUCAAGCAUGACCUGGUUUGUGGAAAUUCAACUCUAUGUUUAAGAAACUCUAUUUUUACAUUCAUCAUCUAUGAUUAACAUGCUUACAAGUUCUUUCUUGUAUAAGCGAGUAAUUUCAUUCAUCAAAGUAUAUGAACAUCCUUCAAGUACAACAAAGCUGUUCACAGAGGACAGUACCUUUAGGAAACAAGAAAGUCAAAACAAACAGGGAGAAAACUGCUAAAACAACCCAAGCAUGAGAACAAAAGACACUUAUUAUACAAAAAUGUAUUCAAGAAAUCUCCAGAGAGCAUCAUCUGUCUUCACAGAGUUCUUCUUCUUCAAUCAUAUCUCUUCAAUCUCCUCAGAAUUUUGUAGCCUACUCUUUGAACCAUCCUAACAAGCCAUUCUGGUUUUCCAAUUGUCAAUAUGAUAUAUCCUGCGGAUAAUCCAAGCACCAAUCCACAUCCAUAACCCAUCAUUACAAAUUUCCAGUCCGAUGGAGAAGAAAAAAUUCCUUCCUCGUGAAAAACAGAUUCUGGUGGCUCUUGUGUGUCUUCCUUGCCACACGUCUUUGACACUGGAAAUCCGCACAAUCCCAAGUUGCCACCAUAGGAAUCAUUCAGAAAGGUAUUGAAUUGAUUUCCCUGAGGUAUAUGUCCAACAAGCUGGUUCUGUGACAGGUUUAACACUCCAAGAAAUUUCAAACCAGUCAACUGCAUAGGAAUCUCCCCGAUAAGCUUGUUGGAGGAGAGAUCCAGUGACUCAAGCGCUGCUAGAUUCCCCAAUGAGGAAGGAAUAUGACCUGUCAGGUUGUUAUGGGAAAAAUUGAGGAUUUGGAGAGAAGAGAGGCUUCCAACUAUUUCUGGAAUUUUUCCUUGGAAUUUGUUGCUCGAAAAAUCAACGGCUGUAAAAACAGUUAGAACUCUCUCAACUUCAAUGUCCAGACCUUUCAUUGUGACAAACAUGGAAAAAUGGUGAUAACCAUUAGGAUUUUCCAUAUAUUUCAUGUCAACAUUGGACAAAUUCAUCAUACCCUUGAAGCUUUUAAAAAAUGCAGUUGGCAAAAAACCAGAGAACUCAUUGUGCGAGAGGUCUAAAAUUCGUAGAACUGAGAAAUUUGAUUCAGCUUCUGAAAGGAGUAUUUGACCAUGGAAAUAGUUGGAGCGUAAGAUAAUAACUUUUAGCUGAGUAAGAGUUCCUAACCAGUGGGGAAAGGUAUCAUUUAUCCUGUUGUUUCCAAGAUUUAACACUUCCAAAUCAUGACAGUUCACCAAGGAUUUAGGAAAUGGCCCAUCAAAAUCAUUGUUCUGGAGAUUAAGUGUCUGUAAUUCAUUUCCAGCCACAAAUGAAUCAGGGAUAUUUCCAUGAAAUUUAUUCAUGUGCAAAUCCAGGAUAUAAAGACCAAGCAUGGUUUCUCCCGAGCAAAGACAUUCUGGAAUAGUUCCACUCAAGUUGUUAUUGGAUAAGUCAAGAAUUGAAAUUGACAUCAAAUUGCAUAUGGCAGAAGGAAUUUCUCCAGUCAAUUUGUUUUUUGAGACUAAAAAAACUUUCGUGGAAGAUGGUGGUACCAGAAGUGGUCCUUCUAGCAGGUUGGAACCAAGGUUAAGAAUCACUAUGUUCUGUGGGUAAUAUUCUAGACCCGUUAAAAAAUUAUUUGAAAGAUCAAGAUAAUUCAAUUUUUUUCCCCAAGUUGUUGUCUGUUUGGAAAUUCGGCCUUCAAUGGUGUUGUUUGAAAGGUCUAGUCGUAGCAAACUCUCUUGAGUUGUCAAAAAAUUUGAAAGUUCAGUUAUAUUGCAAGAAGACAACGACAAAAAACUAAGAUUAGGCAAGACAAGACUAACAUUGCUAUUAUCGCUCAGGGAUAGUGGAAAGUUAUGUGAAAGAUAAAGAAAUUCAAGGCGUUUAAACUUUAAAAACAUAGUUGCCUCGAUGACAUGGAUUUUAUUGUAAGAAAGGUCUAGAUAGACUAAGCCUUCUAGAUUUCUUACAAAAUCCGGAAAUUCACUUAUGUUGCAGGAAGAUAAUUCUAACCACCCAAAAUUGGGCAAGGAAUAAUUCGCAUUGCUUCCACUGGUCAAUGACAGUAAAGCAUUAUUUGAGAGAGAUAGUACCUGAAGCUUGUUAAGCUUUGAGAGUUUGUCCAAUUCGAAGAUGCCAUUCAACUUAUUUGAGGAAAGAUUAAGAUGGAUGAGGUUCACAAGUUUGAAAACAGAGCUUGGAAUUGGACCAUGUAUCUCAUUAUUCUGCAGCUUAACAAUCUCCAAAGGAGCAACCUUCUCAAAUGGGUCAAUAGGGCCAGUUAGCCCGUUAUAACUGAGAUCCAAAUCAACCAAGGUUGGAAGAGUAAACAACCAAUUUGGCACUCUACCAGACAGAAAGUUAUGGUCCAAGUGAAGUCUCAAUAGUCGUGAAAGCCCACUUACGUGAUAGGGAAGGGGACCCAUCAACCUGUUUGUUGAAAAGGACAUAAUUUCAAUUUUUGUGAGGUUGAAUGCUGAAAAUGGAAAAAGACCACUAAGAUCGUUAUUAUCUAAGGACAAGUGAAAAAGUUUGGUGAGGUUCCCAAAACCAUCUGAAAUCUGUCCUACCAAACUAUUAUAGGAAAGGUCUAAAUAUGUGAGCUGCAUGAAGUUAGCAAAUGAAAAUAAAAGUUGGCCAGUAAUUAAGUUCCGUCGCAGGUCUAAAUAGUUUAGUCUAGUGAGGUUGCCAAGAGAUGCAGGAAUUGACCCACUUAAUUGGCAGAAAGAAAGAUCCAAUACCUGGAGAGACCUAAGAUUGCCAAUUGAAUCAGGUACUUCUGCCAGAGAAGAUGAAUAUGAGACUCGUAGCAACUUGAGAGGACCACUCCAAUUAGUCUUUGGGAAGUUGAUUUCCAGGAUAUCAUCAUUACUAAAUAAACUGAACUUCUGGAGGUAUGGCAGGCGCAAAACAUCUUCAGGGAAUUUCCCCCGCAGCCCAUUACUCUCAAGAACAAGAGUCCUUAUGAAAGAAGACAUAUUAAGGAAAGAACUAGGUGCAACUAAAGACAUAUCGAUAGCAGAGAGAUCAAGGUCUCUUAGUUGUGUCAAGUUUCCCAAGAGUUUUUCAAAAACAUGCCCCUCAAAGAUUAAAGGAUUUCCGGAUAUAUCAAGAGAUAAAAGUUUAGAAAGCUGAGAGAUUUCAAGUGGGAUUGUACCUGUAAAUCCUGAGGAACUGAUAUUUAGAUGGGUUAAAUUAGUAAACUGACCAAACUCAAAUGCCAUGCGGGACGGGCCGAAAUAAUUUUCAGCAAGGUUAAGCUUGUGGAGAUGGUGGAGAAGGAAGAGGCUGCUAUUAGAGGGGAUACUGCCUCGAAGGCAGCUGCAACUAAGAUCAAGGCCAAUCACGUUACCUGUUUCAGAAUCACAGUUCACCCCAUCCCAGAAGCAGCAAUUUGUACCCACUUUCCAGGAGAUUGUCUUCCUCUUAUAUUUAUCGCACGAUAAGGAAACAGAGCAAUCGAUGGAAAGGGAAUUCUUGAAUUGGAUUAAGCCAAAGCUCUGGUCAUAAGAACACAACUUAAAUGGAGUAGAAGAAUUGAAAGAGAAACUAGAUAAUGAGCAAUCAACUUGAAAGUUCAAGGACAAAAGGAGGAAACAGAGGACAAAAUACCACUGUAUUAACCUUUUCAUUUUUUUUUUUUCUCUCAGAGAUGACGAAAGUAGAAAAAGGACAAGCUGAAUGUGAAGGUUGAGAGGGAAGCCUGGAGACCAUAUUUAUUGAUUUAUGAUUUCAAGCAAACAAUCACUCAUCAUGUUCACACGUUCAAGCAACUGUUUUCCUUAUUGAUAUUUUUCAAAAGAAACUCAUUUCAUACAUUGUCUAGAUUUCAUCAAUUAAAUUAAUUAGAUUGUCACAUAAUUCAUUAAAAUAUAUGUUAAAAAAUUAAUAAUUUAAUAUGCCGGUCUUCAAAACUCAGAAGACCAAGACUUCGGCCUACCACGUUUCCACUCCGCGUGAGAGAAGGGCCCAAACCAACGACUAACAACAUGACUUUAAUAUCUUCUCCUAAAAGGCGUAAUAGUGAAGGCUGACUAUUGAGGAUGGAGUAGACAGGAAUUGAACGGGUCAUUGAUGCUAAUGCUCUUUCAAAGAGAAUAGUAUGGAGACUCUCUUUCAUCUUCACCAUAAUACUGAAUAUCAAUUUGGUGAAAUCAAUAUAUUAUCCAGGGCAACAAGAGAUUGAAUUUUAUAAGGCAAUAAGGCAUACAGGAGAAGCAACAUUAUCUGCAGCAAGCCAAUAACCCCUCAUAUAGUUCAAAUCAAAUCCCUUUCUUAUACCCUUUUGUAGAUUGGGUAAAAUCUUAAAACCUCUUCAAAACACUUCAAAAAAGGCACUUUAAUCCCUUUUAUUUUAAAAUAAUAUUUUGCAUCUUUGACUGUUAAUAUUAGACCAAAUACUAUAUAAAUAUUUUUUGACAUAAAUAUUCUCUUUUCAAAAAAUCUGCUCAUCAUUCUCCCAAAAAAUUUAAUUAAAAAAAUCUAAAAACUUUUGAUUUGAAGGCUUAGAAAUUUGAAGCUUAAUCUACCUUGAAAACUAUAAACAUCUUUUGAGGUAAACUAUAUUACGGUCACACUCUUUAUUCAUCCAGUAGUUUAAGAAUAUUUUUCAUUAAAAAGAAUGUAUUAAAGCAAAUAUUUUGUUCAAUUAUGGAUAUUUCAAAAUUGAUGGUAUCGGGUUAAGAAAUUAAUUUUUUACUUGGGAUUACUAAUUUUAUUGAAAAAUUUUUGCUCAAAAAUUGUUCUUUGAGGUUAGGGUUUAGAGUGACAUAAAAAGAUUUUGAUUUAAUUACUACAUAUAAAAAGUUUUACGGUUUUUUUUCUUUGUCAAAUAUUAAAUUUUAUAAAAUAUCAAAAUGAUACAAACUACAAUAUUCAUAAAUCCUGUUCUAGAAUUUUAUUAAGUCUUAAGUUUUUUUUUUGUCAAAUAUUGAAUUUUAUUAAAUAUUAAAAUGAAUAAUUUAUCAAGUUAUUGAAAGGAAGAUGAGCAGAAUCUUUUAAGAGUACAUUUGUAUCCUAUAAUAUUUAUACAAAAUUGGGUAUAAUUUUUUUUAAUUGUUGACUAACGAUUUUAACAAUAAAGGGAUCAAAAAUAUCAUUUUGAAACAAAAAAAAUCAAAAUGUCCUUUCAAAAUGUUUUAACGGGCUUUUUGAAUUUUACCCUUUGGAGAUCUUGUUUUCAUUAUGAGAUACUUCAUUGGUCAAAAUUUUCUCUUUGGUUUGGUUAUUAAAUGGAACCAAUUUUGCUUCUUUCUGUUACCAAAACACCCACAACCCUUUCACUCAAUUUUAAAAAUAAAAAUUGGUUGAUUGAUGAAAUUAAUGUAUUUGAUAAUUUUUUUCCCUCAAAUUAAUUUAAACUAUAACGCUCCUGUUAAAAAAUAUAUAGAAAAUACAAAAAUUAAAAAUUGGAUAAAAAGGGGGAAAAGGCCCAAAACCACUUUUAUAGUUUUAUUUAUAUACCAAAACAAAAGGCCUAAUAUGCCUUUGACGUUUUUCUUAAAGUAAAUGACAAAAUCCUUCAAGUGAUCUUUGAUGUCUUACAAUUUGAAGUGAAUCAAAUUUGCAAUUAAAUUUGACUAUUGUGAUCCACUCAUUCAACUGACCAAAAACAUAAUCAGGAUUUCAAGAGUAUUAUUUCUCACAAGCACAUUAGACAGCAUCUGUAGAGUCCAAUUACUUUGCUUCCGUAGCAAGCGGUGUUUUGCGUGAAGAAAAUUAUGGCGUACUCUUUGGGGCCGGGGUCUUUAAAGCUCGUAAGACCGAGACUUUUGCCUGCCACUUUUCCACCACUCCGCUGAAGGCGGGACUCAGACCAAGGACUUACAACAUGACUCUGAUAUGUUCUCCUAAACAGCGUAGUAGUGAAUGCUAACUAUUGAGAAUGGAGCAGACAAGAAUUGGACAGGUCGUUGGCGCUAAUACUCUUUGAAAGAGACUAACAUGGAGAUUCUCUUUCAUCUUCACCAUAAUACUGAAUAUCAAUUUGAUAAAAUCAAUAUGUUAUCCAGGGCAACAAGAGAUUGGAUUUUAUAGGACAUUAUAAGGCAUACAGGAGAACCAAAGACAGUAUAAUACGCAAAUGUAAUCAACAAACCACCGAAGAGCAGCAUCUGUCUUCGCAGAGUUUCUUCUUCCUCAAUGAUAACUCUUCAAUCUCCUCAGAAUUUUGUAGCCUAGUCCUUGAACCAUCCUAACAAGCCAUUCUGGUUUUCCAAUUGUCAGCAUGAUAUAUCCUGUAGAUAAUCCAAGCACCAGUCCACAUCCAUAACCCAUCAUUACAAAUUUCCAAUCCAAUGGACAAGGAAAAAUUCCUUCCUCAUGAAGAGCAGAUUCCGGUGGUUCUUGUUCCUCAUCCUUGCCACACCUCUUUGACACUGGAAAUCCGCACAAUCCCAAGUUGCCACCAUAGGAAUCAUUCAGAAAGGUAUUAAAUUGAUUUCCCUGAGGUAUGAGUCCAACAAGCUGGUUCUGUGACAGGUUUAACACUUCAAGAAAUUUCAAACCAUUUAACUGCAUAGGAAUCUCCCCGACGAGCUUGUUGGUAGAGAGAUCCAGUGACUCAAGUGCUGUUAGCUUCCCCACUGAGGAAGGAAUAUGACCUGUUAGGCUGUUAUGGGAAAAAUUGAGCACUUGGAGAGAAAUGAGGUUUCCAACUAUUUCUGGAAUUUCUCCAUGGAAUUUGUUGCUUGACAUAUCAAUGGUUGUAAAAAGAGUUAGAAUUCUCUCAAGUACCAGGUCCAUACCUUUCAUUGUGACAAGCACGGAAAAAUGGUAAUAACGAUUCAAAUCUUCCAUAGAAGUCCGUUGAACAUUGGACAAAGUCAUCAUACCCCUGAAACUUUUAAAAUAUGUUGUUGGCAAAAGCCCAGAGAACUCAUUGUGGGAGAGGUCUAAGAUUCGCAGAGCUGAGAAGUGCGAUUCAUUUUCUGAAGGGCUUAUUUGACCAUGGAAAUAGUUGGAGCGCAAGACAAGAACUUGCAGCUGAGGAAGAGUUCCCAACCAGUGGGGAAAGGUACCGUUUAUCUUGUUGUUUCCAAGAUUUAACACUUGCAAAUCAUGACAGUUCUCCAAGGAUUUAGGAAACGGCCCAUCAAAAUCAUUGUUGUUGAGGUUAAGUAUCUGUAAUUUGUUUCCUACAACGAACGAAUCAGGGAUGUUUCCAUGAAAUUUAUUCAUGUGCAAAUCUAGGACCGUAAGAUUAGGCAUCUUACCUCUCGAGGCCAGACAAUCUGGAAUAGCUCCGCUCAACUCGUUAUUGGACAAGUCAAGAACUGAAAUUGAUAUCAAAUUACAUAUGGAAUAAGGAAUUUCUCCAACCAACUUGUUUUUUGAGAUUAAGAAAACUUCCAUCGAAGAAUUGGAAGAGAAAUUAGAUAAUGAGCAAUCAACUUUAAAGUUCAAGGACAAGAGGAGGAAACAAAGGACCAAAUACCACUGUAUUAACCCCUUCAUUUUUUUUUCUCAGAAAUGGUGAAAGAAGCAAAAUAGAAAACUGAAUGUGAAGGUUGAGAGAGAUAAGAAUGGAGACCGUAUUUAUACAUAUGAUUUCAAGCAAACAACCACCAGUCAUGUUCACACAUUCAAACAACCAUUUUUAUUACUGAUAUAGACUACAACCCGUGCUUUGCAUACAGACCUCUUUUUAUUUGUUUUUUUCUUUCUCUUUCUACCUCUUUUUUUUUUUUUUCUUCUCUUUUUCCUAUGCCUUUCACGUAGGUAAAGGAGGAAGCCCUAAGUAUGUUAUAAAUUUUUUAAAAGAAAAUUAUUUCAUAUAUUGUUAAUUUGUAAAUUUCAUUAACUAAAUUAAUUAGAUUGUCACAUACUUCAAUAUUAGAAUAUAUUUAAAAAAUUAAUAAUUUAAUAUCAUACAUAAAAAAAUAUGUAACGAUAUUUUAACUUUAAGUUGGAAACAUGGGAUUGUAGUUCUUUUUUUUUCAACCCCCAAUGAUUCAAGUAACCAAAAAACUUAUCGGGAUAUCAAGAGUAUUAUUUCAUAAAACCAAGACUUUCACUUGUCAUGUUUUUACCUUGGUAUGAACGUGGGACUCAAACCAAAGGACUAACAACAUGACUUUUAUGUCUUCUUAAAAAGCAUAAAAUUGAAGGCUAAUCUCUAAGAAUGAAACAGGUAAGAAUUGAACGUGAACGUAUCAUUGAUAUAAAAUAUAAAAAUAUUAUAUAAUUAUAUUAUUAUAUUAUAUCAAUCUAUCAUAUUUAAAGAUAAAGCUCUUUUAAUGGAUCUAAAAAAAUUUUUAAAUUUAUUUUAUAUUAUAUAAAAUUUUUAAUUUUUUUAUAAAUUCUUUUAAUAUCUUUUCUAAAAUAACUUUUAAUUUAAUAAUUAAUGUAAAUAAAAAAUAACAAAAUGAUUCCAUAUGCUUGACUCAAUUUAAAAGUUUUGUUUUAUUUUUUUUCAAUUUAUAUUUUAAUUAUUUAUAUUUACUUUUUUUCAUUUCUAUUAUAUUUAUUCAUAUGUUUUAAAUCUUUAUAAAUUUUCUUCCACAAAUUUCAACGAACAAUCAGUCAUAUUCUUUUUCCUUCUUUUUACUAUGUCAUAUGUGAGUUUAUCUUAUACUUGCCAUGUUUAUAUUUUUUCUAUUAUGUGAAUUUUAUUUUUAUGAUUUUAGUCUUUAAAUAUUAAUAAAUUAUUAUAUAAUUUUCAAAUAUAAGUUGCAAUAUUGUACUAUUGUUUAAAAUUUUAUCAAUAUAUCAUUUUUUAUUCAGAAUAACCGAUACGCUCUAACAUGUAUGUUUCAUACUUUAAGUAACAAGGAUAUAUAUACAAAUUAAUAAAAUUAAAUGAUCGUAUUUCUUUCAAUACAAUUUAUUUAUUAUAUAUAUUUUUAAUGACCCUCAAAAUAAUUUUUUAUUUAAUAAUUAUUUUUAUUCCUCAAAUUAUUUGAUAAUAUUACAGUCAUUAUGGUCAAUAUUUCACUAGUUAAUCCCAACAAAUAAAAUAUUCUAACAUAAUAUGUUAAGCCUAUCAAGUUUUAAAGAAAAAAUAAAUUGACUCUACUAACCUAAACCCAUUAAAUUUUAAUAAAAAUCUAAACAUAUCAUAACAUAUUAUAUCUUAACAGUCCAACCCAAUAGCUUAUCAUAACAUAUUAUAUUUCAAUAGUUCAACUCAAUAACUUAGUAUGUUAAUUAACAAUUUAAGAGGUAAAUAAAAAAUAAAAAAAAAGAGCUUUUUUAAAAAGUUAUUCAUUUUGUAUAAAACACACAAAGUAAAGAGACAUUUGAAUUUGAAAAUUUGUUUUCUCUUCCACUUUUGGGCACAGAGAGUGAAAAAGACUCAUUUCAUAAUUUCAUUCCGUUUAUAUAUAUAUAACGCCAUUAUUACUAUUAAUGUGUAUUUUUUUAUAUAUCCAAUGUUUUAUGAAUUUUAUUUAAUCUUUUAGAUGAGUGAAAAUUAAAUGGUAUAUAAAGUUCUCUGUGACUGUUUAAUGUCUCUUUCUAUUUGAUUCUCUUUAAAAUGCUUUAACUUCGUCAUUGAUCACGUCAUCAUAAUUAUGAUAUAUUAACAUGCUAUGUCAACGUUACGUGAUAUAAAAUGAUAAUUAAUAUUUUGAUUAAAUCAAUCUUUAAUUAUAAUUUUUUUAAGGUUUGGCAGAUGAGAAUUAGGCCACGUCUCUUAACCAUCCAGUUUGCUAAAGGUUGCAAAUUAUUAUAGCCAACUUACCGGUUUAGAUCAUUAUUGGACUCUCCUCAUGUUUCUUCGAAAGUUUUUUUGUUAAAUAGAGACUCUGGUCAAUUGUUAGUAUUGAAUCGCUUUCUUAAUUGAAUUUUUUGAUUAAUUGUCAGUGUUGAAUCACUUUCUUAAUUGAAUUUUACAUAGAAAAUUCAUUCUUUCUUCGAUAUUUCAAAAAAAUAAUCAUAAUUUUUUUUCUUGUUUGAUUAUUAAAUGAAACCAAUUUCUUUUCUAUCUGUCCCCAAAGGUCCCACAACCUUCAUACUCAAUUUUAAAUAUAAAAAUUGAUUGAUUGAUGAAAUUAAUGUAUUUGAUAAUUUUUUCUCUAAUUAAUUUUAAACAGUAACCUUUUUGUUAGAAAAAAUAUAUAGAAAAAAAAAAGAAUGGAUGAAAAAAGAAGAAAAGGCCCAAAACAUCUUUCACCACCAAAAAGCCCAAAACCACUUUCAAUCAAACAACGUUAAAGUCCAGAAACACAAGUAAUGACACGAGUUCGGCUUAAGGUUUAUCCAAAACGACAUACAGUUUUCAUAUCUCUGUCUCCAUUGAUCGUGAAACAAUGGAGGGACGGAUAAAAUACCCUAAAAUUCAAAGAGUAGACUACCAGUCCAAAUUCUUCUCUUAGGUAUUUUUAAUUUUUUUCUUCUCUUGUUAAAAUGUGUUUGGUUGCCUAGAAAACAAAGGAAAAGGAACUAGAAAGCUUGUAAUUCUGUUUCUUUUAUGUUUUUCUAUUUGGCUUUUUGAUAAAACAUUUGGGUUUUGCUAGAAUUGUUAAAUAAAUAAAUAACAUUAACGGAGAUAACUAUGAUAAAGAGAACGAAUUUUUUUUUUUACUGUUGACAAAUGGUGUUAAUAAUAAAAAAAACUAAAAUAUCAUUUUGAAACAAGAAAAAUUAAAGUGUCUUUUCAAAAUGUUUUAACGGGUUUUUUGAGUUUUACCCUUUGGAGAUCUUGAUUUUGUUACGAGAUACUUCAUUGAUCAAAAUUUUCUCUUUUGCUUGGUUAUUAAAUGGAGCCAAUUUCUCUUCUUUCUGUUACCAAAACAACCACAGCCCUUUCACUCAAUUUUAAAGAUACAAAUUGAUUGAUUGAUGAAAUUAAUGUGCUUGAUAAUUUUUUUUUCCUCAAAUUAAUUUAAACUGUAACGCUUCUGUUAAAAAAUAUAUAAAAGAUUACAAAAAUAAAAAAUUGGAUAAAAAGGGGGAAAAGGCCCAAAAUCCCUUUUAUAGUUUUAUUUAUAUACCAAAACAAAAGGCCUAAUAUGCCUCUGACGAUUUUCUUAAAGUAAAUGACAAAAUCCUUUAAGUGAUCUUUGAUGUCUUACAAUUUGAAGUGAAUCAAAUUUGCAAUUGAAUUUGACUAUUGUGAUCCGCUCAUUCAAGUAACCAAAAAACUUAAUCAGGAUUUUAAGAGUACUAUUUCUCACAAGCACAUUAGACAGCAUCUGUAGAAUCCAAUUACUUUGCGUCUGUAGCAAGCAGUGUUUUGCGUGAAGAAAAUUAUGGCGUACUCUUUGGGGCCGGGGUCCUCAAAGCUCAUAAGACCAAGACCUUUGCCUACCACUUUUCCACCCCUGCGUGAAGGUGGGACUUAAACCAAGGACUUACAACAUGACUUUGGCCUGCCACUUUUCCACCCCUGCGUGACAGUGGGACUCAAACCAAAGCACUAACAGCAUGACUCUGAAAUGUUCUCCUAAACAGCGUAGUAGUGGAGGCUAACUAUUGAGAAUGGAGCUGACAAGAAUUGGACAGGUCGUUGAUGCUAAUACUCUUUGAAUGAGAAUAAUAUGGAGAUUCUCUUUCAUCUUCACCAAAAUACUGAAUAUCAAUUUGAUAAAAUCAAUGUGUUAUCCAGGGCAACAAGAGAUUGGAUUUUAUAGGGCAUUAUAAGGCAUACAGGAGAACAAAAGACAGUUAUAAUACGCAAAUGUAUUCAACAAACCAACGAAGAGCAGCAUCUGUCUUCGCAGAGUUUCUUCUUCCUCAAUUAUAACUCUUCAAUCUCCUCAGAAUUUUGUAGCCUAGUCUUUGAACCAUCCUAACUAGCCAUUCUGGUUUUCCAAUUGUCAGCAUGAUAUACCCUGUAGAUAAUCCAAGCACCAGUCCACAUCCAUAACCCAUCAUUACAAAUUUCCAAUCCAAUGGACAAGAAUAAAUUCCUUCCUCAUGGAAAGCAGAUUCCGGUGGUUCUUGUUCCUCAUCCUUGCCACAGCUCUUUGACACUGGAAAUCCGCACAAUCCCAAGUUGCCACGAUAGGAAUCAUUCAGAAAGGUAUUAAAUUGAUUUCCCUGAGGUAUGAGUCCAACAAGCUGGUUCUGUGACAGGUUUAACACUUCAAGAAAUAUCAAACCAAUCAACUGCAUAGGAAUCUGCCCAACAAGCUUGUUGGUAGAAAGAUCCAGUGACUCAAGUGCUGUUAGAUUUCCCAGUGAGGAAGGAAUAUGACCUGUUAGGCUGUUAUGGGAAAAAUUGAGCACUUGGAGAGAAACGAGGUCUCCAACUAUUUCUGGAAUUUUUCCUUGGAAUUUAUUGCUUGACAUAUCAAUGGUUGUAAAAAGAGUUAGAAUUCUCUCAAGUUCAAUGUCCAAACCUUUCACUGUGACACGCACGGAAAAAUGGUAAUAAAAAUUAAAAUCUUCCAUAGAUUUCGUUUGAACAUUGGACAAAUUCAUCAUACCCUCGAAACUUUUAAAAUAUGUUGUUGGUAGAAAACCAGAGAACUCAUUGUGGGAGACGUCUAAGAUUCGCAGAGCUGAGAAGUGCGAUUCAUGCUCUGAAGGGCUGAUUUGACCAUGGAAAUAGUUGGAGCGCAAGACAAGAACUUGUAGCGGAGGAAGAGUUCCCAACCAGUGGGGAAAGGUAUCAUUUAUCUUGUUGUUUCCAAGAUUCAACACUUGCAAGUCAUGACAGUUCUGCAAGGAUUUAGGAAAUGGCCCAUCAAAAUCAUUGUUGUUGAGGUUAAGUAUCUGUAAUUUGUUUCCUACAACGAACGAAUCAGGAAUGUUUCCAUGAAAUUUAUUCAUGUGCAAAUCUAGGACUGUAAGAUUAGGCAUCUUACCUCUCGAGGCCAGACAACCUGGAAUAGUUCCACUCAACUUGUUAUUGGACAAGUCAAGGAUUGAAAUUGACAUCAAAUUACAUAUGGAAGAAGGAAUUUCUCCAACCAAGUUGUUUUUUGAGAUAAAGAAAACUUCCAGGGAAGAAUUGGAAGAGAAGCUAGAUAAUGAGCAAUCAACUUUAAAGUUCAAGGACAAGAGUAGGAAGGAAAGGACCAAAUACCACUGUAUUAACCCUUUCAUUUUUUUUUGCUCAGAAAGGAUGAAAGAAGCAAAAUGGAAACCUGAAUGUGAAGGCUGAGAGAGAUAAAGAGUGGAGACCAUAUUUAUGCAUAUGAUUUCAAGCAAACAACCACCAGUCAUGUUCACACAUUCAAACAACCAAUUUUUUUUUGGGAAGUCAAACAACCAUUUUUAUUAUUGAUAUUUUUUAAAAGAAAAUUAUUUCUUACAUUGUUAAUUUGUAAAUUUCAUCAACUAAAUUAAUUAGAUUGCCGCAUACUUCAAAAUUACAAUAUAUUUAAAAAAUUAAUAAUUUGACAUAAUACAUAAAAAAAAUAUGAACAAUAUUUUAACUUUAAUUUGGAAACAUGGGGAUGUAGUUUUUUUUUUUUUAACCCCAACUGGUUCAAGUAACCAAAAAACUUUUCGGGAUAUCAAGAGUAUUAUCUCAUAAAACCAAGACUUUCACUUGCCACGUUUUUACCUUGGUAUGAACGUGGGACUCAAAUCAAAGGACUAACAACAUAAAUUUUAUGUCUUCUUAAAAGCGUAACAUUAAAGGCUAAUCUCUAAGAAUGAAACAAGUAGGAAUUGAAUGUGAACGUAACGCUAAUAUGAAAUGUAAAAAUAUUAUAUAAUUAUAUUAUUAUAUUAUAUCAAUCUAUCAUAUUUAGGGAUGAAGCUCUUUUAAUAGCUCUUUAAAAUUUUUAAAAUUUAUUUUAUAUUAUCUAAAAUUUUAAAUUUUUUUAUAAAUUCUUUUAAUAUCUUUUUUUAAAUAAUUUUUAAUUUAAUAAUUAAUACAAAUAAAAAAAUAAACAAAAAUGAUUUCAUAUGCUUGACUCAAUUUUAAAAUUUUUUUUUCUUUCAAUUUAGAUUAUUAUUAUGAUUUAUAUUUAUUUUUUUUAUUUUUAUUCUAUUUAUUCAUAUGUUUUAAAUUUCACUAGAUUUUCUUCCAAAACUUUCUAUGAACAAUCAAUCAUAUUCUAUUUUCUUUUUUUUACUGUGUCAUAUGUGAGUUUUAUCUUAUACUUGCCAUGUUUAUCUUUUUUCGGUUACGUAAAUUUUAUUUUUAUGAUUUUAGUUUUUAAAAAUUAAUAAAUUAUUAUGUUAAUCUCAAAUAUAAAGUACAAUUUUGCAUUAUUGUUUAAAAUUUUGUCAAUAUAUAAUUUUUUAUUCAGAAUAAUCAAUGUGUUCUGGUAUGUAUGUUUCAGACUUUAAACAAGAAGGAUAUACAUACAAUUAAUAACAUGAAAUGAUUGUAUUUCUUUCGAUACAAUUUUAUUUAUUGUAUAUAUUUUUAAUGACCCUCAAAAUAAUUUUUUAUUUAAUAAUUAUUUUUAUUCCUCAAACUAUUUGAUAAAAUUACAGUCAUUAUAGUCAAUAUUUUACUAGUUAAUCCCAACAAAUAAAAUAUUCUAACAUAAUAUGUUAAGCCUAUCAAAUUUUUUUUUUAAAAAAAGGAAGUCUACUAACCUAAAACCACUAAGUUUUAAUAAAAAUCUAAACCUAUUAUAACAUAUUAUAUUUUAACAGUCCAACCCAAUAACUUAUUAUAACAUAUUAUAUCUCAAUAAUUCAACUCAAUAACUUAAUAUGUUAAUUAACAAUUUAAGAGGCAAAUAAAAAAUACAAAAAGAACUUUCUUAUAAAGUUAUUCAUUUGUAUAAAACACACAAAGUAAAGAUAUAUUUAAAUUUGAAAAAUUGUUUUCUCUUGCACUUUUACGCACAGAGAGUGAAAAAGACUCAUUUCAUAAUUUCAUUCUGUUUAUAUAUAUAUAUAUAACACCACCAUUAUUGUUAAUGCACAUUUUUUUGUAUGUCUAAUGUUUUGUGAAUUUUAUUUAAUCGUUUACAUGAGUGAGGAUUGAAUUAUAUGUAAAGUUCUCUUUAACUGUUUACUGUCUCUUUCUAUUUGAUCUCUCUUUAAAAUGCUUUAAUUCCAUCACUGAUUACGUUAUCAGCAUUAUGAUUUAUUAACAUGUUAUGUUAACGUCACAUGAUAUAAAGUGAUAAUUGAUAUUUUGAUUAAAUCAAUCUUUAAUUAUAAUUUUUUUAAGGUUUGGCAAAUGAAAAUCACACCACGUCUCCUAACCAUCCAGUUUGCGAAAGGUUGCAAAUUAUUAUAGCCAACUUACCAGUUUAGAUCAUUAUUGGACUCUUCUUAUAUUCCUUCGGAAGUUUUUUUAUUCAACGGAGUUUGUCAAUUAUCAGUAUUGAAUUGCUUUCUUAAUUGAAUUUUUUGAUUAAUUGUCAAUGUUGAAUCGCUUUCUUAAUUGAAUUUUACAAAGAAAAUUCAUUUUUUGUUCGAUAUUUCAGAAAAAAAAUCAUAAUUUUUUUUUCUUGUUUGCUUAUUAAAUGAAACCAAUUUCUUUUCUUUCUGUCCCCAAAGGUCCCACAACCUUCAUACUCAAUUUUAAAUAUAAAAAUUGAUUGAUUGAUGAAAUUAAUGUAUUUGAUAAAUUUUUUCUCUAAUUAAUUUUAAACAGUAACCUUGUUGUUGGAAAAAUAUAUAGAAAAAAUAAAGAAUGGAUGAAAAAAGAAGAAAAGGCCCAGAACAUCUUUCACCACCAAAAAGCCCAAAACCACUUUCAAUCAAACAACGUAAGUCCAGAAACACAAGCAAUGAUACGAGUUCGGCUUGAGGUUUAUCCAAAACGACAUACCGUUGUCAUAUCUCUCACUCCAUUGAUCGUAAAACAAUGGAGGGACGGAUAAAAUUCCCUAAAAUUCAACUAGUAGACUACCAGCCCAAAUUCUUCUCUCAGGUAUUUUUAAUUUUUUUCUUCUCUUGUUAAAAUGUGUUUGGUUGCCUAGAAAACAAAGGAAAAGGAACUAGAAAGCUUGUAAUUCUGUUUCUUUUAUGUUUUUCUAUUUGGCUUUUUGAUAAACCAUUUGGGUUUUGCUGGAAUUGUUCAAUAAAUAACAUUAACCGAGAUAACUAUGACAAAGAGAAUCAAAUUUUAUUUAUUUUUACAUUUUAUGUUGUUUUUUCUUUUAAGGGACUAUCUGUUAGUUUUCUCUCUCGUUUGGAUUGAUUGUUGUUUAGGUUGGUAAAUAGGACAAAAUUUUAAUUAAGGGUCAUUCUUAAUUUUUUGAAGUAUAAAGUGUUAGGGGUCUUAUUGUCGUUUUACUUGAAAUCUGUUAUGUAGUAAUCAUUGAAGCUAGUGUAGAAUUGUUAAUGAAAAAAUUAUAGUUUAGAUAUGCUGAGCUGUUGGUCCUGGAAUUGUUUGAGUAGUUUAUGUUAUGCUUUUCACUAUGUAUGCCGAAGAUUGAUUGCACUGUUUCGAAAUGGUGCAAUUAUGGAUUUCCAAGUAUUAGAGCAAACUCAAUUGUAGAAAUUGUAGGUUGUAUAAUUUGAUUUGCAUUUAGUAGAAUGUGAAGUUCUAUGUGGAGAUAUAUUUGAUUGAUGUAAACUAUUAAAGACUUGAAAUUAUCUUGUUAUUUUGUUAAGACUUCUUUAAGCAUACUUACAAUCAUUAUGGAACAGAAUAUUUAUAGUUUAUUUCCCUUAUUUUUCUAGUAUAAUAUGCUUGUCAUCUGUUUUUAGGGAAUUUUUUGUUAAUCUUGGUGAAUGAUGACUGCUUUACUUUGAGAUUAUUAUUCUUUGGUGAAAGAUAAAAUAAUAGUAAUGUUUUUUUUGUUUAUUAUGGUGUUAGGAUCUGGUAAAAGUGGAGGAACAUAGAGAUAAAAGUAAUCUGGUAGGAACAGAUAUUAAGCAAGAUGGAAAGCAGCUUCAAAAGUCUGAAGGUGAAGCACCACCCAAAGUUAGUGGAGGCAAUGGUAUGCGAAUUGUUUCAGGCACUGGAAAUCAGAAACAAGGUAAAUUGUUUUACUAUGAUACACCAUUUUCUGAAGAAACAGGAGUUUGGGUACCUGUGUCCGUUCCCCCUAUGUCUGAAAGUGAACAUGAAGAAUGCAGUAGAGGCCUCAGUCUGAAUGGAGGAUACUUUCCUGAUGGUGAUUUAGGCUGGAAUAAGUUUACUGGAGAAAGUAAGGACCUGACCAUGUGGGAUGUGUUCAAUGAGAUGUUAAUAGCAGCUCGAGGCAAAGUGAGUGCUAUUGCUUCAGGUGAUGUCCAAAGAUGUGGAAUUUCUUGGUUAUCUAAUCAUCUUCUUGAGCAAGCAUGGAUAGAGAUGGCUCAAACGCUUACAGAGGCUAAUUUUGGUAAUAUCAGGGAAAUUCUUGAAGCAGAGCCACCAAAAUGGUUGGCUGACAGUGUGGCUUCUGCUUGCAUGCUUUGUAAUGUGUGGUUCCAUCCUAUCAUGCGCCCUCGUCAUCAUUGCCGCUUUUGCGGUGGGAUAUUCUGCAAUGAAUGUUCUAAGGGAAGAAGCCUGUUACCAAUGAAAUUUCGCACUGGGAACCCACAACGAGUAUGUGAUGUUUGUUGUGUGAGGCUCGAGUCUGUCCAAUCAUACUUGAUAGACAGCGUAAGUCGUGCUGCUCAGUUGCCAACCCAUGAUCUGACAGACCUCAGUACUUUAAGAUCAUGGCUUAAUUUUCCUUGGGGCCAAUCCAUGGAAUAUGAGAUUUAUAAGGCUGCAAAUAUUGUUCGCAAUUAUAAUAAGGUAAUGUCUCACUUUCUGUUUGUUAUUAUGAACUCAUCUAGAUUAAUCCUUGAAGCCAUCAUCUCAUAAGACCAUUUCAGAAAGCUGGUGGAAGUUCUCAAAUAUUUAAAUUUGAAUGUAUUAAUUAGACAAAUUACAUUAGUGCAUGUUUCAUGACACAUCAGUUUAGCAUUGUACACAGGUUGGGUCCUUGAAACCUGAAAAGUCCAUACCAGAUGCUAUUUUAAAACAAGCAAAAGGCCUUGCAAUUGUUACUGUUGCAAAGGUUGGGGUUAUGGUAACAUACAAUAUUGGAACAGGGCUGGUUGUUGCUCGUGGAGAAGAUGGAUCUUGGUCUCCACCAUCUGCAAUAUCUUCCUUCGGUGUUGGCUGGGGAGCUCAGGUAAGUUGACUUGGUAAAUGGUUGUUUGACUGCUUAGCUCCUAUAAUAUUUUAGAAUGUUGUUGCUUGUGCAAUAUGUUGUUUGUGUUUGUAUGACUGCUAAAACAAGAAAAGACAAUAAAUUCUGCCCCUAUUUACCAGCUUUGAACGACGAAACCUUUUGGCAAAUUAUUGAACAUUACUUGUGACAAGUUUGAAUAUCUAGGUCCAAUCUGACUCAAUGUGCUUAUAUCUAUUUUACUACUCUUUUUCAACUCUAAUAGGCUGGAGGUGAAUUUACGGAUUUCAUUAUUGCAUUGAGAACUAAAAGUGCUGUCAGAACAUUUAGCGGAAACAUGCAUUUAUCAGUUGGAGCAGGUUUGAGUGCAGCUGUUGGCAUUGUUGGACGGGCUGCUGAAGCUAACUUGCGUGGGGGCUCUGGGGGUUGUGCUGCUUGUUAUACAUACAGCUUUAGUAAAGGUGAUAUUUCUUUUCCUAACAAACCUUGGAUUGGAUUGAUUAGUUUGCAUGAUCCCGUUGCUUUCUAGUUCAGGCGGCCAGUAGGAAUUAUAUCCAUUGUUAUGUUCUCUUAUCAGAACAGAACAGGGGCAAAUGUUUUUAGUGAAGUUGAUGUUUGUUCUGCUUGUCCAUUGGGGGCCAUUUUUGAGAAUACGGGAAAAGUCUCUUCCUACUUUUCAUGUGCACUCCCUCCUUGAUUAACCAUUGAAGAAAGCGAAACAAAGAAAUGAAAUUUUUUAAGAAAGAAGUUUAGCUUAUUAAAGAAUUGAUUUACAUCUCUCUAAGACGGUUUACCUGUAUAUUGACUUACUAGUCUGUGCAAAUGCCUUACUAGUAACUACUUUUGUGCACAAUUUUCCCUUCAUCGCUGCCUGCAUACUAAAUUAACUGGUUUAUGAACGUUAUGAUGUCUUGAUGUACUAUGUAGGUGCAUUUGUCGGGUGCUCACUUGAAGGAAGUGUAGUUACAACCAGAAACCAAGAAAAUUGUAGAUUUUAUGGUAAUCCAUCUAUCACUGCUUCAGAUAUUCUUCUUGGUUCAUUGCCUAGGCCUCCUGCUGCUUCCACUCUUUAUCAAGCUCUCUCAAAUCUAUUUGAAAAACUUGAGAAGUGAUUGCUUCUUUGGUCCAUUUAAAAAAUAUUUUGUGGUUUCGUCCUGAUAAUUGCUGGGAGGUGCCUCAUACCGACAUGUAAAUUCUUUCCAUCUCUCUUUGAUGAAUUUCAACCCUCAUUCUUGUAUCAUGAGGUAAUUGGUUACAAAUUGGUUGUAUAGUUCAGAGAAAUCUGGAAAAUUUGACAUAGAUAGAAGUCAAAUGAAAUGUUAAAAGUGCUGGAUUUUAGUUUUUCGUGUAAAUUAGAAGAUAUACUAGAUGACCAUUAAAUUUAUUUGCAUCUAGCUGUUUCUCAUCUCCUGAGCCCUGAGGUAUUAUUUAAGUAAGAGAAGGUUUGCUUAGUGUGUGAUGCUUGUUACAUGGUAAAUUCGUUCAGAAAUGGUCAGCUUAUGGUCAUCCUCGUCUUGGACAUAUCACUCGUAGUACUUUAGCAUGGAAGCGUAUUGUGCAUCGUCCCAUUACACAUUGCUUUAUCUCUUUAAAAAAAUUAGUAGAUUCCUUAGAUGUUGCCCAAGAGGUACAAUAAUAUUCUUCACAUUUUCACAUGGCGGUCCUCAACUUGUGGAGCCAUUUGAUAAAUAACUCGAGACUGUAUGUAUUGGUCUUCACAAUUUCACAUGGCGGUCCUCUACUCGUGGAGCCAGUACUGAAAAGGUGAAGUUCAAGCCUGACUUGUGUUUGCCCAUUCAGCUGGGAGACUUCCUGGAAGUUUUCAGCAACUUAGGAUUGCAAUAAAUUAAUGCUUUCAUGCUCCUUGACACCCUUAUCCAAAAUCUUCCACAGCAAUGAAGAUGAGGAUACUUGAUGAACAAUGGAUGCAUUUCCUCCUUUGUCUUGUUUUCCUCCUAUCUGCAUGUUCUAUACCUUCAGAGGCUAGUGAUAUGCAGCUGAUGUCUUCGCAGAAGCAGAAUCAAAGCGAUGAGGUAACGGCAUUGUUGGCUUUCAAGCAUAAUUCUGUUGAAGCUGACCCCAAGGUUUCCUAGAUGAUUGGAAUCCUGCAUCAUUGAGUCCAUGUUCGUGGAAAGGAGUUUGCUGCAUCAGGACCAAUUCCAGAUAGCUUGAGCUUAAUGUCUUACUUGAUAAUUCUUAAUUUGGGACACAACACUCUAACUGGAACAAUCCCUUACAUACUUUUAAGUCUGAAAGCAUUGAACAUUCUUGACCUUUCUCAUAAUCAACUUCAAGGCACAAUUCCAGAAUCAUUGCAGUUUCUCUCACUUAGAUUUCUCAAAUAAUAAUCUCAGCGUCACUAUACCUGAAAUUGUUCAGCUGGAAACAUUUUCAACAUCUGCAUAUUUAAAUAAUUCAGGGUUACGUGGUUAUCCAUUGCCUCCUUGUGCCUCUCUGUCUGAAACAAACCCCACAGGUUUCCAGCAAUCUCAAGCACAUAAUAAAUUGGAUUGGAUUGCUUAGAUAGGAUGCACAGCUGGUGUCAUACUUGUGGUAUCUGGUGCAAUUGUUUUGCUUGUGAAAAAACGAGCAAUGGUUUAUCAAGCCCUCCCGUAUUACUCUGCAAAGGAGACCAAAACAGUUGAAGCAUAGUUGACGAAAACGCCCAUGCAGAAGUUGAGAAAGGUGCAAAAUUUGGUAUCUUUAAUGUAACUUUCUUCCUACUACUAUAUACGUUGCGAAGUUGGCAGAUAAAUAAAUAUCAGUACCCUAUGUAGCUUAUUGGCUCUUGCAAUGCAGUGAAAGUAAUGUAUGCGGUGAACUUAAUAAAGCAAAAUGCAAAAGUUGUUUGAUGCAUCCAGUAUAGAUUGGUGAUUAUCUUUUCAUUUCCAUAAUCUAGAUCACUGGUCUAAAGAGGAUUUGAAAACUUACAAUGUUCUGAAGAUAUUAGAGAGCUACAUUUCAUGCUCUUGUUAUCAUCAUCUUAUAAACAAUUUGAAAUUAACUUUAUGCAAAUAUUGAGAAGAUCAACUAAUUUCAAUGUAAAAUUUACGGACUUUCAUUAGUUUCAAAUCUGGAAGAUUACUAAAUUCCAAGAAAAUAAAAGCUAACAAACUAACUAGACUGGAAUUAUGCUCCAGCUCGUACAUACAUCAUUUUGGAAAGUACAAUAGGAGAAGAGCUACUACAGUAAGCUGCAGUCUUAUCACCAAGGUUAGAUUUCAUGCUUCGAUCAUCAUCUUCGCACUCGUGAAUAUCAUCAUCAUCAUGCACCAGAGAUGCUUGCGCUUUCAAAUCCUCAAUAUCAAAAUUCCAGGCGCUAAUUCCUCUUUGAUACUGACUCUGCGAUGUAGCUUCUUGUUCUGCUGAAGGCAUUUUCUUUAGAGCUAGUUGUGCAGCAUCUUUAAGCUGAACGGGUUUCACAGGAUUCGACAGCCGUGGAAUAGGAGCAAAUAAUUUCUUCACAAAAAGCUCAGGAGGCUUUGCAUGCUUGAAAAACGAGUGCUUCAAUAAUUUCUCUGCAGUCGGUCUCUUUGUUUGAUCUUUCACCAGGCACAUCGCAACCAUAUCUUUGAAAGACUUGGAGAACUUCUUAUCGCAAUCUUGAUCAAGUCGUGGAGGAGCAUUUUGUAUGGUCAUCAAGAGAACCUUCAUGGGUGGAUAUUUGGACAAAGGUGCAUGACCAUGGGCCAACUCCAAUGCUGUUAUGCCGAAUGACCAUAUAUCUGCCUUGGAGUUAUAUCCAGUUCCUGGCUGCAUGACCUCCGGUGCCAUCCAGCAAGGAGUCCCCACAAAGGUAUUUCUCGAACGUUGUCUGUCUCCUGAAUCGAACAUGCAAGCUGAAACACCGAAGUCGGCGAGUUUAACUGUUCCAUUGUUAUCAAGCAGUAUGUUCCCAGCCUUGACAUCCCGAUGAAUAUGUCCUUGUCGGUGAAGAUAAUCCAAAGCCUUAAGAGUUUCCUUAAGAAUGGAAGCGAUAGCAGCCUCUUCGAAUCCAUCGGGAUAAGCCGUUUUCAUGCGAUGCAAGCAGGAACCCUCCGACAUGAACGGCAUGACUACCCAAAGGUUGCGGUCAACUACGAAGGAAGCAUAUGCCCGAAGAACAUUAGGGUGAUCGAUCAAUCUCAGUGUUUGAGCUUCCCGAUGUACGUCAUCCAGAUUAGUACCGCUGCAGCGAUCAAGAUCCAAACACUUGACAGCCACGACGUCCUUUGAAGGAAGAUAGAUUGCUUUGUAAACAGUAGCAGUGGCGCCAUGGCCGAUUUCUUCAAGAAGCUGGUAAUCGCUAGGGUUCGCUGAGUAACUCCGAGUCCCUUGCAUUCUCCCCACCGGAAAACCAGGCAAUCGCGAGUGAUGGAAUAGUCCUUCAAGGAUGGCUUUUUCUGUUUAGGAAAGAGUAAUAAGAGUAAGAGAAUAGUCCUUCAAGGACUGGCUUUUUGUGUUUUUAUAGUUUGAGUUGGUGAAGUUGUUUUGAUCGUGUAUCCUUGCUGUUAUAAAUAAUUAAAAAUUUGACAUUAAUUAUUAAAACUUUUAUAUAUUUAAAUAAUUUUUUAAACAAAUAAAUAAAAAAAAGACUUCAACCAAUGCAAUAACUUUUAUCAAGCCAUACUUGUGUUAUUUGAUUAAGAUCUAAACACUUGAGAGCCAAACAUCCUUUGAAGGAAGAUAGAUUGCUUUUGGCCAAUUUCUUGAAGAUCGAUUACAAUUGCUUUGUAAUCGCUAGAGUUCGCUGAGUCCAUUCCAUUCUUGCCAUUGGAACACCAACCAAGAGAAGAAAGCAGCAAGAAAGAGUAAUAGAAUGGUCCUUGUGAAGAUUAAAAGGGCUGGCCUUUUCUGUUUUUGUAGUUGACUUGGUGAAGUUGUUUCAAUCCUCCUUCACCGCCUUGAGUGUAUCCUUGUUGGAGUUAACUUUAAUUCAGUUUAUAUUAAUUUUAAAUUAACUUUAUUAGAUCAGUUUAAAUAGGACUGUGACACUCAUUUAUAUUAAUUUUAUUAUAUCAGUUUAAAUAGGACUGUAACACUCAUUUAUAUUAAUUUUAAAUUAAAUUUAAUUUAUUAAGAACAAUUGACUUUAAUUUUUUAUUACAUCAAUUUAAGUAGGAUUCUGACACUAGUUUAUAUUAAUUUUAAAUUAAAUUAUAUUUUAUUAAGAAUAGCUUACUUUAAUAAAGAAUUAAUGUUUAAUAAGGAUGUCAAUAUUAAUAAGAAGAUAAAUAAAAAUUAGUCACUAUACAAAAUGAGUAAAUAAGUUACGUGUAGUUUUUUAGUUUUGGUAUAUUAAUAUACCCUAACCGUUCAAUAUAAAUAUUUUUUUUAUAUUUAAGGAAGGAGGAUUCAAACUCUAUUUUUUUUAAAAAGGUAUACUAAUCAAUGAGCCAAAUGCUCGAGUACAACUAAAUAGAAAGUAUUUGUUUAUAAACAUAUUCUUAAAAAACUAUAAGAAGCCCUUAGGAAAUAAAAAGAAAGAUCAUUUCAAUUUUUUAUUAGACAUUUAAGCACAUUUAAUUGUGCAUAAUAAAAUAUUAUUUUAUUUAGGGGUAAAUCACGAUAUUAUAAAUGGUAGACUAAUUUUGGUAUAAUACUUUAAAAUUAAGUGAAAUGCCUAUCAUCAAGAGUUGAUGCCAUUUCUUUUUGUAUGGUUUAUGGCGCAACACAUUUUUUCAAUAAGAGAAGUUCAAAUGUCAAAUUGGUGCUGAAGCUAUCCAAACAAGGCUUGUCAUUGAGAAGCACCUUUAUCCUCUGUCUACUCAAAACUGUCUGCCUUACAAAUAGAUGUGAAAAGUUGAUCAUUAUCUUGCAAUAAUGAGCCAAGCAAAGUUGAAAUUUGCAAUCCUGAACUGCCUGCCACCACUGCUACUUUACAUAUCAUCCAUUUUUAUUAAAUGCUUACUGGCACCACUUUGCAUUCUUACGGCCCUUAUAUUUUAUUUUCCUGAACUGAUUGUGCUCUUGUUUUGGGGGCUUUUAAUACUCUUCAUCAGCUUCAGUUUGCGUCAAGUGCCAUUCUCAAGAACCUGAGGAUCUUCUUGCUAGAUACGAAACAUGCAAACAUACUGUGUUGAUCCUCCUUUCUUACCAUGGACCUGCAAGGAUCUUGAGAGGCUCCCCAAUUAUUGCUUCUAGUAUACAUAUCUUAAUACUGAUAAUUCAUCUAGAAGACAACCAUCUACCGCAGCGGCGUUUUUUUGACCUUGAAUUGUCAACAUGAUGCUAUAUUUUCUGUAUUCAAGUAUCCUUUGUAUCGCUGGUUAUGCUCGCCGGUUUUGGAACCAAAGGUUCUUGAUGCAUCUCUGCCAGAUUUGUCCUGUUUAUUCUUACACGACGGCACAUUCUGUUAGUACUACACCAUUAUAUGAUGUGCAAUCAUAAGUUUUAUAAGCCAUAUUUUUCACAGUAAGCUGCAGCCUUUAUUUUUUUUAUUUUUUGGAUAAUUGAGUUUUUAUUUCAACAUGCAAAGGAAGAACUGUGAAAAUGUUUACAAGCUGGGGAAACACCCAGAAAACAUCAGCUAACUAACUAAGCUGGAAUUAUGACCCAGCUCUUACAUAGAUCAUUGGAAAGUACAAUAGAAGAAGAACUACUACAGGAAGCUGCAGUCUUAUCACCAAGGCCUGAUUUCAUGCUUCGAUCAUCAUCUUUGCACUCGUGAAUAUCAUCAUCAUCAUCAUCAUCAUCAUCAUGCACCAGAGAUGCUUGCGCUUUCAAGUCCUCAAUAUCAAAAUUCCAGGCGCUAAUUCCUCUUUGAUACUGACUCUGCGGUGUAGCUUCUUGUUCUGCUGAAGGCAUUUUCUUUAGAGCUAGUUGUGCAGCAUCCUUAAGCUGAACGGGUUUCACAGGCUUCGACAGCCGUGGCAAAGAAGCAAAUAAUUUCUUCACAGAAAGCUCAGGAGGCUUUGCAUGCUUGAAAAACGAGUGCUUCAAUAAUUUCUCUGCAGUGGGCCUCUUUGUUUGAUCUUUCACCAGGCACAUCGCAACCAUAUCUUUGAAAGACUUGGAGAACUUCUUAUCACAAUCUUGAUCAAGUCGUGGAGGAGCAUUUUGUACGGUCAUCAAGAGAACCUUCAUGGGUGGAUAUUUGGAAAAAGGUGCAUGACCAUGGGCCAACUCCAAUGCUGUUAUGCCGAAUGACCAUAUAUCUGCCUUGGAGUUAUAUCCAGUUCCUGGCUGCAUGACCUCCGGUGCCAUCCAGCAAGGAGUCCCCACAAAGGUAUUUCUCGAUAGUUGUCUGUCUCCUGAGUCGAACAUGCAAUCUGAAACACCGAAGUCGGCGAGUUUAACUGUUCCAUUGUUAUCAAGCAGUAUAUUCCCAGCCUUGGAUCCCGAUGAAUAUGUCCUUGUCGGUGAAGAUAAUUGUAACACCCCAUAAUCUCAUAUAGUAGUCAACAUAAACGUAUCAAUAAGACGAAGGUGUUACAUGGUAAAUAAAGAAAAGUUUGAAGAUUCAUCGGUAAUUUUGAUAUUUGAAGUUAAAAAGGGAAUUUCCUAAUAAAGAAGACUAAGUUAUGAGUAAUAUGAGAUGUAAAUGUAAGUUGGAUGAGACAAUAAAUGAAUAAAUAAGUCAUAAAAUAAAAAUAAUAUAAAGAAUAAAAAAAAGGGGCUGACUUGAUCAGCCGCCCAUGUGUAAUAAAAGGGGAAAUAAAAGCGAAAAGGGGGUCCGGCCAAGAAAGGAAGGCAUAGAAAAGAAGAGUAACAAGUGUCAAAAUUGCCCCCACAUUAAAAGACAUUCAAGUGAUAUUUUUCUUGUCUUCAUGCAAUAGAAACCGUACCUUUGGUCAUAAAUAAAUGAGGAAAGUUAACUUGAAAGAAGGAGAAAGAAAUAAAAAAAUAAAGAACCAUGGGAAAUAGGCUUUAGUAAGAGCCAAGGGCCGGUCACUUGAGGAAGGAAAAAGAAGAGAGAAGUCUUGGAGAGGCCGGUCACUUGAGGAAGGAAAAAGAAGAGAGAAGUCUUGGAGAGUUAGAAAUUUGAGGAGAAGAAGGAAAAAGUAAAAAAAUUGAUGAAGAAAUAAGUUAAAAAAAAAAAAGAAAUGGACAAGACAAAUCAAGUAUGUUGCUGAUAAUUAUCUACACCAAGACAUAUUAAAUAAUAUUUUAAAUUUUAUCUCUUUUCUUUUUUUAUGAUGGAACGGCAGAGGCCGGCUGAGGGAAGAAACAAAAGAAAAAAGGGGCUGGUGCUAUCGGUUGCGAAAAGAAUAGGAAGGAAAGAAAGAAAGGAAAAUAGAAAAAGCUGGGGUUGUGGUGGUUGGCGAGAAAAAGAGAAAGAGUUGGGUUGUGUUGGUUGACGGAAAAAGAGAGAGAGUUUGGUUUUUGGUGACAAAAUGGCUGAAUAAAAAGAGAGAAAAUUUGAGUUCUUUGGACUGAUCUAGAGUUGACCAACGGUGGAAGUGGAGAGGAGGCUUUAAGCCACCAGUAGUGAAGGUUGAGAGCUGCUGGCGGUGAGAGAAAGAGAGAAAGAAAGUGCAGCCGAUUGGUGCAUGAAAGGAGGGAGAAGAAAGGAAGAGAAAAACGAGUAGAAGAGAGAGGAAGAAACGGGAAAGAAAGGUAAGAAAAUAAUAAAAAAAUAUAUAAUAAU